rnacentral:lncRNA from 1 species
GGACAGACCAUUUAGUUGUUCAGGCACAAAAUAAAUAUAGAUUAUGAAAUGUAUAGAAACACCUGGUCAUACAGGCACGACCACUAAACAGUCGAAGCAACAUUUUCACCAGUUGUGCAGUGUUACUCAACACAAACAUACUUAUAAUUAUAAGGCUAGGGUUAAAUAAUGGGCUUACUUAACAAUAUGCUAUGGAUAACUGGUGAUGAACCCCCUGUAAUGAAUCAUGAGUUGGGGGGAGACUAUCAGAAGCAGCAUCUCCAAGGAGACAAUAGGUGAAGACACCGAUGAUAGAAUGUCUGAAACAACUGGUAAGUAGACCAAAAACGCCCACAAUAAACUUACAGCAUUGCUUAACCAUUCCUUAUCAAGGUGAAGCAUCAAUUGGAGGGGCACUGAAAUAAACUUUAACCACAAUAGUGAUUAUGUUUCUUACAUUGAAACAUUACUUUUAAACAUUAGUUUUUAACAAAUGCACAUGAAGAAUUUCAUCAACCUCACCUUUAUUCUUUGCACAGUCUGUGCCGCAGGAUUCAUCAAUGCUCAUAUCAAAUGUCCCUGAAAACAAGAAGCAAGACUAGCUUCUUACAAAUAUAGAACUGGUUUAAUGAGCACAAAGGCAUUUCUUAUAUACAGUUUUCCCCACAAGGUUACCACUCACAUGGACCUUGUGGAACAGAGGACACAAAGUCACAACAGCCAAUCAACACAGUAUUGUACAGUUAGACACUCCCAGCUAAUGUACACAAACCCUCCCUUCUGCCUGUGAUACAAUUCCCAAACACAAUGGACUAACUCAAUUACCACAGGCAGAAAAUAUCCAGUUUUACCCAAAGUUCAGAAACACCCCAAAACAACAACAUAUACCCUACAUUCCUGGGUAGCCCUGAUCUGGAUGAACAACAUAUCCCAAAAACCACCCAGAUCAGAGCAGGGGUUCAAAAGUUUUAUGGAGGUCACAUUUGACCGACCUCAAGCAUGGCUUUCAUACCCAAAAUAGUUCCACAGAUUUAGGCUGUGCGACCGGUCUAUCUUCUCCUCUUUCCUGGAGAUAAUUGGCUUAAGUGGCUGUGGUAAGCCAAUUAUCUCCAGGUACAGUCCAAAAACUGUUACAAAAACCACAUAACUCAACCACAUAAAUACAUAACUCAUAUAAUACAAUUUUUAACCUAUAUGUCCAACAUAACCCCAGAUAGCUUGGAUCUGAGCACUCAAUAUGUCCGAACAGCGCUCACAUCUCACAAAUACAGUUGGAUCGCCGUGUGGUUAAAGCUGUCUCUUUUGACCAACUGCAAGCAUGGCUUUCAUGGCCAAAACAGUUCCACAGAUUUUGGCUGUGCGGCCGGUCUAAUUUCAAUGUUAAAAGUGCACUAUAGUAGGGUGAGGUCAGAAGAUAGCAAGGGCUGAUGGGAGAUUGAGGAGGGACAAAUCAGCCAGUUUAAACUGGUCUGGCAGUGUCCCUGAGACAACGCCCUGCUGGAGAAACAAUAGGACAGGAAAAAGGGGGGGGAGGGGGAGAGGCACAUUUCCCCAUGGAUUUAAAGGGGCAGAAAAAGUGUUUUAAAAUCCAAUAAGCCCAAAUAGACUUUUAGUCGCAGGGCAGGAGGCUGGCAAGCAGGCCCCUCCAAAAACUCAUGGCAAACUCCCUUAAAAAGGGGAGUUUGUCACAGACAGGUAUAACAGGAAUAAUCAGAGUCGAUACAAAGCUUGGUCAGGAUACCAGAAAUCACGAGUCAAAUACGAAGCCGGGGUCAGGAUACCAGAAAUCAAAAGUCAAAUACGAAGCCGAGGUCAAACACAGGAAAUCACAAGGGUAUCACUUGGAGCACUAAACGAGGUUCUAACAGAAACCACAAUAGGGCAAUGUUCUGAUGGUCCACGUCAUCACUACAAUCCAAAACACAUGAGGAUCACAAUGAUGACGUAGUCACUUUAAGAGUGGCCAUGACGUCAUACCCACAUUUAUAUAUAGGCGUCCAGCCGUGCAGCCGCAAGGAGGUCACGUGGAGCGCCCGGACCAUGCGACAGGAGGAGGUCUGCACGGCUCGGUGGAGGUAAGUAAAGCCACAAGUAUCCAUAGAUUUACAUCCAUGCAGGGUUCACAUUCCUGGGCUACCAAAUGGCCUCAAAAGGCAACAGAGACACAGCAAACUGAAUUGGCAAGCCCUAUAUUGACCCGUAACUUUUCAAAACUCAAUAAAACCUGAGUGUUUAAAACAGUAAAACCUAUCACAAUGAUGAAAUCACCAGUAAAAGUGCAUUUUUUUGUGUAAAAAAAAUGCAAAAAACAAAUAAAAGUGGCUACUACAAAAGACUAGACAUGAUGUGUAAGAUUGUGGGGAUCAAAGUUAGAAAAAGGGUGUUUUUUAAUUUUUUCAUCAUAUUUUAGAAAAUAAAUUUACAGUAAAUUAUAUGAUGUGAUGAAAAUAAUGGUAUCUUUAGAAAGACCAUUAAUGGCGAGAAAAACAGUAUAUAAUAUGUGUGGGUACAGUAAAUGAGUAAGAAAAAAAGUACAGCUAAAGACAAACACCGUAUAAAUGUAAAAACAGCCCUGUUCCUUAACGGUAAGAAAAUUGAAAAACAGUCUGGUCACUACGGGGUUAAAAAACUAACCAGAUCACUAUAGUGGUUAGGUUGCUUUAGGUGUUCCGUUAGUACUUGAUGCAAAAGGAAAGUAACUCAUGAAGUACAAUUCAUACUUUAUGGAUUUAUUUCAUUUUACAAGUUGUACUGCAAGUGUCACACACUUUUAAGUGUGUUACAUUGAAAGGCUUUCUCCAACCGUCAUAACCAGAAGAACCUGCUGUAAUGGCUAUGAUGGUAGGAAUACCUGGGUUUAGUAAUGGUUUGCCGUUUUACCAGGGUUCCGUCAGGCUUCUGAUUUUCUUUGAAGGCAGAUUUACAACAUCCAGUUUCUGUAGAGCAGCAAAAGACGAUUGCCAAUAAUUCAGCUCAUUGAUUGUCAGAGAUUGUCCGUUCCCUGCCAAUGAAUGAGUGUCUGUGCUUAAAAAUCUGCAUAGAAUUGACAUGAGCUAAUGACACCCCUAUGGGGUUGCCAGAGGUAUAGCUACACCUCUGGCAGCAAAAGGGUUCCUCUUCAUAUGUGCAGAGUUUCAACGCAAAACACUGCAAAAAAGACUCAAGACACCUUGACUACUGAAUCACUAAAGUGGUCAUGGUGCCUGACUAAUCUUUUAAGUGUGAUUUUAAGUGUUGUGAUUGUUUCUUGAUGUGUCUUUUGGUCCGUUGCACUUCCUUUUCCAGUCUUGUGGAUUAAUAUAUAUCAGUGUAAUUGAUAGAUGUGAAUGUUUGCAUGGUUAUCUGCUCCCUAUUAUCUGGAUAAUUUGACCUAGACUGAGAACUUUUAUUUUCACAAAUGCUAGCGAUAUUAUGGUGUCAUUUGUACCAUGUUAUGAUGUAUCAUGUAUAGCCAAGUGGUGUACAUAUCUUAGCACUCACAACUGCUUAUGAUGUAAAUGUAAAUAUUUUCGAAAUGGCAUAAAAUCUAUAUACAAACGUGUCUUAUAGCAAAUUAUUAUGACUGCUAUUUUGUUUCAUCCACAAUGGAGUGCGCACUUAUUCCGGAAUGUAAGUUUGCGCUAGUACACAUUCUCAAACCAAAUAUUUGUUUUAAUUAGGUUUUUAUUAGCAUCAGUACAAUCAGUACGAUUGUCCAAAUAUUUGUAUGUUGUAUCUGAUACUUUUUCACACUGUACAUUUCCUUAAAAUGAUAUAACCUCAUAUGGUAUCCAGGGUAUGUUUCUCAGCAUCACCUAUUAUUAAGCAUGCUAGUCAUACACAUGUGGCAUGUGAAUUUUGCGUCUUUGACAUACUUUCAUCAGCAUUAUUGGUUCAAAUUUAAGUAUUACUACCAAUCAUAUACCUUGGGAGAGCUUAUGAAUGAGCUGGACUAGGACCUAGUAUUUUUGCACAUCUGGUCUAAAGUUCUGGCACCUCCAUUUCAAUAUUCUGAUUUCGGGGAACUUACCCCAGAUGACUAUUGCGCUGCACUAUAAUACUCAAACAACAGCAUGCAGUUUUGGAUCUGACAUCCUUUUGAGAGGAGUAGAGAAUUACAUUCCCAGAGUGAUCUAGACAAUGAAAACAGUUUGAGUACACCAAAUAUGCACUCAGUCAAGAUUCGAGUCAUGCAUUGUGCUCUGAUCUAUACCUUCUCUACUGGACCUGUUUUACUAAUGACAGUUGUGUGCAGCCAGGCACAAGCAAUGACAUGUGUAAGUGGAGGUGAGAAAUCAAAGGAUGUAUGUCUCCAGAUGUCAAGUAGAGGAGAUCCCAUGACACCAGCUGUAAGUAUGGUCACACGCGAUGGCUGCAAAGGUACUCUAAGUGUUAACAUAUGUACUUUGCAGCAGCUAUACUUUUGUAAAAUGCCUCUCUUCAAUCUUUUUAAAGCUAGAUCAGUGAUCUGGGACAAAUAAGUCAAGCAUGCUUUCAGAGAGACCAUCUUGACAUACUCUUUGUGCAUUUUAUGAGAACAAAUAAUUAGCAAAUUAUGGAAUUGCUUGCAAUUUCUGUUUAAGUGCUUUUGAUCUUGGUAAGGCCUGAGGGCCAUAUGGUUGCAAAAACUCCCAGACAAUCUCUCCAGUUGGUAAAAGUCCAUUUUGAGACUCUGUCAGCAACCUCUACAAGGUUAUCAUUAUUUAAGAUGUAGUGGGGAAAACACAAGUAAAUCCACCGAGCUUUAAUGUCUAAUUCUCACAUGGACAAAAUCUAAAACACAACUGUAGGAUUCACUGUUACAUAUGCUUCAGAUGAUCACAUGAAAUCUUGCCCCUUAUGUCUGGUUUCCAUAUGCAUAUGGUCUGUAUCUGUGUUAGUUAAAAGAUACCUGAUUUUUUAUGUCAAUAUUUCAACUUAAAUUUGGAAAAGUCCCAUAAGGAUCUUGGCCCAUGCUGAGUAAAUUAAAUCACACACAUUCAAACACUCCCGCAUUUUAAUCCAUUAAUUUACCUCAUACUAAAGGUGCUGUAUGUAAUUGAGAUAUAGGGACUGUGCAAGUGAUCUGUAAAAUGGGCUUAGGUACACUGCAAGCCAUAUUCACUAAACACUAAAUUUGUUUUUUAUAAUUUCAGCUUUUUGCAUUCAAUGCAAUUGUUAAGUCUCUAGCAUUCAGUUGUCUAACUUUCUCUGUGAUUCACUGUUUAGCAGCAGGUUACGCUCCAGACCAUCGCUGUAAGGUGAAAAUUGUGGCUGUGGCACUUUCUUCAAACAAUGCAAUAGUGAUGUUUGCCUCAUUGACUUGCACUUUUUUUGUGAAGUAUUUCUCUGAAGCAUGCUAUACCGUUUGACUAUUGAAUCCAAUAGCUAUAUUUUACAUAUAAAAUAUUGGAUUUGCGAUUCAAUGUAAUUUAUGGAGACAUAAUCCUUAAUAAUUUUGAAAACAAAAAGCUGCUGGUAAAUUCUUUUUAUGACUAUUUGUCUGCUCGUAUCACUAGCAGACCCCCAUAUUAGUAUAAGGGAGCUUUAUUACCUCCCCCUUGCUCUCACUCACUGUGCCACGACUGGGGACAUGUUCUCUAGCCAGUGGCUGCUCACUGUCAUACAAUACUAGCUGCUGGUAGUUAUUGCUGCCUUCUUGUUAUUAACAUACAGGGGUAACCUGGUACAGGUCCCCUGGGUGACCAUUCGUGAUCACUAUACCUCUGGGCACCAACAUGAAGAUGAAGAUAGUUUGAUUGGUUUUGGCCCCAUAGGUCUGCUGUAUUUUCUCUUUGCUCAAAUAUUUUGUUUUGUUAAAAAAUAACACAUUUUUUUCUCAGUGUUCUGGACUUAACCAUAUGUAUAAUGCUGAUUUGUCAUCCAUUCUUAUUUAUGACUGCCAUUUCAGUUUGCAAUAGGUAUUACAAUCAGCACUGAUUGCAGUCAGCACUUACCAGUCACCAAUGCCCUGCUUAUGAUCCCAAGACUAAUCAGCCCUCGGCGCUGCCUUAGAUAUACAGAAAAAGUUAUUCAUAUAGAGAAUCUUUACUUCACACUGACUGCAUCCCAACCAGCUUCCGUUUUUGAGAUAUGAGGCAAAAAUGAUGGACUAGCAGCUGAGGAGCUACUAGUUUAAAAAAUAGUAUUUAUAACUUACAUUUUAUUAAGAAAAAAAUAGUAAGUGACAUAAAACAAUAAACAAGAAACUCACAUACACAUAAAUGAGGUUCAAAGGAAACCUGUAGAUGUCCUUUAAUAAUAAUAUUUUAAAUAGAUCUCCAUUCAUAAUACGUAAAUUUCAGUAGUACAUUUUUUUUACUGUAUAUCCUACAGGUAUAGACAGAAGUGUAUAUAAGUGAAAAAAACCUAAUAUAACAAAGAGUGGAGUUAGAGAGAGCCAAUCCUGGAGGAGAGGUUGUGUGCUACCUUAAGAGCACUAAAGCAAAAAAACAAAAAACUGAGCCAUACAUACUGGGCUUAGGUUGAUGUGAGUGUAUUUCUUACACCAUUUAUUACUUGUUAUCAUGGUAACAUCCUCACCACAUAUGUGAUUUUGUUUCUCUUUUUUAUGUCCCAUCUACGCUUAAAGAUUUACAUAUAUAUAUCUACAUAUAAAGAAAGAGGGAAGCUCAUCCCCCCUAUAUGCACCAUUAAAUUACAGUUUCAAUGCUCAACUCUUUGUAGUAUAGGGCUGUUUUCAUUUGUAUGCACUUCUGUCUAUCUAUACAGGGAGUGCAGAAUUAUUAGGCAAGUUGUAUUUUUGAGGAUUAAUUUUAUUAUUGAACAACAACCAUGUUCUCAAUGAACCCAAAAAACUCAUUAAUAUCAAAGCUGAAUAUUUUUGGAAGUAGUUUUUAGUUUGUUUUUAGUUAUAGCUAUGUUAGGGGGAUAUCUGUGUGUGCAGGUGACUAUUACUGUGCAUAAUUAUUAGGCAACUUAACAAAAAACAAAUAUAUACCCAUUUCAAUUAUUUAUUAUUACCAGUGAAACCAAUAUAACAUCUCAACAUUCACAAAUAUACAUUUCUGACAUUCAAAAACAAAACAAAAACAAAUCAGUGACCAAUAUAGCCACCUUUCUUUGCAAGGACACUCAAAAGCCUGCCAUCCAUGGAUUCUGUCAGUGUUUUGAUCUGUUCACCAUCAACAUUGCGUGCAGCAGCAACCACAGCCUCCCAGACACUGUUCAGAGAGGUGUACUGUUUUCCCUCCUUGUAAAUCUCACAUUUGAUGAUGGACCACAGGUUCUCAAUGGGGUUCAGAUCAGGUGAACAAGGAGGCCAUGUCAUUAGAUUUUCUUCUUUUAUACCCUUUCUUGCCAGCCACGCUGUGGAGUACUUGGACGCGUGUGAUGGAGCAUUGUCCUGCAUGAAAAUCAUGUUUUUCUUGAAGGAUGCAGACUUCUUCCUGUACCACUGCUUGAAGAAGGUGUCUUCCAGGAACUGGCAGUAGGACUGGGAGUUGAGCUUGACUCCAUCCUCAACCCGAAAAGGCCCCACAAGCUCAUCUUUGAUGAUACCAGCCCAAACCAGUACUCCACCUCCACCUUGCUGGCGUCUGAGUCGGACUGGAGCUCUCUGCCCUUUACCAAUCCAGCCACGGGCCCAUCCAUCUGGCCCAUCAAGACUCACUCUCAUUUCAUCAGUCCAUAAAACCUUAGAAAAAUCAGUCUUGAGAUAUUUCUUGGCCCAGUCUUGACGUUUCAGCUUGUGUGUCUUGUUCAGUGGUGGUCGUCUUUCAGCCUUUCUUACCUUGGCCAUGUCUCUGAGUAUUGCACACCUUGUGCUUUUGGGCACUCCAGUGAUGUUGCAGCUCUGAAAUAUGGCCAAACUGGUGGCAAGUGGCAUCGUGGCAGCUGCACGCUUGACUUUUCUCAGUUCAUGGGCAGUUAUUUUGCGCCUUGGUUUUUCCACACGCUUCUUGCGACCCUGUUGACUAUUUUGAAUGAAACGCUUGAUUGUUCGAUGAUCACGCUUCAGAAGCUUUGCAAUUUUAAGAGUGCUGCAUCCCUCUGCAAGAUAUCUCACUAUUUUUGACUUUUCUGAGCCUGUCAAGUCCUUCUUUUGACCCAUUUUGCCAAAGGAAAGGAAGUUGCCUAAUAAUUAUGCACACCUGAUAUAGGGUGUUGAUGUCAUUAGACCACACCCCUUCUCAUUACAGAGAUGCACAUCACCUAAUAUGCUUAAUUGGUAGUAGGCUUUCGAGCCUAUACAGCUUGGAGUAAGACAACAUGCAUAAAGAGGAUGAUGUGGUCAAAAUACUAAUUUGCCUAAUAAUUCUGCACUCCCUGUAUUGUAUUGGGUGAGGGAAGGAAGGUAUCCCUUCACAUGCUUUUUGGGCCGCUUUUAAAUUGUUAUUUGCACAAUUGAGUUUAUUGUGAUUCUUUAAGCGCUAUUAUGACACUUUGUUCUCUGUGAGGACACUUUUUAUUCACACAGCUAUGUAAAAGAUUAUCUGUUUAAACUUGGUUAAGCAAUUUCGUUGUGAAAUUAAUGGUUAGAUUUGCUGUUUUUCUGUGGUGCAGGUUGCUGAAAAUGUACAGUUCAUGCUAGUAUAUAAAUUUUCUCUUAAUAAUAAGCAAACUCAGGGGCUAUACACUAAGGGUCCAGUGGCAUCAAAGACAUCAGUUAUUUUUGUCAAAUUGCCAGCUGUUUACAAACUCCAUUUCACUGUAAAUAAAAUUGGCACUUUAGUUUUUGGAGAUUUCAAUUUGUUUGCAUUGCAUACUCCACAUUCAUUAAUCUUUGUACAUAAUUUAUAGCAAAAUUUAAUGAUGGCAGUUUUAUGAAAAAUGACAGCUGCAUGUAAACAUUACAUGGUUAUGUGAAAAUAAUAUUUCUAUAAGGUCAAAACAGCUGUCGUAAUGUGAUUUCCAAUUCUGGUUUUGCAAAACAAAAUAUCCACCAGAGAAAAGUAACAACAAAAAAUAAGACAUACUUUUUGCAGGCAGAGUGUUUUGAUAGCAGUUUAUCUGGAACACAUGAUCUGAUGAGAUGUUCGAUGAGGUAAGCAUGGUAGUUGAAUGAUCCAAUAUAUAGCCAGAAUAUCCAGUCAGAGAAUCAGUACUUUAAAGUAACGAGAUGGAGGAAUAAGACAGGUUAUUGAGCGAUUCUUUUGUUGAUAACAGAGUAUCACGUCAGGGAACACCAUAAAUCCAGGCCAAGUUGUUACCAUUCAGUCAGUUCUUGAAAAUUAAGGGUUUUAGAAAGAAAGUCUUUUAAGCCAGGGCAAGACUGUGUCCAUAAAAUCUGUCCAAAGUGCUUAGGGAAUUAAAUAAGAGAGGGGAACAUAAAACAAAGAAGAGGUUUGUAACAGUUGAAUCCAUCCAAAUAGUUUCUUGGAGAGAAGCUGAACUGUAAUUCAUGGAGGCACGCAGAGGUAGAUAAUUGGGAAGUGCUUCCAGAAUGAGUGUAUUGGACACAGGUUCUUGGGGCAGGGAACAUUGGGCCCCACGAGAAAAGAACUGCAGGGAGAGAUACAAAGAGUAGCAUAAGAAAAACGGUUUGAACACAUUGAAAUGGCAAGAAGGCAUCAAUGACAUGCACUUAAAUAUCCGUGCAUUAUGUCUGUCAUUGUCUCUGAAAGAUACAUCACCAAAAUCCUAGAAAAGCACAAUGCAGUGCCCAGUUUAUAAAGGCCACUUGUAAAGCCAUAAGCCAUUAAUUUGAAGACAAAUUAAAAGACACAAAAGACAAACAUUUCAGGAUUUCUGUCCCUUUCCCAAUGUACAAUUGCCCUUACAAGAAUAAAACUCACCAGUAUAAACAAUGUGUGUAAUUGCCUUCCAGCCAUCAAAACACUGCUCCCAGCCACAGGACAUAGCACCACCACUAUUGCCAAGGUCUUGCGAGAAUGGAUGACAUCACAUAUCAGGAAUUAUUAUUAUUAUCGCCAUUUAUAUAGCACAAACAGAUUCCAUUGCACUUUACAAUAUUAUGAGAAGGGGGACUUAACUAUAAAUAGGACAAUUACAAGAAAACUUACAGGGACGAUAGGUUGAAGAGGGCCCUGCUCAAACAAGCUUACAGUCUAUUGGAGGUGGGGUAUAAAACACAUUAGCACAGGAAAUAGCAAUCCAAUAAGGGGGGAUUGAAGCAGAGCAGGAGGAGAGAGUAGAGUUCUGCCAUUUAGGAGAGAGCAAGAGACAGGUAUGUGAGGUAUAGGUUAGUCUGGGAGGCCAUAAGCAUAAGCUUUCCUAAAGAAAUGGGUUUUAAGGCACUUCUUAAAUGAGUGAAGACUAGGGGAGGCUAUUCCAUAGGAAGGGAGCUGCCUGCAAGAAGUCCUGCAAGCGUGGGUUGGCCAUACGGGUGCGAGCAGUGGACAGGAGAAGGUCACAGGCAGAGCGGAGAGACCGAAAAGGGACAUACCUAUGGAUCUGUGAUGAGAUAUAAGAGGGGUUAGAAUUGUUCAGUGCUUUAUAGGUAUGGAUUAGCACUUUGAAUUGACUCCUUUAGGAGAUAGGAAGCCAAUGUAAGGACUGACAGAGGGGUGAGGUGUGAGAGGGCCGACUAGAGAGGAAAAUCACUCUGGCAGUAGCAUUCAUUAAAGACUGUAAAGGGGCAAUACGGCUUUUGGCAAGACCAAUCAAUAGAGGGUUACAAUAAUCCAUGCAGGAAAUUAUUAUAUUUCUAAGAUGGAAUCUACAGGAUUUGACAACAUACUGAAUGUGAGGCUCAAAGGUAAGGCCAGAGUAAUGUAUGACGCCAAGACAGCGCGCUUGCAAGGAUGGACUUAAGUGGAUACCAAUAAUUUGAAGGGAGAGCGAAAGAUGAGGAUCAGUAUUAGGAGGAGGAAAGACAAGGAGCUCAGUUUUAGAGAGAUUGAGUUUCAGAAAGUGGGAGGACAUCCAUUCAGAGAUGGAAGUUAGGCAAGCAGUGACACAUUGCAGGAUGGCAGGGGAGAGGUCCAGGGAGGAGAGAUAUAUCUGGGUGUCAUAAGUGUAAAGGUGGUGUUGGAAUCAAAAAGAUGUAAUGUUUGCCAAGAGAGGCAGUAUAAAGAGAACAUAGAAGGGGACCAAGGACAGAGCCUUAGGGGACUCCAACCGAGACAGGACAAGGGGAGGAGGUGUCAUUAGAAAAGGAGACACUGAAUGAGCGUUGGGAGAGAUAAGAGGAAAACCACAAGAGGACCGAGUCACAGAGACUGAGUGAUUGAAGAAGGAGAGCAUGAUCAACGGUGUCAAAGGCAGCAGAAAGGUCAAGAAGACUUAGUAUGGAGUAGUGGCCUUUGGAUUUAGCUGUGAUUAGGUCAUUAGUACCUUUGAUAAGAGCAGUCUCAGCAGAGUGGAGAGGUCGCAAGCCAGAUUGAAUAGAGUCAAGGAGAGAGUUGGAAUUGAGGAAGGGAAACACGGGCAAAGACAAGUCUUUCCAGAAGCUUUGAGGAAAGAGAGAGCAGGGAUAUGGGAUGAUAGUUAGAGGGGGAGGAUGGGUCAAGAGAUGGUUUUUUUCAGUAUAGGUACUACAGUUGCAUGUUUAAGGUCAGCAGGGACAAUGUCAGAAGAAAGAGAGCAGUCAAAGUUGUUUGUUAAGGAAGGCACAAGACAGGGGAAGAGAGAUCUGGUAAGGGGAGAUGGGACAGGAUCGAGCGGGCAAGAGGAAAGGAGAAGCUCAGCCACCUCUUGUUCAGUAGCCUGGGAGAAAGUCUGAAGGGUAGGAAAGGCAUGAUCUUUGUGUGGUUGAGAAUGAGAAUGGCAAGGUGGGGAGAAUUCUUUCCUUAUAAAAAAGAUCAGAAAUGAGGAUGAGCGCUAUUAUGUCACAGGGAAUAUAAAAAUGUAAGGUAUAGGCAGCCCACCUAUAGGGGGAGGGGUCCCCUCUAGUCCCCUCGGGAUAAGUAUAGUAAGAGAAAAAGAAGAAAAGGGUGUGCCUAAAGAGCAAAUAAUAUAAAUUAAUACUUAUAUUAAUAUGUAAAGUUCAAGUAAUUCUGCAAUAGUCCAAAAUAAUGUAAUCCACCACAGUAGGGAGAUAUCUUUGUGGAGCAGCAGGUAGGAUGUGUAGUCACAGGUGAAGACUAGUUGUCCGGUGGUACAUUUAAGGGAGAAGCAAAAGAAAAAGGUACAGUAUAUCGGUAUACUUGAUAUUUGGUAUGUUAUUAAUGAACUACUCACAAUAUCCAUAGCUUAAAUCCAGCUCUGGUUUGGAAUGUGUGAAGUGGAUGAUCCCCACUCAAGGAUAUGUAGAGUUCCUCUGAUUUUCAGGUGUAUAAGUCAGCGGAGUAUUUAAAAUGGUUGCAAUUCCUAAAAGUUUCAUAGGAUAUUUCUAUUCAACCCCUUAGGAUAUUUUUAUUCAACGACUUCAGUUGCAUCUCAGUUGUUUCAUUUCAAAUCCAUUGUGUUGGUUUACAUAGCCAAAAUUAUGAAAAUUGUGUCAGUGUCCAAAUAUUGCUGGUCCUAAUUAUAUGUCUAACUGGUACUGAAGUCAGUUGGGUUUUUAGGAGAUUCAGAAAUGCCUGUACAGGUGAGUUUAUCUAUCAAAAUGUCAGAGAGCCCACUUCAGUAUUGGUAUGUUAAAGCAGCUUCAUUCUGUAUAGUUUCAGAAGACCAGCAUCUGAACUGGGCAAUAUAGCCUUCUACAUAGAUGCAUCACUAUGAGAGGGUAUGUAAGUGAGAUUCAGCUGAAUCUGUUUUAUGAGUGUCAUCGUAUAACUAGGCAUUUCUCCCAGGAAUGAGUCUAAAUUAGUAAAGCAUAAGCUGUUUUUUUAUUGUUUAAAUUAGUAAAACAUAAGCGGUUUUAAAACUUAAAAGCCCAUUCUGCUGUGUCUCCUUGCAAUAAAAAGAUAAUUGAUUUCAUUUUUAUGUCAUCCGUAGAGAAUGUCCAUUGUUUCACAGCAAGCAUUAUUUUGUACUCAUGAAUAAAUAAUCUGUGUGUUCUAUCACCAAAAAAAAACUGGUAGGUAGAGACACAUGGGUUACAUGGGAAGAAGGGCUAAAGUAACAGAAAUUGAGUCAAUUUGAGUUUGAUUGUCAUUUUGACUAAUGUGAUGUUCAUGUAGUAUUCGAGCAAUUAGAUCAACUUAUUGUCUUACGGUCUCAGAGGACUGAGAAAGCUGUGGUAGAUCCAUUAGUUAUAGUAUCAGUAUUUCUAGGCACUGGCAAUCUGUAAUGAGGUUUUUAAUUCUGAUUUUGUAAAACAAAGUAUCUAUCAGAGAAAAGUAACAACAAAAGAGAUAAGAUUUACUUUUUGCAGGCAGAGUAGUUUGAAAACAGUUUAUCUGGAAACACAGAAAUGAGAUAAGUAUGGUAGUUGAAUGAUCCAAUAUGCUGCCAGAUAAAUAUGUGCAAUUUGUUUUGUUCCAAAUGUACAUUGGUACGAAUUUCGUGCCAUUCGGACAUUCGAAGUGCCCAAGUGAUUCGGAUUUCUGAAAAGUGGCAAAACAAGAGAGAAGGAAGGAAAAGUAUGUGAAUGAUUACAGGAAUCUUGACCAAUAAGGUAAUUCCUUUUGUGCAAUGUAAUGCUUGCUUGUCCAAUGCGGUUUCACUAUUCCCUGUCCAAUAAAAUGAGCACAUUUUUGUGAAUAAUUGAUAGAGGACAGCCAAUUAAUCGUGAUGUUGUCACUGACACUUGGCCAAUGAAAGCACACAGAGUCAUGUGGGAUAGUAUAUUGUUAAGACACCUCUAGUGUCUGUAAGCCAAACCGCCGUUUAGUAGACCUUCCCCGGCUGCAGUACAGUCUCCGUUCGCUUACUCUGUAACCCACGAACCAAAUGCAGGGGAAGCGGCAAUCUCCCGAUCGAGAUCCGUGAACGGCUCCAAACUCCCGUACGGCAAUACAUGAACUGCUGGUAACCGUCGAACAGCAAUAUUCCCCAAGCGGCUUUCGUUCCAUCCAGCAGUCUCUAAACGUGAAGAAGAAAUCCCCCCAAUAACGAGACAGAAGCUCCGCAUUGAGGGUCAAACAGGAUCUGGCUUUACUCUGGGCUACCUGCCCGUAUUUAUGCAGGUCUCCCACCUGGUGGACACUCCCCUAGGGGACCAAAUGGGGAGACUUAAAUGACAGACAGAUAUGGGGACAUUCUAGACACACAGUCACAGAUUUUACCCACAGUGCAUUAUGAUUCCCUCCCCUCUGCCCUGGAGUUAAUUACCAAGUAACUCAAUUAACUCCAGGACAAAGCCAGUCGCCAUCUUAGACAUAAAAUAAUAAAAGACAUAAAAAUAGAUAACUACAUAAAAACCGAACAUUUCCCAUUCGUAUUACAUGUCCCCAGAUAGCCUGGAUCUGAGUGCAUAUUAUUAGCGAAUAGCGCUCAGAUCCCACACACAUAGUUCAAUCGCCAUGGAGUCAAAGUUCUCACAGUCUUUCGGUAUACGAAUGACUCCAUGGGAAGGCUAUCUGGGUUAAGUCUUUUCGUAUGCUCUCAAUCUCCCGAACGGCCGGUGUUCGCAUGCUUUCGUGGAGGCAGCCAGGCGUUCCCUUGUUUCAGCGGUGUUCGGCAGAAAAAGUGUCCGUUUUCAGUUCCAUAGAAAUAGAGCCAAAACACCGCUGGGCGUUCGCAUGAUUUAAAAUGGCCGCUGCCUCGUGGUCGACAUACGAACGACGACCACCCUGAGUUCGGUUUAAUUGAGAAGUGUCUGCGGUUAACCACAACGUUAUAAUGGUGAUCACNNNNNNNNNNNNNNNNNNNNNNNNNNNNNNNNNNNNNNNNNNNNNNNNNNNNNNNNNNNNNNNNNNNNNNNNNNNNNNNNNNNNNNNNNNNNNNNNNNNNGGGUAUUACUGCUGGUCGAUACUUCAGUCUGGCAGGGGCUUUGGCAGCUGUACCAUCCAACUUGCGGGCAUCCGUGUAUUCAUCUGCCAGACGAGCAGCCUCGGGUAGGGUAGAGGGUUUUCUAUCUCUGACCCACUCCCUGACCCCAGAAGGUAGUCUAUCAAAGCAGUGUUCCAGCAGGAACACUUGUAACACCUCCUCCCCAGUUACCGCUUGGCAUCCAGCCAUCCAGUGGGCUGCGGUACGAUGGACUCUGCAGGCCCACUCCACAUAAGAGUCCCCAACCAGUUUAUUGGUUUCUCUAAACCUCCGCCUGUACGCCUCUGGGGUCACCGCAUACCUGGCUAGGAGCGCAUCUUUCACAGCCCGGUAGCUGGUGAUCUCCUCCUCUGGGAUGGCCCGAAACACCUCACUAGCCCGGCCAGAUAAUUUCCCAGAGAGGAUGGUGACCCAUUCAUCUGCAGGUACCUGAUGUAGAGCACACUGCCUCUCGAAGUCCGCUAAGAACCCAUCAAUCUCUCCCUCGGUUUCCACAAAAUUUUUAAAUGCAGCAAAAGGUACCUUCUUUCUAGCAAACACAUUAUUAUUGUAAGGUACCUCUGCUGCUGCAGCUCCUCUUUCCCGGAGUGCCUGUUGUGCUGCUACUGCUGCCUGCACACGCUCCACGAUGUCAGCUGAGGGGUUGGGGCCAAAGUGUGCCAACCUUAUUUGCACUGCCCGGUUAAAUUGUAUUUCCUCGGGUGUUAAAUCCAAGGUACUGGGCACAUUGACUCUCUCCGUUCCCGUUGCUGCAUCCAUCUCCAGUAGCAAAGCAAUAAUCUCCCGUUUCUUUAAAUUGCUUGCUGACCUUCCUCGGCGUUCCAAUAUAUCCUUAAGUGUAGCAUGCCUUAAUUCCUCAUACUGCAUGUCUUGUAGCUGACCUCCAAUGCUGUGGGAUUCAUCCCGUCGCUUGCCACCAAUUGUUAAGACACCUCUAGUGUCUGUAAGCCAAACCGCCGUUUAGUAGACCUUCCCCGGCUGCAGUACAGUCUCCGUUCGCUUACUCUGUAACCCACGAACCAAAUGCAGGGGAAGCGGCAAUCUCCCGAUCGAGAUCCGUGAACGGCUCCAAACUCCCGAACGGCAAUACACGAACUGCUGGUAACCGUCGAACAGCAAUAUUCCCCAAGCGGCUUUCGUUCCAUCCAGCAGUCUCUAAACAUGAAGAAGAAAUCCCCCCAAUAACGAGACAGAAGCUCCGCAUUGAGGGUCAAACAGGAUCUGGCUUUACUGUGGGCUACCUGCCCGUAUUUAUGCAGGUCUCCCACCUGGUGGACACUCCCCUAGGAGACCAAAUGGGAGACUCAAACUACAGACAGAUAUGGGGACAUUCCAGACACACAGUCACAGAUUUUACCCACAGUGCAUUAUGAUUCCCUCCCCUCUGCCCUGGAGUUAAUUACCAAGUAACUCAAUUAACUCCAGGACAAAGCCAGUCGCCAUCUUAGACAUAAAAUAAUAAAAGACAUAAAAAUAUAUAACUACAUGAAAACCGAACAUUUCCCAUUCGUAUUACAUGUCCCCAGAUAGCCUGGAUCUGAGUGCGUAUUAUUAGCGAAUAGCGCUCAGAUCCCACACACAUAGUUCAAUCGCCAUGGAGUCAAAGUUCUUACAGUCUUUCGGUAUACGAAUGACUCCAUGGGAAGGCUAUCUGGGUUAAGUCUUUUCGUAUGCUCUCAAUCUCCCAAACGGCCGGUGUUCGCAUGCUUUCGUGGAGGCAGCCAGGCGUUCCGUUGUUUCAGCGGUGUUCAGCAGAAAAAGUGUCCGUUUUCAGUUCCAUAGAAAUAGAGCCAAACACCGCUGGGCGUUCGCUUGAUUUAAAGUGUUGGCUUGUAUUCAUGUGACCAGAUUAGUUGUGAUAGCACAAGAGACUGAGAGAGAUAAAUUACAUCACAUAUAUUGUACUUUACUUUUUGCAAACAUGGGGAGCCACAUUGCUUUUAAGUGUGUGUUCCAGGGAGAGAGUUUUUGCCUUUUUUUUCUUCUGCAUUUUGUUUCUUUUUUGAAUAGGGGAUGAGAGAGUGUGUGGCUGUGCAAGCCAGGUAGUCUGAUUGCCAGGGUGUCUCUCUGCUGCACUGUGACUUUACAGCAGUGAUUAAUUUUGUGUGCCAGCCAUCACUUGCCCUUACUUUGCUCUCUAUCUCACGCUCUCACUUGCUUGUUCAUAGACAAAUUGCUUUCUCUCUGCUCUCACACUCUGCUCACUCUCUGCUCCUAAACUCUCCUCAAAGAUGGUGUCACAGGGGUGGGAUUAUAUAUUGUGCAGAAGUGUUGCAUUGUGGUAGUGCUCCCUGAUUGGUUGAAUUAUCUGUGGAAUGAAAAUAUAAUUUUAUAAAUUGUAUAUAUACUAAACUAACACUACUAAUUAUUAACUAAACCCAGACCACUUCUUUAAUAUUAAGUGGUCUGGGCACUGCUGCUGUCCACAAAUAUUUAUUUUUAUUUUUUAAAAUGAGCGACAUUUCUAUCUGCCGAAUGCCUGAAACAAAUGAUAUGCCGAACUCCAGAAUGCCCAAAAUAAAUGCCCAAAUGCUGCGUUCCCAAAUGUCCAAGCCGAAUGCUAUUCGGCAGUUCCGAAGUGCCGAACCGAAUGUCAUUGGUCCGAAUUGCCAAAGCAGACACAUUUUUUACAUACCCGAAUUUCCGAACCAAAGCAAAUUUUUUGCCCAUGCACAUCCCUACUAUCAGAGUAUGCAACUGGAAAAUCAGUACUUUAAAGUAAUGAGAAAGAGAAAUAAGACAGAUUAUGGAGAGAUAUGCUUUUUUAUACAGGAGUAUCACUUAAGGGAAUCCUGCAAAUUCAUGUCAAGUUGUUACCAUUCAAUCAGUCCAUGAAAAUCAAGAGGUUAAGAGAAAGCAAAGUCUUUUAAUAGAGGCCAAGACUUUAUCCAUUAAAUCCAUCCACAGUGUUUAUGGAAUUAGCUAAGAGAGGGGUUUGUAAAACAAAGCAGAAUUUUGUAACUGGUAAAUCCGUCCUAACAGUUUUUUGGAGAGAAGCUGAAAUGUAAUCCAUAUAGGCAAGCAGAGGUCGAUAACUGGGAAGUCCUUGCUGUAGCGGAGCAUACUCGUUUUCCUGGCACCAUAGUGCCCUGAGGGUGCCCCCACCCUGAGGGUCCCCCUCCCGCCCGGCUCUGGAAGGGGGAAAGGGGGAAAAACGUACCUUUUUCCAGCACUGGGCGGGGAGCUCUCCUCCUCCGAUCCUCCUUCUCUCCUCCACGUCGGCUGAAUGCGCACGCGCGGCAAGAGCUGCGCACGCAUUCAGCCGGUCGCAUUGGAAAGCAUUAUAAAUGCUUUCCUAUGGACGCUGGUGUGCUCUCACUGUGAAAAUCACAGUGAGAAGCACGCAAGCUCCUCUAGCGGCUGUCAAUGAGACAGCCGCUAGAGGGAAUGGGGGAAGGCUUAACCCAUUCAUAAACAUAGCAGUUUCUCUGAAACUGCUAUGUUUAUGAAAGAAUGGGUUAAGCCUAGCUGGACCAGGCACCCAGACCACUUCAUUAAGCUGGUCUGGGUGCCUAGAGUGGUCCUUUAACAAUAUACAGACACAUUUUAAACACCCUGCACCUAUAACUGGUACAGUGUGACUUAGACAGAGGAAUAAUUUAGGAACCUUUGUAAAGUGUCCUUCUGCUCCCAGUGAUGGCGACUACCGUCACACUUGCAGAAAUGGGGUCUCUAUGGAAGGAGGUAGUCAGUUGGUGGAGGGAACAGUGGGGUCCAUGAACAAAGAACCUACAGGAAAGGAAAAAAGAAGUAGCAUGCGAAACAUCGUUUGAACACUUUGACAGUACAAGGAGGCACUGAUGGCUUGAUCCAUGUGUUAUAAAGUAACAUCACCAAAGCAUAUAUGUGACAGCAUAACAUGACAGCUUCCUGAAUUUGCAACCCUGCAAAUUACAGCUAUAUGUAAACAUUACAUGUUGUUGCUGUCUAAUUCUUCUCUUACUUCCAAUUGGUGUCCUUUUGAGAGAAAUCCACUUUGCGUUGUGUAUUAAUAGUGAAUGUAAUAUCCCUGUGUCACCUCUUCCAAGAACUAACAUGUAUCUUUAUCCCGUUGUCCAGAUAAAUAUAUGACAUUGACUAGCACUACUUAGGUAUUCUACCCGAUAUUACAAAUAACCGGCCACCACCAUUCUUUCCAGAGAGAAAUCUUUACUUAGAAUCUGCCCAGUUAAAUAUUACAGAAGAAGAAUGUUACAGAGUUAUAGUAUUACAGAGUUACAAUACAUUCAUAACACUCACACAUUCCAUCUAUCUAAUAAUAUCUGCUGGAUUGUGUAUGAGCUGUGAGAUGGUGUGUGCAGUGUGUGUGUCUUACCAACCUAUUCUGUGAUGUCAGUAUCUUCUGUUUUUUAACCCCUUAAGGACCAAACUUCUGGAAUAAAAGGGAAUCAUGACAUGUCACACAUGUCAUGUGUCCUUAAGGGGUUAAAGGAAUGUGUUCCCAUGUUGUAAAUAGCCAGUUCCUUAGCUCACUUGAUAUGUAAAUGUGAUUUCCUUUCCCAAGGCCCAAAGUGUUGUCUAUCCUGUUAUUUUAUUUACGUGUGAACUCUCCCAGCCAUCCCCAUGCCUUUACCCUAAGGUGUGUUUUCCUAGCUAGAGACUCCUUUGAAGACUAGUUGAUAUGUAAACGUGAUAAACUUUCCCAAGGAUGUAGCUGUGCCUUUCAGGUGCUGUAUCUUCCCAACUAUCUAAACAGAAACUCCCUUUGAAGAUAAUUCCUGAUCUCCCAUACACACAGACUUAACCAAGCGCAUAUUAAUCGGAUAUAUAUAAUCAUAAUAUUUUCCCCAACAGUUGUAUGAACCUAACACUCAUAGAUAGUCAGUACAACUGCAUUGUUUUGUAUUUUGCACAUUUAUUGGUUUGGUAAUGAAAAACAACUAAUCAUUUUUAUACAUGCUCUUUAAACUAUCCCUCUGCUCAGAAUUACAAACUGAUUUAUAAUAAAUAAUGUAUUUUGUGCUAGGACUAUUGCAAAAAAAAUUGCACGUAGCGCUAAAUAUUUUCAUGUUCCGUUUUGAAAAAUAAAAUACUUCAUCUUGCGGUGAAACACACUUUAAGGAAAACCUGCCAGAAAAUCAUAAAGUUUGGGACAAUUUGUUCUCAGUGCUAAUUUGUCUUGUCCCUAUUUUAUUGCUUGAAAAUUGGAAAAACGAAGAUAUGUCUGUUAGAGGAGUGAAUCAUAUUAUGAGAAAAUAGUUUGCUGUGGUUAUUAACAAUGGCAGUUCAUUUUUAAAGUAAAUAUUUGAUUUUGUGAUGUGACGGCUGAAAAAGAACUAUUUUCAUGUGUUACUGAUCUGAUGCUAUUGAGGAGAAAAUUGGAAAUCAAUGUCAAGUUCAAACUACAAUGGAAUCUCUAAAUGAACAAUUAAAUCUCUAGACAGCUGGUGUAUGCUAAAGCUGACAUUUCAAUAACGGUGGUACAGCACUAAAAAUGUACUUUAGUCCUCUUGCUACAAUAUUACUGCUACAGAUUUGAACAGGAACAUAGUUGCACAAUCACAAAAUAUUACAGAGACACACAGGAGUAGACCUGACCAUACUAUAUUAAAAAAAUAGAUAAUAAAAAUAGAUAUUCACUUAAAUAAGUGUCUCUCAUGUAGCAAAUUGUGGGUUUCGAUUCUUCUCCAGUGAUACAUAGAAGUUAGAAGCAGGAAGUAUUUAAAAUUCUAUAAAAAAUCUACAAAAGCACACUUCUCAAUUCUGCACUUUAGCCAAUCCAAUAGGUUGUUGCCCACCGGUGGAUAAUAUGGCUUUUUAUUCAUUAUUUGUAGAUAUACUCUGUAUAUAUUUUGUUUGAUGACUUAGAGGAAUCCUUGGUUCAUAUCUACAAAUACAAACUGUGAAAAACAUAAUUACCAGUUUUUAAAUGAAUGUUUAUCAUCUGCACUGCACUACUUAGGUGUUAUUGGAGACUUCAAUAUUCCCGUUAACCCACCUUUAACCCCAGCAGCCUCUAAACUACUUUCAAUCACUUCCUCCCUUGGACUUUUGCAGUGGGCUAAUUCUCCCACUCAUGUAGCUGGCAAUACCCUCGACCUUAUUUUCUCUCAUUCAUGUACAAUAUCUAAUAUCUGCAACACUCCAUUUCCUCUCUCUGAUCACCACCUCUUAUCGUUUGCUCUCAAUUACCCCCUCACCCAACAAUCUCAGCCUAACCCCCCUCAGCUCAGGAGGAACCUUAACUCUAUUAACCUCCAGUAGCUGUCAGCUGACAUUGAUUCACAACUGCUAUCCAUCCCUUCCCUCUCCUUUCCCUCACUGGCCAUCUCCACAUAUAACACUACCCUCACAUCUGCCUUGAACGCUGCAGCCCCACUCCAAACAUGCACCUCGAGGAGGACACGACCCCAACCUUGGCAUAAUAAAUCAACACGCUAUCUGCAGAGUUGCUCCCGUUGUGCUGAACGCUCCUGGAGGAAGUCCCGCACCCAGGCAGACUUUCUCCAUUAUAGAUUCAUGUUGCUUUCAUACAGGGCAGCCCUCACCCUCGCCAAACAGUCAUACUUUUCCUCUCUCAUUAGUUCAUGCUCCCGCAAUCCCAGACGUCUCUUUGACACCUUUAAUUCCCUUAUCCGCCCUGCUGUGGCCACCCCCCAAACUAACCUUACAGCUGAUAGCUUUGCAUGCUACUUUACCAACAAGAUUGAACAGCUAAGGAAACAAUUCUCCCCUCCUUGCCGUUCUCUUUCUCAACCACAUGUAAAUCUUGCUUUCCCUACCCUCCAGACUUUCUACCCGGCUACUGAACAAGAGGUGGCUGCGCUUCUCCAUUCCUCUCGCCCCACCACUUGCCCGCUCGAUCCUGUCCCAUCUCACCUCAUCAGAUCUCUCUCCCCUUGUCUUGUGCCUACCCUAACACACAUCUUUAACUGCUCUCUCUCUUCUGGCACUGUUCCUGCUGACCUUAAACAUGCCACUGUAAUACCUAUCCUGAAAAAAACAUCUCUUGACCCAUCCUCCCCUUCUAACUAUCGUCCCAUAUCCCUGCUCCCUUUCUCAUCAAAGCUUUUGGAAAGACUUGUCUUUACCCGUGUGUCCCGCUUCCUUAAUUCCAACUCUCUCCUUGACCCUCUUCAGUCUGGCUUCCGCCCUCUCCACUCUACUGAGACUGCUCUUAUCAAAGUGACUAAUGACCUAAUCUCUGCUAAAUCCAAAGGUCACUACUCCAUAUUAAUUCUCCUUGACCUCUCUGCUGCCUUUGACACCGUUGAUCAUGCUCUCCUCCUUCAAACUCUUCAAUCGCUCGGUCUCUGUGACUCUGUCCUCUCUUGGUUUUCCUCCUAUCUCUCCCAAUGCUCAUUCAGUGUCUCCUUUUCCAAGGACACCUCCUCCCCUCGUCCUGUCUCAGUUGGAGUUCCCCAAGGGUCUGUCCUUGGUCCCCUUCUAUUUUCUCUUUAUACUGCCUCUCUUGGUAAACUUAUUGCCUCUUUUGGAUUCCACUACCACCUGUACGCUGAUGACACUCAGAUAUACCUCUCCUCCCCGGACCUCUCCCCUGCCGUCCUGCAACGUGUCACUGCUUGCCUUUCUUCCAUCUCUGACUGGAUGUCCUCACGCUUUCUGAAACUUAACCUCUCUAAAACUGAACUCCUUGUCUUUCCUCCUCCUAAUACUGAUCCUCCUCUCUCGCUGUCCCUUCAAGUCAGUGAUAUCCACAUAAGUCCAUCCCUGCAAGCGCGCUGUCUUGGCAUCAUACUUGACUCUGGUCUCACCUUUGAGUCUCACAUCCAGUUUGUUGCCAAGUCCUGUAGGUUCCAACUCAAAAAUAUAGCCUGCAUUCGCCCCUUUCUUACGCAAGAUGCUACAAAGGAGCUUGUCCAUGCUCUAGUAAUUUCCCGCAUGGAUUACUGUAACCCUCUCCUGAUUGGUCUCCCCAAAAGCCGUAUUGCCCUGCUACAGUCUGUAAUGAAUGCUGCAGCUAGACUGAUUUUCCUCUCUAGUCAGUCCUCUCACACCUCACCCCUCUGCCAGUCCUUACAUUGGCUCCCUGUAUGCUAUAGGAGUCAAUUCAAAGUGCUAACCCAUACAUUUAAAGCACUGAACAAUUCUAGCCCCACUUAUAUCUCUUCACUAAUCCAUAGAUAUGCCCCUUCUCGUACCCUCCGCUCUGCCCGUGACCACCUCCUGACCGUUGCUCGCACCCGUACGGCCAACUCACGCUUGCAGGACCUCUCGCGGGUGGCUCCUCUCCUAUGGAAUAGCUUGCCUACUGCCAUCAGACUCUCCCCUAGUCUUCAAUCAUUUAAGAAGGGCCUUAAAACCCAUCUCUUCAGGAAAGCUUAUGGCCUCCCAGAGUAAUCUCUACCUUACAUACCUGUCUCCUGCUCUCUCCUAUGGGACAGUGCUUUGCUCUCUCCUCCAGCUCUGCUUCAUUCCUACUUGAUAUUUCAUGUCCUAAUGUUUCUAAUACCCUACCUCCUAUAGUCUGUAAGCUCGUUUGAGCAGGGUCCUCUUCAACCUAUUGUUCCUGUAAGUUUUCUUGUAAUUGUCCUAUUUAUUGUUACAUCCCCCCUCUCAAAAUAUUGUAAAGCGCUACGGAAUCUGUUGGCGCUAUAUAAAUGUCAAUAAUAAUAAUAAUAAUUUGGUUUUCUGUUUUGAUUUUUCCUCUAUAACAAAUAGAAGCAUGCUAAUAGGGCUUGCAAAGGGGUGAUGAGAUGGGCUAAGUUUGAAAAUGAAAGUCGCAUAGCCAAAGAGAACAAGACCAACCCCAAAAUGUUUUUUUUUACGUUAUGCCAAAAAGGUUAAGAGUGAAAGUGUUGGCCCAUUGGAAAGUGAGAUGGGUGAGGAUCAGGGCAGGGAAGAAAUGUUAAAGAAUUACUUCUUUUCAGUUUAUUGGGAAGAAGAAUGACUGUAGAUUUAAAAAUCCCUAUUACAAAAGCCAUACAGCAAGCAGGUGAUUGAUUAACAUGGGAUAAAGCACUGUUUUUCAUUUUUCUGAAUUAUUUUCCUUUAGGAAUUGAACCAGAAAAUUGGAGAAAAGCAGAUGUGGUGCCUAUAUUUAAGAAGGGUUCAAAAGCUCAAUCCAGAAACUACAGACCUGUGAGCUUAACAUUUGUUGUUGAGAAUUUUUUUGAAGGUCUUUUAAAAGAUAAUAUUCGAGAAUUAAUUUUGAACCAUAAUAUCAUCAAUAGCAGUAAUCAAUGUGGUUUUAUGAAAGACAGGUCAUGUCAGACUAACCUAAUUGCGUUCAUGAGUAUAUUGGGAGAUAUACAGAUCAGAGUGGUCCAGUAGAUAUGACCUACUUAGAUUUUGCAAAGGCUUUUGAUACAGUUUCACACAAAAAGUUAAUAAUAAAACUGAAAUCAGUUGGUUUAGAUGAAAUAUCAUGUUCUUGGAUAGAACACUGGCUUAAUUACAGAGUGCAGAGAGUAGUUGUAAAUUGAUUUUUUUUUUAUUUUUUUUUUAUUGGACAAAAGUGAUAAGUGGAAUCUGUUCUGGGUCCACUUCUCUUUACUCUGUUUAUAAAUGAUCUUGAAGUGGGCAUUGAAAGCCAUUUUUUUGGUGUCUGCAGAUGACACUAAACUAGUUAAGAAAAUACUGUCUGAACAUGAUGUAACUUCACUUAAGAGGGUUUUGGAUAAAUUGGGUGCAGAUGAGAUUCAAUACUGAUACAUGCAAAGACACGCUUUUUGGAAUAAGUAAUCAUCCAUAAGCCAUGUAUAGAUUAAAUGGGAUAGAGUUAGGGAUGACAUUAAAAGAAAAGGACUUGGGAAAAUUAUAGAUCACAUACUAGGUAAGAUUAUGCAAUUCUGGUCUGCCAAAGGAAAAGCUAGUAAGGUGCUUUCAUAUAUAAAAAAAAGGAUAUUGACUUCCAUGAUCAAAAUAUAAUUUUGCCUAUUUAUAAAUCAGUGGUCAGAUCCCACCUUGAAUAUGGAAUUUUGCAAUAAUGGGCACCAGUUUUAAAGAAGGAUUUUGCAGAACUAGAAAAAUUGCAAAGGAGAGCUCCUACACAAUUAGUAAGGAGUAUGGAAAAUAUGGAAAUAUGAUAGCACUAUACAAAUAUAUACAGGGUCAGUACCAUAACAUUCAGCCAACCACACAUAAAUCACACGCAGAUCACUCAGUGACUCCUCUACACACUGACAACACACUCAUACCAGACAUUACACCCUCUACCAAACUCACUUAGAGGAGUUCUAAUAUAGUCAUGUACUCUGCACAUAACUGAGCUUUAUUGGUAUGAAUAUAUGUGAUACAACUAAACACUGUACAUUACUGUAAGUUUAUUGAAGUGGCAUUCUGUGAUAUACGCUCACUCACACAUUACUGUGAGAUGUAUUAAACAUAUUAAAGGGACACUAUAGACAGCCAGUGAUCUGGGUACAGGGUCUUAAAACAUUGCAGUAUUAAGACCUCCUCUAGUGGAUGUGCAAAAGAAGCAAAACCCAAUAAGAAAGCACUGCUCAGCACAGUCAAUGCUUUCCUAUAUGGAAGGUCUAAUUUGCGUGCUCACUUUGCAUUCACAUUAGGUCCCCCCCAUCGGCAGAGGAGGCAUGUGACCCAGUGCUGAGGGACAUUGGAACUGGAAUCAGGUAAGCGUUAAAAAAAUGUUUUAACCCUUUUAAGACCAGGAGGACCAGGUGGGGUGAGCUCGGGGACAGAGGGACACUAUAGUGUUAGAAAUACAUCUUUGUAUUCCUAACACUAAAGUGUUCCAUUAACUGAUAAAGGUAUGGUAGUCCACAUUUUAAUUGCCCUUGUAUGUUGAUCCUGAGUCCCUUGCUGCCCACCAAUAACUAUCAAUCAAAAGAAAGAAAUAAUUUAUUUUACUUUGUUCUGAGUAUAAGAUUAUUGUUAGUACCUACAUUUUAACUUGCUUUCUUUAACAGCAAACCUUGUGGGUAUUAAGCAGCACAUAGAUCCCCUAUAAGUGUUCAGUGCUUUUUCUUGCCAUCAAUUAUCCCUACACUUCAUAUUAGGGAAUGACUGGACAUCAAUAUCAAUAACCUUGUGAGGGACGAAUGAGACACCAUGAUAUCUUGUCAUACAGGCAAAAUAUUGUCUUACUCUCUUUACAUCCAGCUGUCUGAGACCCAUUGAUUAUACAAUAAUCAGAUUUAUGCCAAUAUUUACAAAUGUCAUAAAUAUGAACCUUAUGGGGGACUUUUAACAGCAUUCAGCAAAUAAUCGUGAGAUCUCUCUGAUACUAGUUUUCAUGCUGCCUUUUUAUUUUUUUCUCAUUACUCUACAUAUCAGCACUUUUCCAACCUUUCGAUAUUUUGACUUAGGACUCAAUUUAAUAUUGUUGGCUAUGCUUUCCAACUAUUUUAAUAUUUGUGAAUGAACUUUUAAAAUUCUUGUUAAAUUUGUUAAAUGUGCUUUCAGCUACCAAGAAGCAUGUACAGAUGCUGAGACUCUGAGAAUUCUGCCAUUUACUGUAAUUUUAAUAGCAUCAUCGACUGCAUCAGAUUAAUUAUCCCAAUAGUAAGCAAUGAUAUGGGCCAAGGUUGCAUAGUUCAGCAUUAAAAAUUACACUGUACAGUGGCAUCUCAUGCAGUGCAUGGCAAAAUGGUGAUGGAUUAUGUUUAUCAGGAAUCUCAUUGGCAGAUAUUGUGGCAAUGUGACAUCAUUAUCAAUGAUAAUGGGACUUUUGUAAUUGCGUACCUAAUGAUCAUCUGGCCACAUCAUUAUUUUCAAGCAAACGCUGUUAUUGGUCAAAGGAGUAUAUGGACUAAUAUUAGGUUCCAAAUAAAGAGACUUUAUUGAAUUCUCAAAAAAAUAUGACUUUCUUUAAUGUAUACCCCAAUGAUAAGUCCUCUACCAGAAGCCUAUGGGUACGAUGGUUCAGUAUCUCAGCUGUUUCUUCAGGACAUAGAUCUCAGAUGUCCCACCUGAAAUAUACCAAUAUACCAUAUGAAUCCACACUGCCAUUUUGGGUGCCACAGCCCCAAGUGCGUCUGUCAUGACUGGGACUAAUGAUGCCUUCAAUUUCCACAUCCUUCAGUCCUUUGUAUUUGUCCAUCUUCUCAUGUUCCUUCUACUUGAUGUUAUGGUCACUGGGCAUUGACACAUAUACCACCACUGUAGUCUUCCGUUCCUUGUCUACCACCACAAUGUUUUGUUGGUUGGCCAUUACUUGUUUUUCUGUCUGGACCUGAAUGUCCCACAGGAUCCUAGCCCUGUCAUUCUCAACUACCCUUUGUGAUAUCUCCCAUCUGGACCAGUCGAUAUUCUGUACAGAUGUUUUGGUAAACAAUCCCAGCAACUUGGUUGCACAUCUCAGUGUAUGCUGUCUCUGUUAACAUCUUGCACCCAACUAAUAUAUACUAUAUACUGUAUAAUAACAGGGAUAUAUAUAUAUAGUUUCAGAACAGUUACAUGUUAGCUGUGCAUGCAUCAAUUUUGCUGAUAAUUGCACUUGACUGUUUUGCUGUUUCAGUUGUUUACCACCAUGAUGUUGAAGACAUGAAAUAACUAAUUUGGUACCCUUAAUUAUGGCAAUCCCAUGUAAGGAUAUCAAACUAGGGUGCUACCUACUAAAAAGCUGAAAGAUCGAUAUUAGGAAGAAAAAAAAAGUAGUUACAUUAAAUUAGAUCUUUUAGAAAGCUGUUUAGUAAAUAACUCCUUAAUUUGGUACCCUUAUGCAGGAUUACUGUUUUUAAGGAUAUCAAACGAUGGAGAUGUCUCCUAAACAGUGCCCUAAUAGGAAUGAUGGAGUCUGAAUUUCUUUCACUUCUGAAAAUAUUCCAAAUUUAGUUUUGUUCCACACCGAUGAUAUCCAAAUUUUGGACAACUUGAAAUUUGAAAAUUAAUGAAUUUGAACUAAAUACAUUUUGAACACAUCCAACAUUCCUCUCUUAAUUGCAUUUCCCCCUUUCUCUCCUUCAGAUAUAUCCCUCUUUUUUUAAAAUUUAAAUUCUUAAUUUUUGUCUUGACAGCAAACAAUCAAUACAGCGCUGGCAUGAUGAUAAACACAGGUCUUAGGCAGUGGUGGAACUAAUGAAGAGAGGGCCCUGGUGCAAGAAAAUUUAUUGAGCCCCCCUCUAGUGUAAGAGUGGCCAAAAGGUAGAUCCCUAUCUGUCGUACAGCUCCAACGAUGCUAUGCCAGCCGGGAAUCUACUUUUUGCCCAUCCUUGCAAGGUUGUAUUUCAGUGCAGUGUUUGAGCGUUUGAAUGUAAGCAUGUUUUUGUAUACUGUAUAUGUGUGGAUGUUGGGGUGUUUUUGUAUGUACUGUUGCCAUUGGAUUGCAGUGGUGUACUUGUGUGUUGUGUUUGCAUUUGAAUGAAGGGAUAUGUUCGUAUGUAGUGUUGACUUUUAAAUGCAAGUGUACUUUUGUGUGUUGUUUUGUUGUUUGAUCGAAGGGGUGCUUAUAUGUAAUUUUGGUGCCUUGAUACAUGGGUGUGUUUGUAUGUAAUGUUUGCAUGGGUGUAUUUGGAUGUAAUGUUGGUUUUUAAAUGCGGAUGUAAAUAUGUGUGUAGUAUUGGUGUUUGAGUGAAGGGGUGUGUUUGUAUAUAAUAUUUGUGUUAAAUUUGCAGGAGUGUGUUUGUAUGUUGUGUUGGUGAUUGCUUAAAUGUAUGGACAUACACACAUAAUUUACCACAUACAUACUUACACAUAUAUACACAUAUACACAGAUAUGUUUAUAAACACACUGACUCACACAUAUUCAUAUAAACACUGACACAUGCACACACCCGGACACAUGCAGAUACAUGCAUCCUGACACACACGCACUCACUGACACACGUACACCUCCUGAUAUACACACACACAUACACAUAUGCACACCCUAACACACAGAUGCACACACACCUACACAGAUGCACACCCUGACAUACAGAUGCACACAGACACGCCACCCUCCUGCUUACCUUUUGUGUCCAGAAAGAUGGCUUGCCUGGGGUCUAGCUGCACCUGGCUGAGGUUUAUGGGAGUGAGUGUGCGAGCUCCCAGCAGCCUCUCUCCCUCCUGCCUGUCUACCUCCUUCCUCCGCGUGGCACUCUUCAUUUAGGCUAGGAGGAACUGACCGUGGCGGUUUAUCACUUCCUCCCAGCCGGACGAUCAUACAGGUCCCGGUUGCGAUCUUAAAGGGCCGCUUUGCCUUCUGGGCCCCUGUAAGCGAUAAAGAAACAAUACUUAUCAGGUGACCCUAAGUCCAUGGGUCACCAAGUGGGCCUCCCAAAGAUUGCGGGUCCCGGUGCAGUCACCUGUGGUAGUUCUGCCUCUGGUCUUAGGUUAAAUGUUGCACACAUUAUACAGUUUACCAAUAACAUAUAAUUAGCAUUUUUCAUUACUACACUAGGGUCAGGCCCCUUCUAGUCUGUGUAUUUUGUAGUUAUGUUGACUUAUCCCUCUUUUAUCUAGGUAUCUUGCCGUCUCUUCACUAGACAUUUCUUUUUCUCAUAUACCCUUGUAGCGAACGCUGGUAUGACAGGUACACGUUCGCCUAUUCUCUCCCGAACUGCUAGAGCCUGAGUGAGUAUAGCUUGCAGUUCGGGUGUUGAUUUGAACGCUUCUCCAGGCAAAUUACAGCCUCCAAUUAUAUUCUCUCAGCAAAGUAGACAGGUACCCAAACAUCAGUCGAAACUAGAUGAAGGGUGUAACAGGAAUGCUUUAUUCAGGCUAACCGCCUGGCUUUUAUGCAGUGAACAAUGCACAGGGUUUCAGUUGACAUAUUCCAGGGGCAUUCCCCACUGGACUUGAGAGGGGACAGUGACAAAAUACAUUCUGCAAAUCCAUUGUCUCUCGGGUCCAGGACGCUCCUACUUACAGUAAUAUAAUCUUCUCCUGUAAUAGGGAGAUAAUUGAGUCAAGUGAUUUACUAAACUCAAUUAUCUCCCAACACAAAAAAACAUACAUUUCCAUAAACUUUAGAAAGUACCACAAACUCCAUGGGAACCCAUCAUAAAAAUCCCCUGAUAGCCUCGAUCUGGGUGACCAACAUAAUCAAAAAUCACCCAGAUCGGUUCAAGGGUUCAAAAGUAACAUGGAGGUCUUAAUUUGAGCAACCGCACCUGCCCAGAAGUAGUUCCACGAAAUUGGGCUGUGCGGUCGGUCUACAAAAAACGAAUAAAUCUACAAAUGGUUCCCCUGGCUCAUGGGUAGUGUUUGUUCCGCUAGUUCAUGGGAACAAAUCUACCAAAUAGCGCUCUCCUGGCUGGUCUGUGAAAGGAAGCAGGCGUUCGUGUAGUUUGAGCGGCAUUCGGGAAGUCGAGUAUCUGAUUUUGGUUCCAGACACUCGACGACCAAGUACCGCUGCCUCCUUUCGUGCAAACAAGAUGGCUGCUGUUUUCUCUUGCACGUGGUGUUCGACUAUAUGAACGGCAGCCAAACAGGGAGAGCACUAAAUUGGUGGUUUGCUUUAAAGUAAAUGAGCCAGGGGGUGGUCGGUGUUGGGUAAUUUUAUAUACCGAACAGGGAAACAACAAAAAGUCGAAAUAACAGGGGUAGUUUCUUCACAGCCCUCCUCUCUACUGUAUUUUUAUAAAAAGAAUCAUCAUAAAAAUGUUGCCAUGUAACAGUUGUAACUGAAUGUUUUUAUGAUAGUAGAUUAUGAGUCUUAUUAAAAGAGAGCAUGGAGGCUUAAUAAGUGCUUAAUCAGUUCUAGUAGAGAGAUGUAGUAUGCUGGCAUAUGCAUUUACUCUUUUGCUUUAACUUAGAUUUCUUAGUAAUGGUGCCAUGUGAAUUUUCACACGUGUGGCAUGAAUUCCAUUAUUGCUAUGAGCAAACAGGUGGGUAAGUUUAGUUCCUGCCCUACAAAUCAAAAGCUAAUUAUUGCCAAUUAUUAAUGUUUCCAUGUAAGAUAUGCAAACAGUUCCAGUGAAAGUGCAAAGUGUGCCCAAUUAUCUCCAAGAGCUUUUAUAAUGUUGGUGUGGAGCUACAUGCCAUUUAUUAUUGAAAUCUCUUUAAAUGAAAUAACCUACUUAAAGAGCAUGAGAAAAUUCCAUAGAGCAUGAGAAAAUCUUUACAUGUGCCCCAAACUUGCAAUUCUGGCAUUCACUAGGUUAAUCUUAUACUAGGUUAAUCACUGGGAUAAUCUAAGUCUAGCAUAAUCUUUUCAGAAUUGUUAGGGGAUAUUUACAAAAGUGGUAUGAAAAAUGGUUUAGAUUUCUAAAACUGGGGCUAAUGACCAUGGGAAGAAAUGGAAGCAACUGGCACAUUGCAUUGGUGGUAAGAUUUGCAAAUUUGCACCUUUUUAUCAUUACAAUCAGUGGCAGCUGGUGAAGUUUAAAAAUGCAGGUGGGGCUUGAUUCUAUUCCUGGAAUUUGACUCUGUCCUGUGACUUGUUGGACUGCGUCCAUUUAACUCAAUGUACUCAAUGUCUGACUCCUUGAGAUGUCAUGCCCCGUUCAACCCCAUAAAUCUAAAGAUACAUGUAAACAAAAUCUUUACAGAAGUCUGAUGAUAAUGCUACUCAAUGACAACCCUAGGAGACAGGACAAUAUGCAGGUCUGUCUUUUAGCGUCCAGGAUCUUACAUCCGAAAGCCAAUACAUGACCCCAAAACUGUUGUUAGGGUAGGCUAAGCAUGUCUCGGAGGUCUAUAACCAGAGAAUGGAGGCUUUCACAAAAAAUAGCCCAAGAGUAUGUUGUGUUUAGAUUUGAUUUGUUUUUUAUUUAACAAAAGCUGGGUGGGGCAAUGCCCCAACUGUCCUUAUAGACCAGCCUCCACUGGUUACAAAACAAAUCCCCCCCCGUACUGUCUUGCUAAAUAAAUUAUCUAAAAUGUCCUGAAUUCUCUAAAGUGUGUGGAAUUUGAACAGUCUAGGGCACAUUUAUAAAUUUCAGCUUGCCUGCUUUUUAUGUUAGAAAGGAGCAGAAGUGCAAAGGAGAUCUCAUCUCAUUCAUGUCUAUACAGCUUGCCUCUUUUUCGCUUUGAGUUCUCUUUUCUCUAAACCUUUUAUACCCAUGACAAUUACAUUUUCUUGGUUUAUAUGCUCAUUUGUAAAUAAUAAUAGAAAAAAUGAACAAAAACACUUUAUUAUGUUAUAUACAAAUUAUAUCAAGCAUGGAGAUAUGAUUUCCUUGAUAGCAUCAACCUACUUAUCCCCUUCAUGACUGAUGGUAUACAAAAGAUAUCUGUGUGUAUGAUCAAGGCCUUUUUAGCAAAUUAGCUAUUCUUCAUUUUUAUCAUAAUUUAAUGCUUUCCCUGUAAUGCACAAAUGCAUACUAUAUAUUGUUUUAAUGGACAGUUAGAGUUUUUUUCUGAUGUCGUAUAUGCAUACUUAAAAUACUAAUUUGUCAAAUAAAAAUAUUAAAAGUAGAAAAGAAAUUAAAGCAGAAAAAAGACUUAUCAGGGUGUGACAGUUUUCAGACACUGCAUUUUGAUCGUGUUAAAAUCACUACCAAGUCUCUUUACCCCACCCCCUCCUUACACCUCUAAAUGUAGUAAAAUCUUACCUUUAUUCCAGUUUGCUGGUGCUGGUAUUGUUUCUGCCCCUGAUCUGUCUCCUUGGCUGAUAUCAUCAGAAGUGAUGAUCUCAACCAAUCACAAUGAUUCCCAUAGGAAGCUUUUUGGGGGUGGAGUCAAACACCACCCUGGCAAAUCAGCAUCUCUUCAUAAAUGCAUCUCCAUGAGGAAAAUUCAGUGUAUCCAUGUAGAAAGUGGAGACAUUGAUUGUCAGUGUUGCACACUGUGCAGCACUGCCCCAGGAAGCACCUCUAGUAGCCAUCUGAGGAGUAGCCACUGGAGUUGUUUCUAGGCUGUAAUGUAAACAUUGCCUUUUCUCUGAAAAGACAUGCAAAAAGCCUGCAGGAACUGACUACUCACCAGACCAACUACAUUAAGUUGUAGUUGUUCUGGUGAUUAUAGUGUCCCUUUAAAUGAUAUAUUUCUUAAAUAGUUAUUCUGUAAGUUAUUUAAACAAAGCAAUUUCAUUUUUGUUCUGCUGAUGCAAAGGUAACAGUAAAAUGGUAGAGCUUAUUUACUCCCCUGCCCUACAUAAAUGUAGAUUGAAUGGUAUCACACACUGAAACUUAAUUUACUGUUUCAAAAGAGAGGGUAAGCUGACAUUCCGAGCAUACUUGCAGACAUUAAAUGAGUGAUUAGUGGCUUCUGUAACAUGUAUAUUUUCCGCUAUGGUCUUUUAAUCAUUCCUAGAGUAUAAAUUGUGUGUGACAAUGGACUCAAUUUCUUUUUUCACACAUCAUGUAAGACCCAGGGCCGGCACAUUCUAUAGGUGACUUAGGCAGUCCCCUAGGGCGCACCGGCCGGGGGGGCACCAUAUUUGAGUGACCAGCAGGAGGGAAGCACACAGGGCUCCCUACUGCCGGUCACUCAAUGUAGCGUGGCCAGAAGGCGCGGACCCCGGUACAGGAGAUUCUGUUUCCUGUACCUGGCCGCAGGCGGACUGACAGGAAGUGCUCACUCAGUUCCUGUACUGUGGUCCAUGCCGCCUGGCCAUGCUACAAAGGUAGGAGGCACAAAAGGGAGGGAGGACUACCAAGGCGGGGAGGAAGAGGAGAAGGACCACUAAAGGAGGGAUAAGGAGGGAAAGGACCACCAAAAUGGGGUAAUGAUGGGAAGGUCCACCAAAAGGGGGGAAGGAGGGGAAGGACCAUCAAAGGGGGAUAAGGAGGGGAAGAGCCACCAAAAGUGGGGUAAGGAGGGGAAGGACAACUAAGGGGGGGGGGAGGAUGACUACUAAGGGAAGAGGGGGGUGACCACUAAGGGGGGAAAGGGGAGAGUGAGAAGACCACCAAGGGGGGCUGCAGAUGGACAGGAGGGGAGGAGAGAGCACUAAGGAACAGGAGGGGAGAACACUGAGGGACAGGAGGAAGGGGAGAUCAUUAAUUGACAGGAGGGGAGAGCACUAUACAAAAAUAAAGAGCUGCUCCCCUCUCAGUCCCUAUCCUUCCACACAAACCCUCUCUUUUACACUACACACAUGCACAAUGCAUCCCUACACACACACACACAGAAAUAUACAAUGCAUCCUUACUCACACACAGACACACCGAAACACUCAAUGCAUCCCUUACGUGCACACACACACUGCUUCUCUUACACACAGAAACAAAAUGCAUCUCUUACACACACUCAAUGUACCCCUUACAGACACACACUGCAUUAAAUUACAUACACAGAAACACACCUUGCAUCCCUUACACACACACACCCAGAAACAUACAAUGCAUUCUUUACAAACAAACACACACUACAUCCCUUACACAAAUUGGUAUCCCUAUACACUACAUUCUAUUAGAACACACACAGAUUACAUCCUCUACAAUAACACAUAACACAUCCCCUACACACAUACACUCCACUCCCUGUGAGCAAUGUAGGUGGAUUUAUGGGUGGGCCUUGUAGGCAUACUCACAGUCAGGCUCUGGGGGCCCAGACCUUGAGCUGAGUAAGGGGCCCCAAAAUAUUGAGCUCCUUCCUGUUUGUUAAUUGUUGUGAGCACUGUUACAGACAGACUCCAGAGAGCCUCUUCUACACCAGACCUGGGGAGCCAGACUGCAGCCUGAGCCCAUCAUCAUCCUCUAGUCCUCAUCUGGUGGUAAGUCGGCAAUCCAAUAUAUUAUUAGUGGCACUAAUCUCUAAUUUACCUCACAUUAAAGGGCCACUAUAGUCACCCGAAGCACUACAGCUUAAUGUAGUGGUUCUGGUGUCUAUAACCUGUGCCUGCAGGCUUUUUAUUGUAAACACACUGCAUUUUUAUAUAAAAGACACUUUGUGCAGAACAGGCAUUGGCCCAUAUGGCAGAGCAUAUGGGUGGGGCAUUGUGAUGUCACGUGGUGGGCAGGACAUAUGAGGAGGCGGCAAAUUCUUUUUGCCUAGGGGGGCAAAAAUCCUUGCACCAACCCUGGUAAGACUUUGUGCAUACUGUUUUAUCUCUCAAGUACCACAAUAUCCCACAUGUACAUUUUUGCCAGAUUUAAGGAGGUUUCAAGGGUCAUAAUAAUGACAAACUCUCAUUUUGACAAACCAUUAUUAUCAUUUAUAUUCUGCAGCGCUUUACAGGCCCUGUUUUACACGGAUUCAGGAUAGGCCAGUAUAUAUCCUAAGAUGUCUUGUGCAAGGACACUUACGGAUGUUAUCACUGUGGUAACCAGCCAAUAUUUAAUAUAAUGGUUGCGGUAGUAGAAAUUAAACAAAAAUGCAAGAGAAAUAAAAAUAGACAUGUGGUCUAUACCCCUGAGAACAAUCUCACUCAAUUCAGAAUCUAAUUGGAGUACACAAACAAAUAUUCCCUGCCAGUUCUUUGUAAAGUUAUACAAAAAACAUGAAGUUUCUGGCACACGCGACAAUAACCAAGUAUUGCUUAGAUCUUUUUAUUUUUUUUAAACAAAUAAUUUACAUCUCAAACAAAAACAAAUAAAGAUCUUAAAACUUUAGUUUGUUCCCAAGCAUGAAUUAAAAACGUGACAAAUGUUUUUAAAAUAAAAAUACAUAAAACAUUGAUAAUAAAAACAGUGAAAUUUUAUGCAACUCAAAUCCUUUGGAUGUUAAAUGCAGAGAUCACAUCAAAUAAUAAAAUGCAGACAAGAUUAAUUUACAAAUCUUAUUGAAGAUCAAUAAAAUUUGUUUUAAAUGUAUUUAUGAUAUAUUAUUCGAACAUCCAUUGUUCACUAUAACAAUGUCAACCACAAACAGGUGAACUACUGCCCAUGUCGCCAACACACAUACUCAUACUCCAGGAUGAUUAUACAAUUACAAUUAUUUAUAUAGCGGCAACAUAUUCAAACAAGAAAAACAAUUAAUUCUAACAAAACAUUUUGACAUAAAGGAACAAUAGAUGAAGGUGGCCCUGCCCAAAUGACACAGGAUUUAUGUAAUGACAAAAAAUAUCUGUGCAUUUUACACUUCCAUAAGAAUGUUUUAGGUAUCACAGAAACAAAGCAGUUGCACUGCAUUGCAUGCCCCUUAUUGACAUCAAUGCUCAUACUUUGCCCAAUGACAAAUUUAACUUGCAAAAUGGUGGUCAAUAUGUUGGGGUAGAAAAUGGGAUGUCAUAUAUCAAAGAUCUGUUAAGAGGCUAGGAAAUAAAAUCACUAAUUAACAUACAAACAGAAUAUAGACUAUACGAAAACAAAACUUUUAAAUAUCUGAAAGUAAAAAGCAUUCUCAAUAAAUAAGUGGAUAGAAGUGACAUGGGUACAGCCAGGCAGCUUCUGAACAAUAUGACUCAGCAGACGGAUUAUAAAAAACUGAUGUCAAAUUGUCACCAUGUUUUAAAAACUCUAAGGACAGAUCACGUCUGGGCGGCAAUUAAAAAAUGGGAACAAGAACUUCAAUUGCCCCUUUUACAGUCAGAUUGGAAUCACUCUUUGAAACUGUCGUACCGAGCUAUUCACUGUCUAAAUCUCUAUUCACUGUCUAAAUUACACUAAAAUUUACCCAAAUAGUACUGAUAGAUGCUGGAGAUGUAACAAAUCUAGGGGGGGACCAGCCAUUGGCUGCGCUUCCAGAAUCCUAACGGACUUUUGGUCCAUUAUCUGAUGCUGGAUGUCCUCACGCUCUGCAUGAGGACAUCCAGCGUCAGAUUUUCCCCACAGGAAAGCAUUGAAUAAUGCUUUUCUAUGGGGAGGUCUAAUGCGCGAGCGGCCAUUGCCGCGCCUGUGCAUUGUCUCCCAAGCCGGCUGAUGUCGGCGGGAGAGGAGCAUGGGGAGAGCGGCGCGGUUCAGUUAAGUGGCUGAAGGGGUUUAAAGUGGGGACCUAUGAACCCUAUAGAAAACCAUUUUCCUGGCACUAUAGGAUCCCUUUAAGCUCAAUCUAACCCAAAGUAGAGGAAUUCUUUUUGAAAUGGUAAGGACGUAAAUUCGAUCUUAGUUUCCACCAUGUAAAGGGAAGCUAAAGAAAUAAAUCUAGCAUUACAUCUUAUUUCCUCAUCCUCCAUGUCACAUAAAACGCGAAUAAAGAGGAAUUGAAAGUUCCUGAGGUUUCUUAGGAAUAGAAUCCUGCCAGUCACCCAAAGCCCUCCUCUCUAUAUGAAACCACUACAAGGAGAACUCCAUCAGCUAGUGCACAUGAAAUCGCAAAUCUUCUUAUACAAUGCUUUACCAAUAAUGCCAAUGAUAAGGUUUGCUCUAAUGCAGCAUUUCCCAAACCAGUCCUCAAGACCUACCAACAGUCCAGGUUUUGUUAGUAUCUCCAUUGGAAUAAAACAGGGAAAUACAUAAAUCCUGGACUGUUGGUGGGCCAUGAGGACUGGUUUGGGAACCACUGCUCUAAUGAAUAUGUUACCAGCUUUAAAUCAUAAAUAUAUAUUUACGUGAUGUGCCAGUGGAAUGCUUGGCACCAUGUUGCAAGACUAAAACAGGCACUUCACACCUUUUUACGAGCAUAACACAGGGACAUCACACCAUAUUAGUGCCGAAACCAGGGGGCUGGCUGCACUCACCUUAACAGACAUUAAUAGGGAGCCAAUUUAUACAAUAAAAAAGAGAAAAUCCAGAGCACUCCCUUAUCCACUAAACAGCAACUUUGAUGCUGACAGAUUUUUUUAGUUUAAAAAAAAAAAAAAAAUCUAAUCUAGGUUAUUUGAAUUGCCCUGUGCUAGGGUAUAAAUCAGGGCAGUGUGUGAGACGUAACGCUUUGUAUAGUGGGGGAAUAUAUUAAUUUACCCGAGCACACAGAUUGCACUCCCAGGACUUGCUACAGCAACCAGGACUUACCCAAGCACUGAGAUUGUACUCACAGGACUUGUCCCAGUACCCACCCCAGCAUCCAGGACUUACUCCAACACUGAGAUUGCACUCAUGGAACUUGCUCCACAACCCAGGACUUACCCUGGUAUUUAGAUUGCACUUACAGGACUUGUCCCAGGACUUCAAACUUGUACCAUGCAGGAGGGAAAAGAUGCCGGACGAGAUUUCCAGUGGCAACAAAGACAUUACAUUGGCCGCGAGAGUGCUCUCUCAUGGUGACACAUCUGCAUCCCACCAUGGCUAAAUUCUUAAAGGCUGCAUCACACAGCUGCCCCAGGGCACACAGGCCUUGCACAAUAUUGCAAGCUGGAGUCUUUAACAAAAAGAAAAAAUCUAUUGAUCACAUAAGCAAUAAGAAUAAAGUACUUAACUUUGUACAAAUGGAGUAGCUUCCCUAGAGGUCUUCCCCAUUUAGACCUCUUCAAUAUCAGAUGUGUAGAAAAACAGGAAAUAGGGAUACAGCUACAAGCUACAAUAUGAAAAACAAAUAUAUAACAAAUAUAUUUUAUUUUAUUGGGCAUUGGUGCCUUUAAUAAAUCCACUUUUUUCAACAUUUCUAAAUCUGGAACCUGAUUAUAUCCGGAGCUACCUGAGCCUGGCAAUUGUCUACCAUACUUCACGGUGGAAGCGGUCCAGUAUAAUCCCUCAGUGGAUUUCAAGGCGUUUUAUUCACUUAAAUCUUGUGAGUGCAACUAUCAUGGCAGUGUUGUAUUUUAUUAACUGUACAUCAAUAUGUGCUGUUUGUUUUACAUAUUGUAGCUUGUAGCUGUAUCACUAUUUCCUGUUUUUCUACAAAGCUGGAGUCUUUAAUGGUGUAAUUUUUUUAUAACUAACAAAUACCUUGGUUGUGACAGUUGAACUCAGGUUGUCUGAGUAUAGGGGGAACUGCAUGUGAUGUACUGGGGUGUCUGGAUGCAAUGGGAACUGCAAAUUGGGCUGUCUGAGUGUGAUGGAAAGUGCAUGUGAUGUAUUGGGUUGUCUGUGUGUGAUAGGAAUAGUUUGUGUGUGAUGAUAUUGGCCUGUGUACAUGUGAUGGAAACUGUGUGUUUACACUGGGCUGGCUCUGUGUGAUGAGAAUGUGUGUGAUCAUUUUGUGCUGUCAUUGUGUGAUGGUUUUGUGCUGGCUGUGUAUGAUACUGUAUUUCUUAGUAAUAACCUGAUGAGUAGAUAGAAUAAUGUAACUGGUUAUCUGUGCUGCCUGUGACCUGUAUGAAAGUUGGUGAAUCCUAGAGCAAAACAAACUAAAAUGACGUGUUUCAUCCUCAUACAAUAUGUAAUCUGGGGACAUACAUUUAAUCUAUCUAAAAGCUUCACUUCAAGUUACUUACUGUCUCAGUAGUAAUGCCACUGUUCAGAGUGUCCGCUCGCUCCCUCAGUCCCUCUUCAAACUGCAGUCUCAGCCAGGUAGGGUAAGGUGUAGCCGAACUAUCUGCUCCGCUCGCUCCCUAGUCCCUCUGCAAUCUCCAGGCAGGGUAAGGUGUUGCUGCCAUCUCCGCUUCACUUGCUUCUAUCCCCCUUCCUUCCAUGUCUCUCCCCAAAUUCCAUCUCUCUGUCCCUCUUCUAUGUCUCUCCCCUUCCAUCCAUGUCCUUCCCCCAUUUCAUUCACAUCUCGCUCUUAUGUCCCUUACCUCCUAUCCAUGUCCCCCUACGUGUCUCUCUCCCCCUCAUCCCCCACCCAUCCGUGUCUCUCUCCCGCCUCAUGUCCCCCAACCAUCUGUGCCUCUCUCCCGCCUCAUGUCCCCCAUCCAUCCGUGUCUCUCUCCCCAUGCCCCUAUCCACCCGUGCCCCUAUCCACUCUCCCAUGUGUCUCUCUCUCCCCCACAUCCAUCCGUGUCUCUCUCCCCCAUCCCAUGUCUCUCUCUCCCCAUGUCUGCCCCCCUCCCAUGUCUCUGUCUCCCCAUGCCCCUCCAUGUCUGUCUUCCCAUGCACCCCUCCAUAUCUCUCUCUCCCAAGCUACCCCCUCCCAUGUCUCUCUCUCCCCAUGCCCCAUCUAUCCGUGUUUCUCCCCAUCCAUGUCUCUCUCCUCCAUGUCUCUGCCUCUCCCAUGUUUCUGUCUCCCCCCAUGCCCCCUCCCAUAUCUCUGUCUCCCCCAUGCCCCUCAUCCCAUAUAUAUCUCUCCCCCAUGUCCCAUGUCUUUCUGUCGUUAUGCCCUCUCCCUUGUCUUUCUGUCCCCUAUACCCCCUCCCAUGUUCUUCUGUCCCCCAUGCCCCCUCCCAUGUCUUUGUGUCCCCAUGCCCCCCUCUCAUGUAUUUAUGGCUCCCCUCCCAUGUCCCCAUACCCCUCCAUCUCUCCUCUCCCCCCAUACCCCCCCACUCAAUGCUUUCUCUCACAUGCCCAUCCAUCUGUGUAUACUUUCCCCCCAUCCCAUGUCUCUCUCUCCCCCCAUGUCUCUGCCCCUCCCAGCAUCUUUGUCUCCCCAUUGCCCCCUCCCAUCUCUCUCUCUCCCCCCAUGUCUCUCUCUCCCCAUAUCCCCCUCCCAUGUCUCCUCUCUCCCAUAUCCCCCCUCCCAUAUCUCUCUCUCCCCAUACCCCCCCUCCCAUGUCUCUCUCUCCCCCAUGCCCCAUCCAUCCGUGUUUCUCUCCCCAUCCCAUGUCUCUCUCUCCUCCAUGUCUCUGCCCCUCCCAUAUCUCUGUCUCCCCCCAUGCCCCUCAUCCCCAUAUAUAUCUCUCCCCCAUGUCCCAUGUCUUUCUGUCCUUAUGCCCCCUCCCUUGUCUUUCUGUCCCCCAUACCCUUCUGUCUCCCGGGUCCUCCCUCUCCCUCCCCUGCCGGCUGUCAGCACAGUGCCUGCGGACCGGGGAGGGAGAUCUCUGAUUUCUCCCCUGUCCGCAGGCACAUUGCAGGGCUAGCACCUGCAUGUGCUGGCAGGGGAGGGAGACCGGCGGAUUUCUCGGGGGGGGCAAUUGCCCCGUUGCCCCCCCCCCUGGAUCCGCCACUGAUAGGAGGUGGGGUGUAAAACAGAUUAGGACAGGAGUUUGCAGUCAAAUAAGGUGGGCUGCCCUUUAGGACAGAGCAAGAGACAAGUAUGUGAGGUAGAGGUUAGUCUUGGAGGCCAUAAGCUUUCCUAAAGAGAUGGGUUUUAAGGCACUUCUUAAAAGAUGCAAGACUAGGGGAGAGUUUGAUGGCGGUAGGCACGCUAUUCCUUAGGACGGGAGCCGCCCGCGAGAAGUCCUGCAAGCGUGAGGCGGUCACGGGCAGAGCGGAGAGACCGAGAAGGGACAUACCCAUGGAUCUGUGAGGAGAUAUAAGAGGGGAUAGAGUUGUUCAGUGCUUUAUAGGUGUUAAUUAGUACCUUGAAUUGACUCCUAUAGCAUACAGGAAGCCAAUGUAGGGGUGAGGUGUGAGAGAACCGACUAGAGAGGAAAAUCAGUCUGGCAGCAGCAUUCAUAAUGGACUGUAAUGGUGCAGUAUGGCUUUUGGGAAGACCAAUCAGGAGAGGGUUACAAUAAUCCAUGCCGGAAAUUACUAGAGCAUGGACAAGCUCCUUGGUAGCAUCUUGUGUAAGAAAGGGGCGGAUGCGGGCUAUGUUUUUAAGAUGGAAUCUACAGGAUUUGGUAACAUGCUAGAUGUGAGGCUCAACGGUGAGGCCAGAAUCAAGUAUGACGCCGAGACAGCGCGCUUGCAAGGAUGGACUGAUGUGGGUACCACAAACUUGAAGGGAGAGUGAAAGAGGAGGAUCAGUAUUAGGAAGAGAAAAGACAAGGAGCUCAGUUUUAGAGAGAUUGAGUUUCAGAAAGCGGGAGGACAUCCAGUCAGAGAUGGAAGAAAGGCAAGCAGUGACACGUUGCAGGAUGACAGGGGAGAGAUAUAACUGGGUGUCAUCAAUGUUGGCUUUUGAAUGCAGGCGUGCAUUUGUGUGUAGUUUAUACACUGCCACACACAGAUAUACAUACAGAUACACAGACACACAGCAAAAGACAUACAAAUGCACAGACACAAAGCUACACACACCGACACAUACACAGAGAUACACGCACUGACACAUACACAGAGAUAUACCCACUGGUACUUACACACAUUGACACACAGAUACAUACACAGACAUCUGUUGGGUAAGUGUGAUAGGGUUUGGGGAGGAGGUGUUGGGGUAGGUAAGCAUGCCACAGUUAGGGAAUGAGAGUGACAGGGUUGGGGGUUUGAAUGUGAGUGUUUGGAAUUUCUAAGUGAUUGUGGGAGAGUGGCUAGUGUAACCAGGGUUAGGGGUGGUUAGUGAGACAGGGCUAGGGGGCAUGGGAGACAGGCUGGGGGGGCUCGUGAAACAGGGCUGGGGGGACUAGUGAGAUAGGUUUGGGGGGGCUAGUGAGACAGGGCUAAAGGGGCUAGUGAGACAGGGCUGAGGGGGCUAAUGAGACAGAGUUAGGGGGCUAUUGAGACGGUGUUAGAGAGAUAGUGUUAGGGGGUUAGAGAGUUAAUGUGACUUUGCAAAACCUGCUUACCAUCUGUGCAGGCAGGGGAGGCAAUAAUUAAGUUCAUGGUGGUCCAGUGGGCUGCUGGUUUGCUCCCUGGUUGUCCACUGUGUUGCUAGGGCUGCCGCGCGGUUCUGGCAAACUGUGAUGAUGUCAGAGUGCAGGUUGGGAACCAGGCGCUUGUGCUCUGACACUCACAGUGUACUGGAACCGUGUGGGAGUACGGCAGCCCCAGCAGCACGCUGGACCACCAGGGAGUUCACUAGACUACCAGGGAGUCAGUUUGUAACAACUGGCAGGGCGAUCUUGUGAUAUCCCUGCUGGCUCAAGGAAGGGGGCUCGACCCCCCUCCGCCGCUGCCCCCUCAGUGUGCAGGUCAGCUGCCAGCAACAAUUUAUUUUAGGAUUUAUGGUGAUCCUAAAAUAAAUUGUUAUGGAUAGAGGGCAAACGGAGUAGCUGCUUUGGGCCCCCUAGGAGUAACUGGGCCUGGGGUAGCUGCCCCGUUUGCCCUGCAUUAAAGACUGCCCUGCAUAGAGAUUGAGUAGAGAGGGUAGUUGGUAAUGCAGAAGAAUGGAAAGUAGAAUACCUCAGGUUUCUGUUAUAGGUUUACUUCUUUUUAAUUUUGUUUGUAGAUGAUCUGGAAAUGGGAACGUGUCAGUGUUCGAAGAUGACACAAAACUAGAUGAAGUAAUCCACUCUGACCUGGAUAUUACUUUUCUUGAGAAGGAUUUUGAGGAUUGGCAGAUGAGUAGCAGAUAAGAGUCAAUUCAACCCCUUAGUGACCAGACCGUUUUUCAAUUUUCUUACUAUUAAGGACGAGGGAUGUUUUUACAUUUCUGCGGUGUUUGUGUUUAGCUGUUAUUUUCCUCUCACUCAUUUACUGUACCCACACAUAUUAUUAUAUACAGUUUUUCUCGCCAUUAAUUGGUCUUUCUAAAGAUACCAUUAUUUUCAUCAUAUCAUUUAAUGUACUAUAAAAAAAAAAAAAUAUAUAUAUAUAUAUGAUGAAAUUUUUUUUUAAAAAAUAAACUUUUUCUAACUUCAACACCCAAAAUCUGUUACCCAUCUACAACCGCAAAAAAACACCCAUGCUAAACUUUUAAUAAAAAGUCUGGUUGUAUUUUUCUUUUUUUGAAAUACAGAAUAUUAAAUUAAUUAAUGUAGAAAAACUUAAUACUACAAUAAUUAAUGUAGGUUGUUCCUGUGUGUUGAUUCAAGGAGAUAUCGGAUUGCCAUUUUGGAAUUAAGAAGGAUUUUCUCCGGUUUGUGUCACAAACAGGAAAUGUCUUCAAACUGGGUUUGUUGCCUACAAUAGAAACAGAUGCCUGGACGGUUGAACUUGAUGGACAUAGAUUACUAUGUUACCGUACUUUUUACAAUCCAAGAAGACAAGAAAUAAGUCUGCUAACUGUACCAUGAAUAAUUACAUUUGAAUAUUUAUAUAUAUAUAUUAUACUUGCAUCAAUAUUCAGUUCCAUUGUGAUGGAAUCACUUUAUUACACUUAUGUGUCGCUGGUAGAAUGUCUUCCGUUGUCAUGUUGGUGGAAUAAAGUGAUUGAAUAGAAUUAAGUAUUGCAGAAUGAAUUAAUUUAUUUUUACUGUUUGAAGGGACUUCCAGGACCCCCAAACUCUUCAUCUAUUAUAUUUUUUUGUGUAGUUUAAUGUAGAUAGUCCUGAAUCUAACAGGAGGGCUUAAAACUCUGAUGAGAAAUACAACUCCCCAUAGCAGUGAAUAAGAGAGCAGAUAAACACAGGCUUAUUAGAAUUUCGACAAUAUGUCGUAUAAGAAUUAAUAAAAUAAAGACAAACAUGAAAAUGUCAAGGAAAAUAGAGAUAUCAGGGGAGAUGAUGCCAUGGUUUUAUAUGGAGCACAGCAUUUCUUGAUUAUAAGUACAGCGCUGUUCAUGCUUACAUGAAAAUACAUCUGACUUUCAUCAGAUAUUUACAUUGUUAUGUAGUAAAAUGUCUGUCUGCUUGUUUUUAACACUAUUAUAUAUCAUUAUUAUACUGUUAACAAAUAGUCAAUCUGUAGAGUCCCAGACUGCUGAGAAAAAAAAAAAAACACAUCUGGCAAUCAAAUCAUUAAAAUAGUUCUAGAGAAAUGAUGGUUCACAAUAUCUUCUUCAGCCUAAACGAGGUAUUGGAACUUUUUAUGUUUUUCACAUUUUUCCUAGUACUCUACAUAUUUGUAUUUUCAGAGCACAUGGGCAUGUUUUUAAAUCCUAGGGGAGAAUGAAGGAUUGUUACUACUUAUGGUCCUAAUGGGCUUCUUGUUAAAAAAGUAGACAUUUCUAAAAUCUUCCCAUAUUAAUAGAACCAAUUAGGGAAUAAGACUGUUUUUCAGAUGACAUACCAGAUUAUUUAUAGAAGGCCAGGUUAAGCUUUGCUCUGUCUCUUCCAAGUAGAAAAUGUAGAGUUCUCAAGCAGCUGUGAGCAAUAUCAGAGUAUUCUAAUGGUAAAUAUCAUUGGGAUUUACUCAUGUUAUCUCAUGUAAAUACAUAUAUCCAAAACAUAUGUGAGUGAUAACAAUUAUUGCAUUCUUGUGUGUUCAGGAGCAUUAACCGGUAAUAUAACGUGUUCUUUCGGCUACACUAAUUUAAACAAUAUAUAUAUUUUUUUUAUUAUUCCAUAUUAUAUAUAGCCCAGACUAACAAAAGAAUAGUUAAGUACUGAUAUUGGUGAAUUUCGUUUCCCAUGAUCCUUAGCCAGGGUAAGGUUUUGCUAAAAUUUAUAUGUAGUAGACGUCGGGCUCAUUUUUAUGCUUGUCAUAAUAAUUUAGUGACAUAUUGGUAAUCACUAAAAUAUACAAAAUACAGAUUAAGUAACAGUGCACACACAAAAAAAUUAAAUCACUCUCACCUCUCUACUUCAGAUGCCUCUAUGGAGGUUACCACAGGAAAGUAUACAUUUGAGGGGAAGUAUUGAAUAGCAGUGUCACUUUAAUAAUAUUUAUUUGAGAGUGGAUUUAAUACAUGUUUUGUCAAUUAUAUGCAAAAGAACCAUCACUAUAAUUAUUUAGUUAUAGCACUUUUUUCUUUUUUGAAUUACACUUUUGCUCACAUAUAUUUUAAAUCUGAUAUAUAGGAUUAAUUGAAUGCACUUCAUCUUAAGCUAUACUCAUUUAGAACUGGCACUAUUUAAAUAGUAAGUAUUGAACUUAGCAUGUUUGUCUCCCAUGUUAAAUUUAGUGUAGGACCCAAUGAAAUUGGGGUACUGUUACAUAGUCGUGGGCUAAACACAAUAUGGUGAUCUAUUAGAACUAAAUCCCACUAUUUGUUCAUAAAUAUGGAAUUUGGCAAUCGGGUGUGUGUGUCUAAUACAAAGGGCAACUUGACCAGAUGACUGCAAGUGAACUGGCCAUAUUCUUUGCGGACCUUUUAUAGCAUCCUGUUGAACUGGAAAAUGUACCUAUUCCUUAAUUUAUGUGCAGUUUGCAAAGUGUAAACACUAAGUGCUGGUCACUAUCAGCACCCCAAAAAACUUAAUUUUUACCUGAAAAUAUCUGACACCUGUUGCUAUUAAAUAUUCCUUAACUUUGGCUAUCAAUGGGAAACAUGGAAACUAGCCCAGUCUAUUCUCUGCUAAUUUUAAUUGACUUUUACUUCUUUAAUAAAUUGUAAAUAUUUGUUAAGCUAGUCAUACUAUUAUGUUUAUUCCAUACAAUCAGCAUGUAAUGCCUAGUAAUGCUCUUACUAAUCUUGUGUAUUUUAUCUAUUAAUAAAACAUAUUCUAAAUACAUUUCUAAAAAUAAUAAAAUUAAUUUAAAAAGUUAUUAAAAAAAAUAUUGCUAUAUCUUAGACUAAAAAGUUAUAGAGGGUUAUAUUUUUUAGAUUUAUUAUGCCUGAUUAAUGCAAAGUAUUCAUAUCAUUAUAUAAAAUGCCUUCCCAGUGCAAAAAUUAUAUAUUUUUCUUGAAUACUGGAGAGAGUACAUUAAUUGAAAGAUGAAAACUAGUUAAACUAAAACAUGUAUGUUGAAAUAUGUAUAACACAUUCCAGAGGACAAAAAGUACAAUAACGGAAACUCCUGAUGGGCAUAAAGAAAUAAAUUAACCUAAAAAUAGUCAUAUGUCCUACAUCCCACACUGAGUAUAAUCCUUUGGGUUUUCUUAUUGCAAAGGUAAAAAUUCCAAAGAUUUCUCAUUUAUGUCACCAUCCAAACAUUUCUCUAAAAUCUAAAAUAAGAAAAUGCUAACAUCACUAUUUAAACUUUGAAACAUGUUUACUAAUGGAAAUAUCUCAGAGUGUGAGCUGAUUUGGAAAUAAAGGAACACUGCAAGCACCAUAACCACCACCGUGUGCUGUAGUAGGUGUAGUGCCAGGAGUGCCACGACACCCUCCAAGAGUAAGUAGUCAAAUGUUUAGCAAUUUUACUUACCUGGGAUCUGCUGUGUGUCAGCCACAGCCUCCUGAUGAACCUGUAACAGAAGCUCCAGUUAGCUAUCCUGAUCUAAGCCCUGCAGCACUCAGCUGUUGCUCUCGGCCAAUUACCUAAGCCAUGCACCAAAGGGUUAGGUCACUGCAGAGAGUACAACAUAGGAGAAAGAAACUGGUGCCUUACCCCAGGUAAGUUAUCAAACUGUUUGAGUACUUACCUUAGACCACUCCUGGCAUCAUAACCAUCAUGCAGUGUACUUUUUUAUGUCCACUUGUGGAGCUAGAUUAUAGAUUGCAAGCUGUGACCUAUGUAUACAGCUUAUAACAUAGUUACAUAGUUACUUAGGCUGAAAAAAGAUAUGUGUCCAUCAAGCGCAGCCUUCCUUACAUCCAUAUUUUGCUGUUGACAAAAAAGAAGGCAAAGAAACACAGUUUGAAGCACUUCCAAUGUUGCAACAUACUAGGAAAAAAUUCUUUCUUGACCCCAGAAUGGCAGUCAGAUUUAUCUUUAGAUCAAGGAGCUAUUACUCUACCGCUGAAAAAUGAUAUAACUGAAAAUUAUGUUUUUGUAUGUAUGCACCUAGUUGCUGUUUAAACAUCUGUACAGACUCUGAUAAAACCACUUCUUCAGGCAGAGAAUCGCACAUCUUUGUUGUUCUUACAGUAAAAAAACAAAAAACGUUUCCUUUGCCUAAGACUAAACAUGUAAGACGAUACGUAGCAAAAUGAAGGAAAAGCUAAAGUUAAUAAUGUUGCCAGUAUAUCUUAUUUUGGCAUUUGUGGAAACAAAUUUGGUUAUGCAGUAAAUAAGGACGUAUCUGAAAUUGAUAUGGAAAUUGCACAUUUUAGCCCAAAAUAGAUCAUCUGUAGUUUAUGAUAGCUCAACUCUUCUUGCUUGGAUAACGUGGCCUAGAAAAUUGAAUUCUCUGUUCAAAUCAUGUAAAUAAUUAUGCAUGAUGAUUGAGAUAAGCAUACAUGUACAAUACAUGCAAUACUGUCCCACCUAUUGUUUCUCGCAAUAUGUAGUCAAAAUAAGUGAUGUACCGAACGGUUCGCCGGCGAACGGUUCCCGGCGAACAUAGCAUGUUCGCGUUCGCCACGGCGGGCGAACAUAUGCGCGGUUCGACCCGCCCCCUAUUCGUCAUCAUUGAGUAAACUUUGACCCUGUACCUCACAGUCAGCAGACACAUUCCAGCCAAUUAGCAGUACAGCCUCCCUAGCAGACCCUCCCACCUACUGGACAGCAUCCAUUUUAGAUUCAUUCUCAAGCUGCAUGCUUAGUAAGAGGAGGGAAAGUGUAGCUGCUGUUCAUAAGAUAGGGAAAAGCAUAGCUAGGUUAGGAUAAGGGUAUGCUUUUUUUUUAUUUAUUUUUUCUAUGUAAUGUAAAUGCACUUAGUUGUCUGCCACUGCUGCCAGCUUCUGUGUCAGGCUCACAGUGCCCAUUUUCCCAGUCAGUGCCACCAAUUACAUCUGGUGUCACAAUAGCUUGGAUUUAAAAACAAAAAACUUUUUUCACUGUUAUAGAUUGAAUAGCAGUCAGUGUCAUAAAGCGGGUGUGUUACGCUAACAGUGGAUACGCUGACAAGUGCCACUAAUUAGAUCUGGUGUCACAAUAGCUUGGAUUUAAAAACAAAAAACUUUUUUUACUGUUAUAGAUUGACUAGCAGUCAGUGUCCUUAAAGCGGGUGUGUUACGCUAACAGUGGAUACGGUGACCAGUGCCACCACUUAGAUCUGGUGUCACAAUAGCUUGGAUUUAAAAAAAAUCCACUUUUUUCACUGUUAUAGAUUGAAUAGCAGUUAGUNNNNNNNNNNNNNNNNNNNNNNNNNNNNNNNNNNNNNNNNNNNNNNNNNNNNNNNNNNNNNNNNNNNNNNNNNNNNNNNNNNNNNNNNNNNNNNNNNNNNUGUUAACUCACGGGCAGCUGGCUCAUCAAGGAACCACAGCAGCUUUCCAUGUACAGGUAAGACACGUGCAGCCGGUAAGGGUUCAGGCUCUUCUUCCUGGAGGAUACGCUGCAAGCCUGUUGAACGAGGUGACUUUGCUCGGGUCCCAGGUGUACGGUUCCUAAAAUGGCUGCCAUAUACACGUCCACUGAUAGGAGACGCUGAAGGUAUUAAACUGAUCAGAACAAUACUAAACACACCACAAAUAAGGUUUCUCUCCUGUAUGGCUCCUCAAAUGAUGCUUAAGAUUAGAAGCGGCUGAAAAGCAUUUCACACACAGCGAACAAAAAUAUAUUUUAACAUUCUCUCCACUUUGAACGAAAUGACGUUUGGGAAGAGAUUAACAUAAUUAAACACAGGCAGUAAAAAUACAGUUUUUAGCCAUACCCUGUAACUUUAAAACUACACAUCCCAUCUCCAUAAUUACAUAUUUGGAAUCAGCACACUUAAAACAUAAACAUAACCAAAAAUCUGCCAAAUCCAUCCAGGGGUUAAAAAGUUAGCUGGAGGUCCCUUUAUGACCGACCGCAAGCAUUUUCCCUGCCCAAAACAGUUCCAUAGAUUUGGCUGAGGUCGGGUCCAUUUCCAGGGUUGAAAAUCCACUCGUCCCAUCGCACGGGACUUAGUCUCUGCAGCUGAAAUAAGGCUGAAAAAAAGACUAAGUCCCAUCGCCGAAUGGGACUUAGUCCCUGCAGCUGAAAUAAGGCUGAAAAAAACGGCUGAAAAAAAGACUAAGUCCCAUCGCCGAAUGGGACUUAGUCUCUGCAGCUGAAAUAAUUUCCCAUUUACUGAACCAAGUGGAAAAUAGCAAGGCAGGCACAAAGGGUUUGCACCCGGUCUGGGGACACAGGGGACACCGUCUUAAAGGGGCCGUGUCCCCAACAAGUCUGGGGACACGGCCUUAAAGGGGCAGUGUCCCAAUCUUCCUGAUGUCCCAAAAAGUGUUUAAAGGGACAGCACCAGUCACAUAAAGAGUCCAUAAGCCCCAAUAUGCCCACUGACAGUCUUAAAGGGCCAUACACACCAAAUAAAAGUGCAUACAUUUUCACAAUCUCCCAGGGGCCAUAGUCAAGCGGGAGGAGGCUGGCAAGUAGGCUUCUCCACAACCCAGGGAAGCAGGGCAAUUUGCCAUUUAAAGGGCACGUUACAAAUAGCAGUUUGUAACAAGGUGUCAAUCCAUAUCUGCCAAGUGACCAUGGGACCAGUCCCUAUUCUGCUCUGUGUCAGUGUGUAUCAGGGAACCUUAGGACAGGUGUCAAUCCAUUCAAGUGACCAUGGGGAACAGUCCCCAUUCUGCUCUGCGUCAGUGUGUAUCAUGGUCCUUGGAGGACAGGUGUCAAUCCAUAUCCGCCAAGUGACCCCUACAUGUAGGGGACCAGUCUCUGUCUGCUCUGGUGUGUCCGUGUGCAUCAGGGGCUCUGAGGACAGGUGUCAAUCCAUAUGUCAAGGUGUCAAUAUGUCAUAUGUCAGGUGUCAAUCCAUAUUGAUUGUGAUUUAGGAAUGUUAGGUGAUUUCUGCCCUUUAUGGAUUAAAACCAGACUCUGUAUCAACUGUGUAAUUUUCCAUGGGAGUUUUGCCAUGGAUCCCCCUCCUGCAUGCCACAGUCCAGGUGUUAGUCCCCUUGAAACAACUUUUCCAUCCCUAUUGUGGCCAGAAAGAGUCCCUGUGUGUUUUAAAAUUCGCCUCCCCAUUGAAGUCAAUGGCGUUUCGGGCGGUUCGCCGGUUCGCGAACAUUUGCGGAAGCUCGCGUUCGCCGUUCGCGAACCGAAAAUUUCCGGUUCGCGACAUCACUAGUCAAAAUAAUCUGUAGAAUCAAAGUGGGGAUUUUUAGAAAUAUUAAUGUUCUGUAUAUGUAUUCCUUGCAUUUAACAAAUAUCUGUUUGUGAGGUAUUAAUUAAAUUAAUUAUAGAAAUCCACACCAUUCUAUCAUGGAACAUAGUGUUUUCAUCUUAGCUCCCUGACAAUCAUUGUUAUUGCUUGUUAUUGCUUCUGCUUUUUGUACCCAUCAGUCAACACACGGAGAGCACAGAGAGAGCACAGAGCAAUGUCUUUCCUGGUUGUCUGGUUGUCAUACCAAGGUUAUAGGUGAAUAUGAUUAUACCGGUGAUUAUUACAAGUUACACAUGAUUUUCAAUGUUUUAUUAAAUUUCCAGGGAAGUGGUGGUCCCCCUUAACUUCUACCUCAGUAAUGACAGCCUUUUUUAUAUUAUUCAUGGAUGGUUUUGGAUAACGUAAAGGUUUUUGUUGUUGUUUAAUAUGUUCUUUUUGCAGAUAUAGAAGAAUAAAGUAACAUGUAUAGCUUUCUUAAGGUACCCUAUUUGACAGAGCCCUGUAGAUAACAUAUAAAAAAUUUAAAUAUGUACUAUCUUUUGUGUACAAUCCACUUAAAUUACUUUGUGUGCACGACCUACUAAACUGUGGCCAUGAGGUAGUGAUAGUACAGCAUGCUCACGACAUAACUAUAUAGUGGGCGGCAGGGGUAAGCACCUCACUCCCUCACUGUUGCCUUAGCAUGCUCCAACAUGGCAGCACAGUCGGCCACAACAUUUAUUGACAUCACUGGAGGGGCAGUUCGACUUUGCCAUCAUCUUGGAGCCCAGCCAGGGAAAAUGGCAAGGCAAGAGGGAGUGAGGUAGGGGAUUUCCCUUGUUCCCCCGAUAUAUAGGGGUGCACAUUUAAUAUGUACCCUGGCACCUCUGAGGCUCCAUAUUUUGCAAUAGUUAAUGGCAAAAAUAAAAAACUGUAAUUUCUGGAAAUAUUUAUUCAAUAAAAAAAAAACAUGCUGUGCAUUUAAUACUGUUUUACAAUGUUUCAGUUUUUAAAUUUUUAUACUGACCAUUGAACUAAGCAGUGUCGAUAAAAGUUACUGUAACUAUAAAGUUACAUUUAAACAAUCUAAGGAAUGCCAUUAUGCAACACAUAGCACAUAUUUAUUGGAUUAGGUGUAUGUAAGACGUUUAUAUCAAUUAAAUCUCAUUUUAAUUCACUGCCGUUUAAAAAUGAUCAGUAAAACCUUGUCUAGAAGCAUAAAUAAUAAAAUAAUAAUAUUAAUAAUAAUAAUAAUAUAGAACCCAGAUUUAUAUUAUAAUGAAACACAUAAGAAAACUCUGUAUGGCCUGAUCGAGAAGCCUCUGGAUGGAUGUUAAAGGACCACUAUAGUGCCAGGAAAACAUACUCGUUUUCCUGGCACUAUAGUGCCCUUCCCCUCCCGCCGUGCUCUAGGGUGAGGAAGGGGUUAAACUUACCUCUUUCUCCAGCGCCGGAGCCUCUGCCUCCUCUCCUCCUCCUUGGCUGAAUGCGCAUGCGCGGCAAGAGCCGCGCGCGCAUUCAGCCAGUCUAAUAGGAAAGCAUUCACAAUGCUUUCCUAUGGAUGCUGGCGUCUUCUCACUGUGAAAAUCACAGUGAGAAGCACGCAAGCGCCUCUAGCGGCUGUCAAUGAGACAGCCACUAAAGGCUGGAUUAACCCUAAUAUAAACAUAGCAGUUUCUCUGAAACUGCUAUGUUUAUAGAAAAAAGGGUUAACCCUAGCUGGACCUGGCACCCAGACCACUUCAUUAAGCUGAAAUGGUCUGGGUGCCUAUAGUGGUCCUUUAAUUCUGCUCUGUGUGUCUUCUUAGAUUUCCAGUGCCACACAAUUUACUAAAAGAAAAAACAUUGUUGCUGAUAGCAACUCAGUUUCCACAUGGUCUAUUAAUCUGAUAUACAGAUUAUGCUAAGGAUUUUAACUGGUCUCCUGGGUCUUUUAAAUACCAUAUGGGAAAUUUCCUGGCUGGUUAUUAUAAGAGGGAUAAUAAAUAGUCUUGGCAUAAAACUGUCAAACAGUACAAACUAAAUUAAACAACAAGGUAGCAGAGAACAUAAAAUGCAUGAAUUAUUAAAUCAUAGCGUGUCUCAUUUAGUAGAAGCACCAACCAAAAUAGAUGCCUAUCUGGAUCUUGUAAUAAAUAAUAAUAUUAACCUAUUUUAAAACAUUUAAAGGACCACUAUAUUUUCCUGGCACUAUAGUGCCCUGAGGGUGCCCCCACCCUCAGGGACCCCCUCCCGCCCGGCUCUGGAAAGGGGAAAAGGGGUAAAACUUACCUUUUCCCAGCGCUGAGCGGAGAGCUCUCUGCCUCCUCUCCUCCUCCGAUUAAGCCCGCUGAAUGCGCACGCGCGGCAAGAGCUGCGCGCGCAUUCAGCGGUCACAUAGGAAAGCAUUCUCAAUGCUUUCCUAUGGACGCUGGCGUGCUCUCACUGUGAAAAUCACAGUGAGAAGCACGCAAGCGCCUCUAGUGGCUGUCAAUGAGACAGCCACUAGAGGAAAUAGGGGAAGGCUUAACCCAUUCAUAAACAUAGCAGUUUCUCCGAAACUGCUAUGUUUAUGAAAAAAUAGGUUAACCCGAGAAGGACCUGGCACCCAGACCACUUCAUUAAGCUGAAGUGGUCAGGGUGCCUAGCGUGGUCCUUUAAGAUAGCAAGCACUUGAAAAAUAGUGACGUGUGGCAACAAUUAUUCACUAACGAAAGCACAGAGGAUAACAUGUAAAGUUUGUAAAAUUCUACAAAGUACAUUUCUCAGCAAAUAAUAUUGGUAAACAAAUAUAAAAGAGACAAAUUAAACUAGAGCGGCUUAUCAAUGAAGAAAGUCAAUUAAUAAAAAAAGAAGAAGGGACAUUUAAAACAAAUAGUUUUAAAUCAACAGUAUCGUAUAAAUAUGUAAAUGUACCAACAGGGCAUGCAAAAGGGUAAUUCUAGGACAAACAAAAAAUGAAAUGAAAAUUGAAAUGCACAAAACUAAAAAGAGCACGAUAACCCCAAAAGGAUUUUAAGUACAUUAAUGCUAAACAAGGAAAAAGUGAACGUGUUGGUCCAUUAAGCUCUUUCAGGAUUCUCUUCUGUCAGGAAUAGUGCCAGAGCACUGUAAAAAAGCAGACCUGGUGCCUUUAUUUAAUAAGGAUUCAAUAUUAAAACUCAUUAUAUACAUACGUAUAAGCUUAACAUCUGUGGUUAGGAAAAUAUUCGGGCUGUUAAGGAAUAAUAUUAAUAAAUCUAUUUUGAAUAUGACAUCAAGAAAGAUGUGUUUUCCUUUUUUUGCAGCACAACUUGCCAUCGCUUCAAAAUGUUUACCUUCCUUUGGAUAAGUAGAAUAAAAAUAUGUAUUUAAAGGUUGAUCUUAAUUGACUAUAGCCUUUUACCAACCAAGAUUACAGUGUAAUUUUGGGAUAUUUAAUUAGAUUUUCCAGGAAACAAAGAUGCCCAGAUAAACUGGACAGAAAAUUGACAAAGCAAUACCUCAAAUACUGUAUCCCCAGCAACCCCAACCAUUAUUCAUUGGAAAAAAAAAUACAUUAGCUCUUAGCUCGAGGUAAUGGAAAGUCCUGUAAGUUUAUUUAUCAUUAGAUAUUCUGGGGUUCUUUACUAAUACAAAAAUGAUAGGCAAAUGGCAAGGGGAUUAAAAAUUGUAAGGCAAAAACAAUUGAGCUACAAAAUAGAUGAGAUGAAGAAUUAUCCCAUUUCAAUCUAAAACUUGCAGUUCCUUUCUCAAAUAUCCAUAUUCAUGAUUUUGUGAAUAUUCCAUUGAUGAUAUUUAAUAAACCAAUCCUAUUUAAAAUAUGACUUAAAUAAGACUUGUUCUUCUCAGAGCGCUUUCUUUCAAAACACUUUAAAAUACCUGGCAGAUACACGUAAUUUAUAUUCCAAACAAUGCCAAGUUCUCUACUAUAAAUUCCAAAUGUAGAGAAGCUAUUAUAGGUAAUAAUGCAAACAUUAGAAUUAAAUGAAUAUAAAAUAUAAAAGGCAAAUAUAAUUAACAAAUCUAAAAGUGAAUAAAAAGUAAAUUGAAUCCGAACAAGUGCUUACAUGUCCAUCUUUAACACAGAAAAAUGUAAGGCUCUACUGGAAGUGUGAAAGAACCAGAAAAACUGAAAACUUCUAAUGGGAAUUAAAUAAAACAAAAUCACCAACAAAUAUGUACUGUAGAUUCAGGUAUAUUCAACUCAUAAUUUCAAUAAGUUAAAUAUCUUAAGUAUAAACUUCUAAUCUUGCUAGAUGUCUUACUAGCAUAGUUAAAGAAUUAUUCCAAGCACCAUUACCACUUCACUGAUUUGAGAUAAAACACUGAAUAUACAGAGUUUAACCCUUCUGCUGCUGGAGGUAUUACUCAACCUCCAGUCACAUCACUCGGAUGUCAAUAACUAGCCCACUUUCUGCAGGGAAUACUUAGCCUCAGCAUUAACUGUCAAGCUAAGUUUUACCUUAUUGCUUUUUUUUUUAGUUGUCACUAAAACCUUUUUUAUUUUCAUGUAUUUGAAAUUCAGUCCGUAAAGCCUCACUUACUCUCGUUUAUAAUCAAAGAACGAUUACCAGCCUGUAGAGGAAUGAAUUGCUCCCGAAUAGUACAGGACGUUUCAAUGGGAAACAUCAUUUCUACACUCAGGCAGGGGGAGUAAUGAAUGAAUUCACUGUUAGCAUUACAUUAGAAUUUCAGAGAUUGAUAAAGAUUGAUAUAGCAGUUUUAUUUUUUUAUUUUAGAAAUAUAUGAUUUAACUGUAUUUACUGUGUGUGGGCACUGUGCAUAAAUGUUGGCAAUCUUUUUACAUUCUGUUGGCAUUUUCAGUAAGCGGUACUGCUAGUAAUGUAUUCAGGGUCCUUGCAAAUAUCUGUAGUGAUACAUAAUAUUUAAUUUUAUAUAUUUUUGUCAUACCUACUGUAUGUAAGUAAAAUCUAAUUUUUCACACAGAUAUUGUGUGAAAUAUUGCAAGAUAAAGCAUACUGUAUAAAGUUUUUCAUUUCUUGAAUAUUUUGUUUAUAAAUGAUGAAUAAAUAAGUGAAAAAUAAACUUCUUCUAUAAAAAAGCCAGAUCAGGGUACAAUUCCCUCUUAUAGGAUAAGUGAGGAGAUGUUGAGAAACAGGUGUUUCUUCGGUAUGAAGACCAUAAAAAGUAUAAAAGAGACAACAAUAGUGCUCACAGUAUAAAAGGUAGCAGGAGUAUAAAAUAAAUGGUUACUAACAGGGCCGGACUGGGAGAAAAAUUCGGCCCGGGCAUUUUUUUAACACAGCGGCCCACUAAAAAGGGGGCGGGGCAGAGGAGGUGUGUUUUGUCACCAAUGACAGACACGCCUCCUCUCAAAGUGAGCAUGUUGGUUCAAUGCUCUUCCAGGGCAGACCAUGCGCAGAGCUCUGCUGAAGAGCUCUAGCAUGAGAAAAAAGUCCUGUAUUUGUUUUGCACAGUGCAAGCAAAUUUAAUAACAUGCUUGCACUGUGUUUCCUUGCAACUUGUCUCUGGUGUCUAUAAAUGGAUACCAGGAGACAAAAGGCCAGGAAAGAGUAUUGUGCAUGUGUUUGGAGCCUGCUUGUGGUAUUGCGUGUGUGUAGAGUGAGCUGGUCGUGGUGUGGUAUUGUGUAAUAAGGUCGGUUUUAGUCGUGUUGUGUUUGUGGUGUAAUGUGAUGCAUAUGUGGCUAUGGGCUGUAGAGAAUGUGUGUAUUGGGGAUAUAGCAAGUGUGUGCAUACAGGCUAUAGUGUGUGUGUGUUUAGGGGUGUAGUAUGUGUUUGCUUACAAGGAAUCUAGUGUGUGUAUAGGGGAUCCAGAGUGUGUAUGUUAAAGGACCACUAUAGUGCCAGGAAAACAUACUCGUUUUCCUGGCACUAUAGUGCCCUGAGGGUGCCCCCACCCUCAGGGACCCCCUCCCGCCCGGCUCUGGAAAGGGGUUAAAACUUACCUUUUUCCAGCGCCGGGCGGGGAGCUCUCGUCCUCCGAUCCGCCCCGUCGGCUGAAUGCGCACACGCGGCAAGAGCUGCACGCGCAUUCAGCCGGUCGCAUAGGAAAGCAUUUAUAAUGCUUUCCUAUGGAUGCUUGCAUGCUCUCACUGUGAUUUUCACAGUGAAAAGCACGCAAGCACCACUAGCGGCUGUCAAUGAGACCGCUGCUAGAGGCUUUGGGGGAAGGCUUAACCCAUUGAUAAACAUAGCAGUUUCUCUGAAACUGCUAUGUUUAUAAAACAAUGGGUUAACCCUAGAAGGACCUGGCACCAAGACCACUUCAUUAAGCUGAAGUGGUCUGGGUGGCUAGAGUGGUCCUUUAAGAGUGUAGUGUGUGCGUGUAUACAUGUGUGUGUAUAUAUAUAUAUAUAUAUAUUUGGAAGUAUUGUGUAUGUUUGUGGUGCAGUGUGUUGGGGGGGUUCUGUGUGUAUGUGAGGGGUGCAGUAUGUGUGUGUGAGAGUGCGGUGUGUGAUGGGUGUGAGAGUGCCUGAUGGGUGUGAGAGUGAUGGGUGUGAGAGUGCCGUGUGUGAGUGAAGGGUGUGAGAAUGCUGUGUGUGAGUGAUGGAUGGGAGAAUGCCGUGUGUGAGUGAUGGGUGUGAGAAUGCUGUGUGUGAGUGAUGGAUGUGAGUGUGCUGUGUGAGAUGGGUAUGUGAGAUGGGUGUGAGAGUGCUGUGUGUGUGUGAGUGCUCUGUGAGAGUGAUGGGUGUGAGAGUGCUGUGAGAGAAUGCUGUGUGUGAUGGGUGUGAGAGUGAUGGGUGUGAGAGUGCUGUGUGUGAUGGGUGUGAGAGUGCUGUGAGAGUGUUGUGUGUGUGUGAGUGCUCUGUGAGAGUGCUGUGAGUGUGAUGGGUGUGAGAGAGUGCUGUGUGUGUUAAAGUGCUGUGUGUGAUGGGUGUGAGAGUGCUGUGUGAGAGAGAGUGCUGUGUGUGAUGGGUGUGAGAGUGCUGUGUGAGUGCUGUGUGUGUGAGAGUGCUGUGUGUGAUGGGUGUGAGAGAGUGCUGUGUGUGAUGGGUGUGAGAGUGCUGUAUAAAUGUUAUUGUGUGUAUGUAGGGGGGGUAAAUAAAAAAAAAAAAACAGGUAUUAUUCCCCCCCCUCCCUUCUUACCUUUAGCCUGGGAGGGGGGGACCGGCACGCUGGGACUGGAGGCGGGGAGGCAGUGUUCCCUGGUGGUCCUCGUGGGUGAGUGAACUCCUCGCGAGAUCCGGUCGUUGCCAUGGCAACGCGCCGGAUCUCGCGAGAGGAUCCCGGCGGAGCCGCAUAUUAGAGCUCCACCGGGUCCUCUCUCCAGCCUGGCUGGCUGUCUCCCUCCCUCCCCGCCGGCGGCCGCAUGUGGGCCGGUGAGGGAGAUCUUUGAUCUCCCCACGGGCCCGUCGUGGCAGACAGCGGGGCCGGCGCUAGGAGAGUGCCGGCCCUGCAUAGACCGGCAGGGGAGAUCCUGGGACCUCCCCUGCCGGCCUCGGCCCCACGGACACCGCGGCCCACCGGGCAUUUGCCCGGUGUGCCCGAUGGCCAGUCCGGGCCUGGUUACUAACAUUUAAUUGAGCUGGCAGAUUGCUCGAUGUGUAGGCGGAAGUGGUAUAGUCCCAACCUAGGAUUCUUGAGGAGUAGUCCUCACUGGAACAGUAAAAUUGGAUGCCAGGUAGAAAGUAAAAAUAUAGAUUAGCAACAAAUAAAAAAUUGUUUGCUAAGAAAACAAAUUAUCCUAACUUUUGAUCACAGGGCAGAAUUUGAUGGCAUAGAGAACCAGGAAGACCAUAUCUUAUUGUAAUUCCUUAACAAUUGAGCAUUGUUACUAUAGAAAAAUCUCUCUGUCUGAGCUUGAUAGGAUAUUUGAGACUGUGCCUCAUUCCAAGACAGGGUCUCUUGUAUUUUCCAAUAUAUAGCAAUGCAGAUCUUGGAGUCUAGUAGAAUGUUAAUAUAUAAAUAUUUUAAUAGUUUAUCUGAAGUGGGAAUAUCAACAUGCAAGAGAGAGAUCGGUGAAGAAAUUUUAUAUGCUUGAUUUAUCAAGGUCUUAAAAAUUCCCAUGUUACAACAAACUUCAUUCCCACCAGAUAUGAAGGUGUGUACCUUUCUCACUUUGACAUCGCCAACACAGAUUUAUAGUUUUCCUAUCUAUUUUGGCCAGUUGUGAGGGAACCAAAUACCAUUGAUGGGUUAAUUUAUAGUAUUGUUCUUGUAAAUUAAUACAAUGCAUAGCUUUCCUAGUACUUUUCCAAGCAUUGAGCCAUAUUUGUAAGGGAAAUUGACACAUCAACGCUUGUUCCCAUUUGUGUAUAUAUUUUGCUUUAUAAAAGGUAUUUUCCAAGGACAAUAUGGUAAUAUUUUUUUACAUAAGAUUUGAGGGAGAAUAAGAUUGGGUAAAUGUAUCCCAUAUAUCGGUUUCCAUUUAACCUGAAGAGAGAAAAUAUUUUUUGUCCUUAGAUAGUGAAAUAAUUCAACUAAUGGAAGAUUAUAUUUUAAAUUGUUUCUCUCUAUCCUUUUUUAAUUUAUUGAUAAAAAUAAAAUAUCUUUAAUUUCUCUACUCACUAUAUUGAGCUUGGCAGUCUGUUUCGGAGAAACCCAGAGAAAUAGAAAGGAAUCAAUGCCACUGAAUCCGGAUCUUUCUAUAUUGUCCCAUGGAAUAUCCUUUUCCUUAUUAAUAUCCCAGGCGAACACAUGAGAAAUCAUACAUGCCUCAUGUAAGAUCUUCAGGUCUGGAAAGCUUAGGCCAUCCAUUUUCAUAUUUCCCUUCAAUAUUCCCCUGCCCCCAGGACUCUUGUUUUUUUUGCAGCCCAAACAAACUUGGAAAAAAUAAAUUCAAAUUGUUUUAAUGGAACCUGGAGAGGAAUUACUCUAAAUAAAUAUAAAACCUUAGGGAAAAUAUAUGUUUUUAAGAGAUUAAUGCGGCCCAUCCAAGACACUUUAAUGCCCCACUAACAGGUCAAGACAUCUUUUAUAUAAUUCAGCAAUUCUCCAAAGUUAAGCGAAACAAAAUCGUACCUAUGUACUCGAUCCUUUCAUUUGACCAGUCCAACUGAGCACAUCUUCCCAAUGCAUCAAUUAAUAUUGUUAAUAUGUCAUCAGCAUACAGAGUGACCAAAUGAUCUUGUUGGUUAAUCUAUUUGCCAAGGACAUCCGAAGAGUUUCAAAUACAGGCCGCUAAAGGUUCUAUAGUUAUUGCAUAGAGCAGGGAAGCCAGUGGGCACCCCUGUCUUGUACCGUUAUUGAUAUUAAAUGAAUUUGAGUCAGAAGACAAUCCUUUGAUUCAUGAUUUUGGAGUUGUAUAUAAUGCAAUAGUGUGGUUAAAAAAGGAAUUUAAUAUUCCAAAAGCUCGCAGAGUCCUUGCUAAAAAGGUCAAGCUAGCUCGGUCAAAUGCCUUCUCAGCAGAUAAGUUUCUAAUAUACAGCCAGGUCCAUAUUGGGACAUCGACACAAUUCUAAUCUUUUUGGCUCUAUACACCACCACAAUGAAUUUGAAAUGAAACGAACAAGAUGUGCUUUAACUGCAGACUUUCAGCUUUAAUUUCAGGGUAUUUACAUUCAAAUCAGGUGAACGGUGUAGGAAUUACAACAGUUUGUAUAUGUGCCUCCCACUUUUAAGGGACCAAAAGUAAUGGGACAGAUUAACAGUCAUAAAUCAAACUUUCACUUUUUAAUACAUGGUUGCAAAUCCUUUGCAGUCAAUUACAGCCUGAAGUCUGGAACGCAUAGACAUCACCAGACGCUGGGUUUCAUCCCUGGUGAUGCUCUGCCAGGCCUCUACUGCAACUAUCUCUAGUUCCUGCUUGUUCUUGGGGCAUUUUCCCUUCAGUUUUGUCUUCAUCAAGUGAAAUGCAUGCUCAGUCGGAUUCAGGUCAGGUGAUUGACUUGGCCAUUGCAUAACAUCUUUCCCUUAAAAAACUCUUAGGUUGCUUUUGCAGUAUGCUUUGGGUCAUUGUCCAUCUGCACUGUGAAGUGCCGUCCGAUGAGUUCUGAAGCAUUUGGCUGAAUAUGAGCAUAUAAUAUUGCCCGAAACACUUCAGAAUUCGUCCUGCUGCUUUUGUCAGCAGUCACAUCAUCAAUAAAUACAAGAGAACCAGUUCCAUUGGCAGCCAUACAUGCCCACGCCAUGACACUACCACCACCAUGCUUAACUGAUGAGGUGGUAUGCUUUGGAUCAUGAGCAGUUCCUUUCCUUCUCCAUACUCUUCUCUUCCCAUCACUCUGGUACAAGUUGAUCUUGGUCUCAUCUGUCCAUAGGAUGUUGUUCCAGAACUGUGAAGGCUUUUUAAGAUGUUGUUUGGCAAACUCUAAUCUGGCCUUCCUGUUUUUGAGGCUCACCAAUGGUUUACAUCUUGUGGUGAACCCUCUGUAUUCACUCUGGUGAAGUCUUCUCUUGAUUGUUGACUUUGACACACAUACACCUACCUCCUGGAGAAGGUUCUUGAUCUGGCCAACUGUUGUAAAGAGUGUUUUCUUCACCAGGGAAAGAAUUCUUCGGUCAUCCACCACAGUUGUUUUCCGUGGUCUUCCGUGGUCUUUUGGUGUUGCUGAGCUCACCGGUGCAUUCUUUCUUUUUAAGGAUGUUCCAAACAGUUGAUUUGGCCACACCUAAUGUUUUUUCUAUCUCUCUGAUGGGUUUGUUUAGUUUUUUCAGCCUAAUGAUGGUUUGCUUCACUGAUAGUGACAGCUCUUUGGAUCUCAUAUUGAGAGUUGACAGCAACAGAUUCCAAAUGCAAAUAGCACACUUGAAAUGAACUCUGGACCUUUUAUCUGCUCCUUGUAAAUGGAAUAAUGAGGGAAUAACACACACCUGGCCAUUGAACAGCUGAGCAGCCAAUUGUCCCAUUACUUUUGGUCCCUUAAAAAGUGGGAGGCACAUAUACAAACUGUUGUAAUUCCUACACCGUUCACCUUAUUUGGAUGUAAAUACCCUCAAAUUAAAGCUGAAAGUCUGCAGUUAAAACACAUCUUUGUUUGAAAUCUCAAUAAAAGGAUUAAUACUAUAUCAAAGAUUAGGGUAUAGAACAUCAAUGUGUGAUGUCUGAUGAGCAGUGCAAUGCUGGGCCAGUUUGCAGGUGAUACUGUACAUUAAACUUGGGGGCUUAUUUUGUAUGUGAAAAGCUGGAGCUCUAUGAAACCAUGCAAUAUUUAUUUUCCUUAAGGAAUUCCCUUAAGCUUAUUUCUUAUUUGAAAGUAACAUCAAUAACUGUAUUAAGACAUGUAAGUUUAAAACACAUGGAUUUUAUGGAAAUUCUAAAAAUUGCUUGAAACCAUAGUACUAAGAAUGAACUUUACACCUAUUGAUUGCUUCAAAACCUCAUGCAUUGAUAUAUCACUUGAAAAGGCACUCCCAAAGUGGAUUAAGAGAUUAGUUGCAUUUUGGAAUGGUUUCUACAAGUUUUUUUGUAAUGCAAAACAUUCACAUUUGGAGUACACAUAUAAACAUAGCACAUUGAUUAAUCCCUUAACUAUUGAGCUAUUUUCAUGCUAAAAUUGGUAGUGAUAUACGUUUUAUAAUGCUCGCUUUCAUGAAUUGGUGCAGAGUCGUGAUCCCUUUAUUAAAUAAAAUGUAUAUUCAAAAGUAGCAUGGUGAUGGGGAAGGAGCAAGUGCAGGUUUACGGCACUUCUCCAGAGACUAGAAUUUAGAGUUUAACUCCAAGACUGAUCUCUGAGGAAAUGCCUGAAGGCAUAAUGAGUAGCACAUCCAAGUGAUGAUUUCAACAUGUCAUUUUUGUAGCAUACAUGAUCCAGCACACUCACUCAUUCACUAAACAGCAAUUUCACAUCUCACAGAAUGUACUAGUUUAAAAAAACAAAAACAAACACCUAACCCAUGCUAAAAUAAUGGGGGUUUAGUUAGAGUAUGUGAUGAUGCAUUGCAUAAGUCUCCCACUGUCCAUGCACCACAUACUGGACACCAGUAUGUGCUUUAACUGCAGCAAAUAUACAACAUUAUCUUAGUUUUUUCUGUGUCUGUGUGUGCCUGUGACGUUGUGCAUGCUUGUCUUUGUAUGCCAGUCUGCGCCUGUCUGUCUCUGACUGACUGAUGGUGUCUGUCACCAAAUAUACUCCAUUAUCUUUACUCUCAGAGUGUUCCCUCGCCCAUUCGCUCCAGAAGUGAUGCAUUUGCAUCAUGCCACUCUUUUGAUUGAACAUAAAAAAAUCACUUUGACUAUACUGGUUUAACACUGCCAAAUCCUGAUUCCUUGGAGAAAUCUGGCAAACCAUACUACAUUAAAGCAGAUUUGCUUAAUUAAGGCAGCCCGUGUUUUUUUUUCUUUCUGGUUUACUUUCCUUAUGCCACUUGUAUCUUAAAAGGACUAUGGGCAAUAUAAAUAUUUAGGCUCAUCGUAUUGGCUAUAGUGAUUGGAAGUCACUGGUACUGUCUCUGUAUUCAGCAUUAAACUUUUUUUGGACAGUUUAACACUGAAAUAGGGUCUCCCACAGCUUGGCUCCCUCUGCAAGUAUGGUUGAGGCAGAAAUAACCCACUUCCUUGUAGUUAUACCAAUUCAUACCAACAAUGGCAGCUGUAACAGGCGGAAAACAGUCAAUUGAUACUCUAUCAUAUCACCACCACCUAUUUCUGCUCAGGAAAAUACUUCCUCACUAGCCCACACUGCACAGAGGGGUGGGCUGCUGGGGACCCUCGUUAAGCAUUAAUGUUUCAAAAUGGCUUUAUUCAAACAGAAACAUUUCAGGGUUUGCCUUGAGCAAUGUACAACAGCAUGAAUCUAUAGAUUGAACAAGCAAACAGGAUAUAACGGACACGCAGGUCCCAUCGUAGAAUGUGUGAACAUCACUCGAACAAUGUUACGUAUUAUACAGAUAUACAGGGAGUGCAGAAUUAUUAGGCAAUUGAGUAUUUUGACCACAUCAUCCUCUUUAUGCAUGUUGUCUUACUCCAAGCUGUAUAGGCUCGAAAGCCUACUACCAAUUAAGCAUAUUAGGUGAUGUGCAUCUCUGUAAUGAGAAGGUGUUUGGUCUAAUGACAUCAACACCCUAUAUCAGGUGUGUAUAAUUAUUAGGCAACUUCCUUUCCUUUGGCAAAAUGGGUCAAAAGAAGGACUUGACAGGCUCAGAAAAGUCAAAAAUAGUGAGAUAUCUUGCAGAGGGAUGCAGCACUCUUAAAAUUGCAAAGCUUCUGAAGCGUGAUCAUCGAACAAUCAAGCGUUUCAUUCAAAAUAGUCAACAGGGUCGCAAGAAGCGUGUGGAAAAACCAAGGCGCAAAAUAACUGCCCAUGAACUGAGAAAAGUCAAGCGUGCAGCUGCCACGAUGCCACUUGCCACCAGUUUGGCCAUAUUUCAGAGCUGCAACAUCACUGGAGUGCCCAAAAGCACAAGGUGUGCAAUACUCAGAGACAUGGCCAAGGUAAGAAAGGCUGAAAGACGACCACCACUGAACAAGACACACAAGCUGAAACGUCAAGACUGGGCCAAGAAAUAUCUCAAGACUGAUUUUUCUAAGGUUUUAUGGACUGAUGAAAUGAGAGUGAGUCUUGAUGGGCCAGAUGGAUGGGCCCGUGGCUGGAUUGGUAAAGGGCAGAGAGCUCCAGUCCGACUCAGACGCCAGCAAGGUGGAGGUGGAGUACUGGUUUGGGCUGGUAUCAUCAAAGAUGAGCUUGUGGGGCCUUUUCGGGUUGAGGAUGGAGUCAAGCUCAACUCCCAGUCCUACUGCCAGUUCCUGGAAGACACCUUCUUCAAGCAGUGGUACAGGAAGAAGUCUGCAUCCUUCAAGAAAAACAUGAUUUUCAUGCAGGACAAUGCUCCAUCACACGCGUCCAAGUACUCCACAGCGUGGCUGGCAAGAAAGGGUAUAAAAGAAGAAAAUCUAAUGACAUGGCCUCCUUGUUCACCUGAUCUGAACCCCAUUGAGAACCUGUGGUCCAUCAUCAAAUGUGAGAUUUACAAGGAGGGAAAACAGUACACCUCUCUGAACAGUGUCUGGGAGGCUGUGGUUGCUGCUGCACGCAAUGUUGAUGGUGAACAGAUUAAAACACUGACAGAAUCCAUGGAUGGCAGGCUUUUGAGUGUCCUUGCAAAGAAUGGUGGCUAUAUUGGUCACUGAUUUGUUUUUGUUUUGUUUUUGAAUGUCAGAAAUGUAUAUUUGUGAAUGUUGAGAUGUUAUAUUGGUUUCACUGGUAAUAAUAAAUAAUUGAAAUGGGUAUAUAUUUGUUUUUUGUUAAGUUGCCUAAUAAUUAUGCACAGUAAUAGUCACCUGCACACAGAUAUCCCCCUAACAUAGCUAAAACUAAAAACAAACUAAAAACUACUUCAAAAAAUAUUCAGCUUUGAUAUUAAUGAGUUUUUUGGGUUCAUUGAGAACAUGGUUGUUGUUCAAUAAUAAAAUUAAUCCUCAAAAAUACAACUUGCCUAAUAAUUCUGCACUCCCUGUAGUAUUUGAUCAUGGUUAACACGUUAGGGUAGUCAUAUGUGUGACCGGUGUGCAGCUCGAGUAUAGGAAUACUUGUAGGUUUGUACUUUGUGUCUGCCUUUUGUGUUCCGUCAAUAUUUCCUUAUCACCCCUGGGCCUCUAUCUCUUUGGGAUGGUGAAGGCUAUUGGUUCGGCGUUACUGGUCAGUUGCCGUUCAUGAGUGUGUCUUAUUUGUGUUGUGUGAUCCCAUGAUAGAGGUGUGUGCUUCCAUUUUGAUGUGUGAGUGUGAGUGAGUGACACAGCUUUUAGCAAUCUCGGGUUGAGGAGGACUGCGUCUGUUAUUCAAUUAGUACAGAAACCAUUGUCGGAGAAUUUAGAGCGAAGAUGAGUGAAAAAUGAGUGAAAAGUAAGAGAAAGAGAGAGGGGGGAUGGGGAGGAGGAAGCGGGUUGGAGGAAGGGUGGGCAGGUGGGUGUGAAGGGGCGGGGGGUCCCAUCGCCCGUGCCCAUGGUAUUGCACGUAUUGUACCAGAUGUAAGUCCCCAUCCGUGGGGGGGCGCGGUGCUCCCUGGGGCUGCGGACGGCUAUUCCUAUCUGCGCUUCGGUCCGCUAUGUAGAGUAGCCAUGGGCCCCACCUCUCCACAUGCUUGUCCUCGAGGCCUAUAAGUGUGGCCUGCAUUGAUUCCGCUCUAUAUAUUUCUUCCACACGCUCCAUCCAUUGCCUUAUCAUCGGGAUAUUCGUUUGUUUCCAGUAUAGUGGAAUCAGUGUCAACUAAUGUUUUUCCUAUAUGACCCUAUGGGGUCUGGUGUGGAAUGCAGGAGGACCGCCUCUGCAUUGAGGUUUCCUUCCGUCCCCAAGAUUUCCCCUAUUUUCUGUAGAACUUCGUCCCAGUAUGGCUUAAUAAGUGAGCAGUCCCACCAUAUGUGUAGUGGCGUACCUCGUUCAUCCCCACAUCUCCAACACGUGUCAGGUAUAUUCGGGAAGAUCCUGUGUAGACUGUCAGGCGUUCUGUACCAGAAUGAAAGGAGUUUAUAGUUUGUUUCUUGGUAUUGGGAGCUCGAUGAGCAUUUAUGGUGCAAUAUGAGGAUCUUAUCCCAUUGGGACGCGGUAAAGGAUGUAUUCAGCAUGCGUUCCCAGCGCCUGCAGAAUUGGUCGUUGUUAGUGAGGUGCCCCACCAGCAUGUGUUGAUACAAUAGGGAUAUCGCCUUAUCUAGGGUAGUCUUGCGGUCGCAUGUAGUUUUUCCUUGUCCGGGAGUGUCCGAUAGUAUGAUCUGAGUUGCACAUAACGGAGGGUUUGUAGGCUGGUGGGUUGGUUGCCUUCCAAUAGGUUCCUCAGGGGGGUCAUGUCCGUGUUGGUUAACACCCUAUCUAUGGGGAAUGAUUCCCCCUCUCCUAGGAAGGACCAUGCCGCCUGCGGUAGCCCUCCUCCUAUCUGAGGAUUGUGCUUUAUCUAGGUCAUCGGGCUUGGUGUUUGGGAAACGUGAGGAGCUCUCCUGAUAGUAUCCCACGCUUUCAGUGUCUGCGCAACAGUAGAGGUUGGUUCCAAAAUCAUCCGUGGCAUCCUCUUCGUAUUCCACACUGAUGUCAGAAAGGAGGGGCCUAUAUGGUGUUUGUCUAGUUCGAUCCAUUGUUUAUGCGCCGGUUGAGUGUGCCACUCCAGUACGCGUUGUAGUACUGUCGCAUGGUGGUAUUUGCGGAGGUCGGGGAGCGCCAGUCCCCCCAUGCUCGAGGUAAGCAUAGGACGUCCUGUCGGAGUCUUGCCUGUUUCCCAUUCCAAAUGAACUUCUCGUUAAGCAUUAAUAUCAGCACAAAAACUUGGUGGCUAGAUCUUUUAAGGAAUAGGUUUCCAUGGCCGAGCAGCUGCAUGCAAGCCUCACAUCACCAACUACAAUGCCAAGAGUCAGAGUGAAUGGUUUAAAGCACACUGCCACUGAACCCUGGUACAGUGGCAAUAUGUUCUGAGGAGUGACAUAUCAUACUUUUAUGGUCGAGUCUGGGUGCCAGGUUAAUAUUACCUGCCUGACUGCUUUGCAAUACCUGUAAAGUUUGAUGGAGGGGUGAUAGUAGUACGUGGCUGUUGUUCAGGGGUUGGGCUAGGCCCUUACUUCCAGUGAAGAUAAAUCGUAAUGCAUAUGAAGAUAUUUUGGACAAUGCUAUGAUUUCAACUUUUCUAUUCCAGUAUGACUGUGCCUAGUGCACAAAGCAAGGUCCAUAAAGAUAUCGCUAGAUGAGUUUGGUGUGGAAGAACUUGACUGUCCUGCUGAACUCUGACCUCAACACCUUCAAACACCCUUGGGAUGAACUGGAAUGGGAAUUGCAAGCCAGUGGGACAAAUUCCCAAUUAAAUUACCUGUUGUAGCUUUUCAAAACAUCCUGAUUUGAGUCCCUAAUGACUUCACUGGUGUCUAAAAUAUGUAUACAGCACAGAGUUACUUUUGGUGCAAUCUUUGGAAUAUCACUUACAUUUUGCUUCAACUGAAUUUUCUGUGUUGAUUUAUAAACUAUCAAGAACAACAGGAGAUUGAAUACCAUGACUAUAGGCUCACCAAAGAAGCAUCAACAUGUCUUGUAAAUAUUCGCUCUGAAAGAUUUUCAGUAAUUUUGCUAAUGCUACGUGUGUUUGAAAUGCAAUGAGCAAUUUUAUAUUCACAGCAGACUGCAAGCCAUCUCUUAUGAAAGUAACCAAGCCAAUUCAUUGUGUAGAGCAAAGCACACAAAAUUUCACUGCCCAGAUAUAUGGAGAAUCUAUAGGCUAAAUAUAAAUUGCAGGAGCUUCACUUAGAACAGUGAACAUGGCACACAAUCAAUUGCCUGAAAGUAUUUUCUACCAAGAAAGCUGAUCUGGAAUCCAUUCAAUUCAAUCUCAGCUUUGAAGCAUCAGCUGAUAAAACCUUUUGCUUAUAAUGCAGACUGGAGUUAUAAGUGCUGCAGAUAAUGAAAUAGAUUGGGCAUUUAAAGCAAAGUCAUCAGAUAUACCAGUAUUCAGUACAUGCAAUUGUAUAGCUGUAGCGUACUUAAAUACAAUACAUAAUAAAUGUAGAACUUGUGCAGUAUUAUUUAAUGUAGUAUGUAUUUUUCUCCAGAAGAGAGAAUAUGAUGAAGUCCCUUGGCAUAUUCAAACCCGUAAAAUACAGUACUGAGCUAAAUUCUUAGGUCCUCUUUGAUUUUUAGUUUUUGUAAUGGUAUAAUGACCAUAUAUAAUUAUUUCUCAGUCUUUUUAAUAAAAUACAACCAGGAAAUACAGGAAAUUUGCAUGCAGUAUGUGACAAACUCACUUCUUCUCAAUGUCUAUGAACAGUUACCCCUAGUUCAUUUUCCCAGUUUCCCCUGAACCCAAGUACUUUUCUCCAUUCACUAUUUUGCAACCUACCGAACACUGACCACACACUGGCUCGUUGACUACAAAGUAACCACAAACUUAAGUGCUCUCGCUGUGUGGCAGCUGUUCGUAUAACCAAACAACACGUGCUCUGGAAAACGGUGGUUCUCUUGUCUCCCAAACGCAGGCAGUGGCACCUGGUCAACUGAGCAUCUGGAACUCAAAGUCAGAUACUUACACGUGCGAACCUCUGUGACUUUGUGUCAACGCAUGCUUCUGUUCCCGACAAGGCAGGAGAGCACUGUUUGGUAGGAAUGUUCGCACAAACUAGGAGAACAUUCGCAACCUAUGAGCCAGGGGAAACAUUUGUUUGUUUUCGAUUGGGAACUCCCGAAAGAUGACUGGCCAAAGUACCCAACUCCCUGGAACUGUUUUCAGCAUGGGACCAUGUGCGCGGCUGGUCAAGACUUUACCCCGAUGGCGAUUUGGCUAGAAUCCAUGGAUCUGAACACUAUUUUGACAACUUGGGUGCUCAGAUCCCAGCUAUCCGGGGAUAUAAUACUUGUGGGGGUUCCAGUAGAUAUUCUGUGUAUUUUGAGGUUUGGGAGAUAAUUAGGUUAAGCAAAAGCAAGCUCACUUAUCUCCCAGACAAAGAGACACCUGGACGGGCUUACUGUACAAAUUAAUUAAGACCACAUGCUGGGGAUCUGUGUAUAUAAACAGGCCACUGGGCCAUAAUAAAACAUUCUUUUUGUACCCUUCAUCAAGUCUUGGCUGAUGUUUGGGUAGAUCAGUGCUAUAAUCACUACUUCACUUCGGAUAUACUCAGUCGGAAUACAGGGGAUCCAUUACACAGUAUAUAUGCAAGGCCGCUCUCAAAGGGAAAUCGGCAAACAAACUGGAUACUCAAGAUGCGGUAUUUAUGCUGGUAUAAAGAAAUUUGAAGAAUCAGGAGAAGUCAUGGACAAAAAAAGAACUGGAAGGCCAGGAAAACAUUCAUAAUCUUAUAAGAAGUAUCUGAAUUUCUUCUUUCAGAGACCUGAAAAAGUCCAGCAAGUACCUGGCUUAGCAUAUGGCAGCUUUAUCGGGAUGCCCAGUUGACAAUUCUACAGUCCGAAGAAAUUUGACCAGGAAUGAGGAGAUGCUGAUUGGCGGUGUGUUUUGCUAUGCAUGCGCUAUAGUCAUUAAGAUAGAUGAUCUCAACCAGAGCCGGUGCAAGUAUUUUUGGCUACACAGAUGAAGAAGCAUUUUGUAAAAACUUAGCACACUAUCUAACAAUUAAAAUGUAUAAUAAAAAUAUAUACAAAAAUAAAAGAUUAAUAUUAGGAGUCAUUUUCACCAUGCAAUAAUGUCUCUUACUUUACUCAGCUCCUUUGUGCGUCUCUUUCUCCCCUUCCCCAUCCCCUAUGUAUGCUUCAUCCUCCCAGCUCCUUUUGUGUAUCUUUUUCUCCUCUUCCUCACCACCUCUAUGUCUCGUUCUCCCGGAGACAGUGGCGUCGCUAGGGUGGGGCCAGAGGGGGCCAUGGCCCCCCCUACAUCAUGCUGUGCCCCGCCUUGGGCGCCCCAAAUGCCAGCAACCUGCUGGCCAUGGGCUUCCCUCGGACUGUAACAGCCUGUUACAGCCCGAGGGAAUGCAGUGCUGAGGUGCUGGGGGCUGUCUGUGGCUGGAGGGAGCACUGAUUGGCUCCCCAGUAGAGGCCCCGCCCCCAUAUGAAGCCCCGCCUCCCGCCGAUAAGCCCCGCCCCCGAUGGAAUGCAGCAGCCCAUGCUGCUUCAGAAGAUGGCUGCCUGACCCCCAGCAACAGCCUNNNNNNNNNNNNNNNNNNNNNNNNNNNNNNNNNNNNNNNNNNNNNNNNNNNNNNNNNNNNNNNNNNNNNNNNNNNNNNNNNNNNNNNNNNNNNNNNNNNNCAGCAGAGUCUGUGUGUGUAUGGACUCAGCAGAGUCUGUGUGUGUGUGUAUGGACUCAGCAGAGUCUGUGUGUGUGUAUGGACUCAGCAGUCUGUGUGUGUGUAUGGACUCAGCAGUAUGUGUGUGGGUGUAUGGACUCAGCAAUCUGUGUGUGUGUAUGGACUCAGCAAUCUGUGUGUGUGUGUGUGUGUGUAUGGACUCAGCAGUCUGUGUGUCUCAGCUAUCUGUAUAACACAGAUCUGUGUGUAUAAAAUAUCCCGGGAUAGUCAGUGCUUCCUGUACAGUGCUGCUCUCUGUCUUGGGAUAUUAUACACAAACAGACCUGUAUUAUACAGAGAGCAGCACUAUACAGGGAGCACUGAGUGUCCCAAUUUAUUAUACACACAACCCUGUAUUAUACAGAGAGCACUGACUGUCCAGGGAUAUUAUACCCAGACAGUAAUUGAUAGCUGUGCUGCAAAAUGUCCUUGGAAAUUUUUUUUCAAAUGUUGGCAACUAUGGCACUGUAUCAAGGAUAAUGUGUUUGUUUUUUUAAUAAUCCCUGGUGGAAAAUAAUGAAUCCUCCACCAGGUAUUAUUAAAAAAAACAAAACACAUUGUGUCGGGGGCGUGGCUUAACAUGCGACAGGGGCGGGGUUAAACUGCGACGAGGGCGGGGUUAAAUGUGCCCCCCUACUUUUGUCACUGGCCCUCCAUGUGCCCCCCCGAAAAAUGAAUCCUAGAGACGCCACUGCCUGGAGACUCUCUGUAUGUCUAUCCUUUCUCUGAGCCCAUUUAUGUGUCUCUUUCCCCCCUUAGCUAUCCACUCUAUGUGUCUAUUCACCCCAGGACCUUGUCUCUUUCUCCCUCCAGCUUUUCUCCUUGUCUCCCCUUACCCCUCUGGGUGUUUCCCACAGCCAUUGUCUGUCUCUUUUGCCCCUUCCCCAGCCCCUCCCUGUCUUUUUCCCCUCCUUUUUGUAUAUCUCUUUCUCGCCCAGCACCUUUUGUGUGUCUCUUUCUUUCCUUCCUAACCCCUCUGUGUCUUUCCCCCAGCACCUUGUCACUUUCUCCCCCACUGUCCGCGCCUUACCCAUGCUACAAUGAGUGACUGGCUGGAUGGGGAGCACUGUGCUCUUCGCUCCCCUCCUGCCAGGAAAACGGAUCUUGCUCCCCCUCAGGCCAGUGUACCCUAAAGCGGCUGCCUGUGCCACCUUAUGGUGUGCUGGCCCUGUUCUCAUCCAUGGAGGUAAAAUCAGAUCAUUGCACAGACUAAAAUAGCAAAUGUACUUAAUAAGAAAAUUAAAAAAAUUGCAUGUUUCUUAAAUAAAUGCUACUAUAUCCCUUGCAAGGAAGCCUUGCAGGCAGCCUCAGUUAGUUACUUCACCUCCAAACAAAUCAAAAGUUGAAAUAAAACUGUUUACUUGUGCAAAGAUAUAUGUCUAUUUCUUUUAACUGCUCAGGAUGAUUUUUAUUUUAACAUGUGCAAGAAGUAAAACUGAAGCAGCUAGUGUCACUUUUACUAUAUUAUGUAAUCUGAAGAGGUAAAAAUAAAACAUAUAAAUAGAGGUAAAUAUGAAACACAAGUCACAUUAGUACAUUUUUUAACUUAUCCAGCUGUAAAAUGGCUUGUAAAAAAUGAUAGUAAGAUUCAUUUCUAGGAAUUCCACUCAUCAGAACAUUCCAUUACUGUACUACAAAUUCUUUACAUGUAUAUUUACAUUACAUUAUUGCAAAUUUAAACCAUCAGUUCUAAAGGAUCUUCUAAUUAAAUAUAAGGAUUUUCUAAUUAAAUAUAUUUUAUUUAAUUAUAUGGAUUAAAUAAAAGUUAAAUUUUAUUUGAAAACUAUCACAAAGACCUUGGAGUGCGGUCCUUUCUACUAUAUCUACGUGAUUUUGCCAGACCUGCACCGGGCAUUAAGAAUUUAACCAGGAGUGCAAGCCCUUGUUACCUGUAUGUAUGUAUGUAUGUAUGUAUGUUGCAAUGACUUGCACUCCUGGUAACUUGUAGUAAUGCCCGGUGCUGAUUUGACAAAAUGUAUAGAAACAGGAGAAAAAACACACUCCAAGGACUUAAAUACUUGAAUAUGAUGAAUAAAACUUAGCUUUUAUUUAUUCCAUGCUAAAAGAUGUCAACGUUUCAGUUCCAACACAGAGCUUUCAUCAGGACAAAAAAACAAUUGUCCUGAUAAAAGCUUUGUUUUGGAGCUGAAAUGUAGAUUUUUUUUCUGCUGUUUCUAUAUAUAGAAGGCGUAUGCCUGUAGUUGUGGGAGGGAUUUAGGCCUAUAUAAACCCAGCAAACCCCAGGCUUACCUGUCUUCGUCGAUUCCGGAAAUUCGCCUUCGCUUCCGGUUCACGCAGACCUCUGACGUCAUUUUGCCGCGACGCGCCUAAACGACGGUCAGGAACUUCCACGCGAAGAGUCGUGAGUAUAACACACGAACGGGAACCAGUCGGCAAGUUUCCAGCUCAACCGUAAGUCUUCUCAAUAACCGAACAUAGGCUCAUUCGUGUAACCUUUCGUGAAAUUAGUCAUCCGGCUAAGAUAACGUUCGCGAGAAACCAACCGUUUCAAUAGUCGGGAAGCGUUUGCAUAAUACAUUUCGGGAAUCUAUUUCUUCUUCGCCUUAGGUUAGUGGUCCCGCGAGGCCAACACCCAUCCUCAAUUUGGAGGUACUACGCCCCUUGGGCCAAAUCAUAGGUAGCCGCCUCGCAUGUGUCAUAGAGAUGGCCUCACCAGUCACCGCCAUUCUAUCUUAUGAUUACUACUCACCAAGAGGCCAACACCCCAUCACAACGUUCGGUGGCCAUGAAAUCCCCUUGCGCCAACUCAUAGAUAGAUCCUCUCAAGCCGCUGGGCACUUAGUAGGGCCUCACCUGUCACCAACCUAGUGUAAUCGCUUCACCACGGAGCGGCACUAGCUAGUCAGCCAGCACACACACACUCACACUCACGCACACAUUAAAAAAAAAGUUUCUAACAUAACAUCUCCUUUCACGCCCAUAGCAUGUCUAACGCUUCAGUUCGAGGGGAAGAGCUAUCACUUGCCAGCACUCCCUCCAGACCUGGCACUCAGCCAAGACAGUCCAGUACGAUAUCCAGCUACAGAUCCUAGACUCUUCCAAAAAAAAAAGUUCCACUAGGACUACCCGAAACAAGCUCAGGAGGUAAUCCAAUCCAAUUCCUGCUAAAACAACUAAAAUCAUUAACCCAGUGCAUUUGAUUCUACAAAAUCUAAAACGAGACAUACUAGAAGGGAAAGAUGUUAAUCUAGCUUCCCUCCUCAUUGCCUCGCAGGAUAUAAUCGAAAACAGAGCCUAUACUUUCGACGAUAUAUCCGUGGUAAUGAAAGCUAGAGACCCUAGGCUCAAUAAAAAGCUGAAUAUUCCUGAAUUUAUGCUAGCUUUUGGUUUAUAUAGGGAUGUAAUUUGCACUUCUUUCCCACACCGUAGAGAAGAGCUGGAUCUAUAUCUGCACAAGCUGGUGGAAUUGGCUUACAAAUAUGGAGGUUACGCGUUCUACGACUACCAUAAGUCCUUUUCUGCCAGGUCAGCCGCGUCAUUGGCCCAGUACAACACUCCCACUGAUUGGAGUCAAUUAGAUACAGAAUUGUUCUGUAGACAUUUCGCGGGGCUUAAAACACCAGCAUGUGCAAUAUGUUCCUCAGCAUCUCAUACAGGAAACUUUUGUCCUGGUAACAUAGGUGGUCCAUUUACUAGCAACGCCAUUCCAGACUAUUUUCCUAAUCAAAGGGAAAUGAAAGACAAGUUAGGGAGACCUAUAGUGUUUCUUGGGAAAGCACAAGUUUGUAACAACUUCAACACGGGGGGUUGUAGUUACAGCGCUUGCAGAUUACUACACGUUUGCUCAAUCUGUUUCAGAGCACAUGCAAAAACUAUGUGUCCAAACAAACUGUUCCCUAAGAAAGCAAUGACCCCAAUAAACGUACCCAAUUUACAACGUUACUUGACUGAACAUCCUUCUUCUCAGUUGGCGGACUUUCUGGUCUCAGGUUUCACGAGAGGCUUUCACACAGGUUUAGUAGCACUCCCUUCAGGCAUACUAGAAUGCCCCAACCUACAGUCAGAUAUAACAGACCCAGCCAGUUUAACAGAUCUUCUCAACAAAGAAGUAGAGAAUGGUUUUAUGAUAGGACCCUUCACCACACCACCCUCCACUUCCUGGAGAACAAGUCCACUAGGUAUAGCCACGGGCAAGUUUAACAAUAAAAAGAGGUUAAUAAUCGAUUUUUCAGCACCCCACUCUUCCACAUCCCCAAGCUUAAAUUCCCUUAUACCCUCAGAAGACUUCUCACUUCAAUACGCAAAAAAAAACGAUGCCAUACAAGCCGUCGUCAACUUAGGUGAGGCAGCCUGGUUGAGCAAAAUGGAUAUCUCAAAUGCUUUCAAACUUCUACCAAUUAAGCAGUCACUCUGGCAUCUACAUGGUGUUAAGUGGGAAGAGAAUUACUAUUUUGCAACCAGGCUGACCUUGGGCUCCAAAAGUAGCCCAAAAAUCUUCGAUAUAUUCGCAGAAACCUUGAAUUGGCUACUACUUAACAAGUCCAGGUGCCCAGUAGUAAUCCACUACCUCGAUGAUUUUCUAUAUAUCGAGCCUCACUACUACACACCACACAGUCUAAAAAAUGCACUCUCCCUAUUUAAAGAAUUAGGAGUCCCGGUAGCACCAAAUAAGAAAGAGGGUCCCAGUACAGAAAUAACUUUCCUAGGCAUCACACUCAAUUCUGUAACUAUGCAAGCUAGCCUCCCUCAAAUCAAAGUAGACACAUUCACAGCUACACCAAUCACGGGUCAUGUACCAGGAAAGAGUUACAGUUGCUUUUGGGUUCUCUUAACUUUGCCAUGAGAAUUAUCCCUCAAGGCAGAUCUUUCAUCUCUAGACUACUGUCUCUUCAACACGGCCUCCCUGACAACGACACUAAGAUAAAUUUAGACGGUCCUGCAAGGGCCGACCUAACAAUGUGGGAACUAUUUUUAACCUCAUGGAACGGCAGGUCAUUGUUCAUUUCCCCUAUAUCUGAUGAAUCCCCGGUUAUCUGGACAGACGCAGCAGCUACCGUCGGGUACACUGCAAUAUUUGGGGACGAAUGGGUAUACGACAGUUGGCCACCCAAAACAGUUACACUAGAGAAAUUUGAAAAAACCUCUGCAUUUUUUGAGAUAUUCCCAAUAGUGGCAGCAGCUCUCAUUUGGGGAAGUAAUUGGAGGGGGAAAGCAGUUAAGUGUUACUCUGACAAUUUAGCAGCAUGUAACAUAAUUAACAAAGGCUGCUCUCAGUGCCUGCCAAUCAUGAAUCUUGUAAGGAAACUUACAUAGUUAGCAGCAAAUUUGCAGUUUUAUAUUCGUUGUAUCCAUGUUCCUGGUGUCUUAAAUAACGCCGCUGACGCUUUGUCUCGUUUUCAUUUACAGGAAUUCUUCAAACUGCACCCUACAGCAAACAAGCAACCCAUAACUCCUCCGCAAUUCAAAGACCUAAUCAUGCACUAAACCAGUUACUAGCACACAGUAGAAUUCUUGCACAGGCAGGUUUAUCUGUAAACACUAAAAAAGCGUACGAUAGGGCAUUUGACUUGUUUAAAUAGUUUGUGCGUGACUUUAACAUAAUAAACCAUUUUUCUGUAGAAACUAUGGUUGCAUUUUCAACUUUUUGCCACCUCUCGUUAAAACUAGCCUACAAUACCAUCAAACUUUAAUUGACAGGGAUACAACAUUUCAUGCUAAUUCAUUACCCGAACAAGUCUCCUUUCUUGCCCACAUACCCAAUAAAAAAUAUACUAAAAGGUAUCCAGAGGCAAAAAUCCCAUAAAUCCCUCAAAAGACUCCCCAUAGAGAGUAAUAUCUUGAAAGAAAUCUCCAAGCUAUUAGAUAAAAAUCCUUUUGAAAAUAGCACUAACCGAGUAAUUAAGGCAGCAGCGUAUCUAGCCUUUUUUGGAUUCCUCAGACCUAAAGAAUUUUCAGUGGAGAAAAUAUCUGACACGGAAAAUUGUCUUAAACAAAAGAACUUAACCAAAGUAAAUGAUAAUUUCAUUCUAUCAAUUCCCCGCACAAAAACAAACCAAACAGGCCCCCCAGUGGAGAUUAAGUACUUUCCUACCGGUUCCAUAUGGUGCCCAGUUCAAGUGCUGGAUAAUUUGAUACUAAAUCAGCAAAUUAAAAAUCCAGAUUUGCCUCUGUUGUCCCUACAAGGUAAGCCUCUUACUACUAAACAGUUCAUGCUAUACAUCCAUGCUUUGCUUCUUAGACUCGGCUUCAAUCCAAAUUCCUUCACGGGACACUCGUUCCGUAUUGGAGCGGCCACGGCAGCCUCAAGUAGUCAAGUACCAACACAUAUCAUAAAGAAAAUGGGUCGAUGGAAAUCCUCAGCAUACAACCAGUACAUCCCAAAACCAGAGAAAGAAAUCAGACUCGCUUUCUAUAAUAUGUCUAAAUAAUGUUGUUGUAAUAAAUAAAUAAAUAUGUUUACAUACUUCUUGGCCCUCUUUUUUACAGGCCUAACCUCUCGUCGGUUUCGGCACACCUCAACUGACUCUCAUUUAUCAAAAUAACACUCUCUUUAAAUGUACGCCCCCUUCCAUAAUCCCAUGCACAAAUAGAAGGCGUAUGCCUGUAGUUGUGGGAGGGAUUUAGGCGUAUAUAAACCCAGCAAACCCCAGGCUUACCUGUCUUUGUCGAUUCCGGAAAUUCCCCUCCCACCACACCCUCUUUUCGUAUCAAUAGUUCCGGGUGGGCCCUCUUUUUUACAUGCCUAACCUCUCGUCGGUUUCGGCACACCUCAACCGACUCUCAUUUAUCAAAAUAACACUCUCUUUAAAUGUACGCCCCCUUCCAUAAUCCCGUACACAAAUAUAUAUUAAUAGAGCAAAGUCCACACUUCUAUAUAUUGUUCUCCUCUGCGAUAUAACAAUGCUAGGCACUGAGUUUUAAAAAGAACUGGUGUAUCUCAUCCUUUCCCCUUCUGUUCUAAAUCUAAGUUCUUAUUUAUCUAGGAAAGUUAGGCCACAUGCAGUAUUUUUAGGUAAGAAGCACAUAUGCUUACAUAUACACAAACAUAUAAAGGAUUCAAUUAGUUAUAUACAUGAAGCAUUUAAAAAUAAAAACCUGAAAAUAUAAAAGAUCUUUAUGUAUCCUUUAUUUUAUAGGUUAACAAAUAAAGAUAUACAUAGUGUAAAAAUAAUUAAAUGAAUUCUGUCAUACUGGGUCUCAAACUUAAAGCGGUAGUCUAAGUACCAUAACCACUACAACAUGCUGGUGUCAGGUUUCAGUCUACAACUGGAUAGCAGAAUUACAGAGUCCUCUUUAUACUUCCAUUAUGCUUAGUGUUUAUCUGAUUGGAGAUUUACUGUCUCAAGUCACUCUCUUUUUACUUAUGUUGUUCUUUUUCUCCAACAACCAGACAUUUAGUAGAAAAACACAAACACGUAUAUGGAAUAAAUGCUAUAUGCCACAUCACAAUUAAUAUAGAGACAAAGGAGAGAAUAAAAUCCCUUAUUUUCAUGUUUUGGUUUCCCUUAUAAUCAAAUAACAAAAAUGAAUGGAGAAUAAACAAUGUACAAAUAUAACUUCUACAAUUAGGUGCAAAUAUAUAUAUAUAUAUAUAUAUAUAUAUAUAUAUAUAUACACAAGUAAUAGGAUGCACACUAUAACAGCUACAAAAUAUAUAGAAUAUAUAUAUAUAUAUAUAUAUAUAUAUUUAUAUUUUUUUUUUAAAUUUUGUAUUGAUUUUUUUAAGAUACGACAACUUAACUUUGGUAUAAUGGUAACAAGAUAACAAGAUAAAACAGUACAAACUGAGAUGUCAUGUUAUUACUCCAAGCAAAUAAUACCAGCAAGGUAAUAGUGUGAGCCGUUCUGGCACCUAUAAAGACCUCUUGCUUUGUAUAUGAAAAUAAAACAACAUGGCUGGACAAGGAAAAUAUUAAAAGUACCCUAAUACGAGGAAGUUCACAUCUUAACUUGUGACUGAAGGUUUCCCAAGCUAUUAACAGCCGAGUUGCAAUUAUCAGGAUGAGUUAGGCUCAUGACUCUUGUGUGCUAAUAAAGUAGGAUUAAAUAAGUGAAAUUAUAUUGCAUAGCCUAGGGAAAUGGUUUAUAGGUUAACUCUAGACUAAACAAGAGUAAUACACAAAACAAUACCGCAAACCCUUAUCUCUCACUCCUAUGGUUACUUCCCAGUAAAUAACCAAUUUUGACACGAUAUAGAUAUAUGUACAAAAUAUGUGAUACAGCUGUACAUUCUAAAAAUAAAUUAAUAAAGUAUAGUGUAAUACUGUCAUAAAAUAUACAGAUGACACAUUUAUUGGUAGCACUUACAGAAUGCUUAACGAUUGUUGGCUCUCAAGAUGCCUCCCCUUGUGAUAGUGGGGGGUAAUAGCACCCUCCUCCUGGUAGACACAACAAUACAGAAACCAGGAGAAUAUUGUGAUGAUUAGAUGCUUUGGGGUUACUGCCCCUGUUGGUAGUUACAGGUGAUAGUUUCCCUUUCCUUGUAAUCGCUAAAUGAUCAGGAACCAGACACCAAACUUUUAAUGGAAGGUGGUAACUUUUAUUGGCAAAAAAUGCUAGAAACAGUAAUAACAUAAAAAACAAAUGAGUUCCUAAGUGUUUUGUUUCAGAACUGGAACUUCCUCAUGGACCAAUAUCUUAACCCCUUAAGGACAUAUAUCUAUGAACAUGAGUAAUACAUGGUACAUUGUAGAGUAGAGUAAGAUUCUAGUGCCAAGUCAUAAAAUAAAAAACUCAAGCUAGUUUACAAUACUAAGGGAGUACAUAAACUACUGUGUAGCAGAUGUACUAUGUGUGCAUAUAGACACGUCAAAGAAAUAAAUCAAAUAAAGGCAGCAUAGUUGUAUUAGGGCUCUGCGGCAUACUCUGCUGAUGCCUGUGAAGGGAAAGCUGCUACCUGCAAAAAAAACCAAGAGCCUUGGAUUGGCUCUUAGGUGUCUCAGUAGGUUGUUGCUUGUUGAGCUUCUCCCAGAAUUGUGAGGAGCACUGUCUGUCAAAAACCUGUAGAUCCACCUGGGAAGCUGAUUAUGUGAAAGAAUGGGGAGCAGCAGGUCUCGAGGAAAUGGCCCUCUCAUUGAGCACAUCUUAUUUUUCCAAACUGCCUUUAGCUGCCACUAGUCACCUGGAGUAGUCUUCAGCAUUGUACCAGUGGGGACCGAUAUAUCCUCGGUCAGUCCAAAGGGGUGAAACAGGGCCCAGUGGUUAACACAAAACCCGAGAAGAGGAUCGGCCAUCUCACCAGGCUCAGUUAUGACUGCAGGCCGCAGAGCAUUCUGGCACAGGCAGUGCCCACCAGGAAUGGUCAAAUAAAGGUCAGACCCUCGGCAGAGUGUACCGAGUGUUUUUGUUUUUGUCAAGUAAUAGGUUUAUUUGGAUGUUUUCUCUGUGGAGCUCCAGCCUUGUGUGUCUGUCUCAGUCGGCUUUCAGGCCCCGCUCCUUCAAUCAUGAAAAAUUUUUCAUGUAACAAAAUUGACAUUUUCACAGAUCAGUUGCUUAUUGGAUUCCUCGUGUACAUUCAUUAAAUGCUUACUUUAAAAUUGAACUUUACAAUUUCAGUUAAUCUCUUCAGGCAGAUAUAAACAACUUGGCUGUCUUGUGUAUUACUAUGUUUUGGCUUUUUGGGACAUAUAUUUUGUUUACUCUGCCAAGUCCCACCUACUGUUGUUUGCAUAUGUGGUAGAAAGUAUUAAAAAUUGUUUUAUAAUUUAGCUUCAGACAAUAAUAAAUAGGAGAAAAAUGCCCAACUGACUAAUUUUAUGCAUAGUGGAUACAUUGCGUACAGCUUUCGGUGGAAUUUAUGUUAUAAGCCUCCACUGCUAAAUAUGUCCAAUGCAAAUUGCAUACAAGGGUUCAAGGCAGAUGGAUGGGUGGAUGAACGGGUGAAUGGAUCUAGCAUUUAUAUAUCAGUAUUUGUAUCAACAUUUCUAGUGCUGCCCAGCAGUUUCCUAGAUGUUCUGAUCUUAACUAAUUCCUACAGGUAAGGAGCUACUAGUACCACUAUAAUAUUUUGAUCUGUAAAAUGUUUGAUGUAUUCAUGAUUGUACUUUUUAAAUUUAGCACAUUAGCUAGAUUUACUCUCCUAUUAUAUAUCAUGCAACACAUAUUUUGAAAUGUAAACUCAAUGAAUGUCUUGACAAUCAUAGCAUUCUAGAAAAUAUUUAGCUUGUCCUGCUAAAUGUUUGCACUAUAAUAAUCUGUCCACACAGAAUCUAACUCACACACACUAUACUCAUUCAUGCACAGACUUACAUACAUAUAGAUUCUUUCACACAUGGCUACCUUGAAUUUUCUAUCUACUCCCCACUCACCUGAAUCUGGCGUGAGCAAAACAUACUGGUGAUGGACAUCAAAUCGUGGCACUGUCUCCUGUGCUAUCCUCUGACCCUCUUUGCUCAUCCUCCUUCCUUUCCCUUGUUGGCUUAGGGUGAUUGCACACAUGCCUUUUAGUUCCAAUAAUGUUUAUAUAUGAGAAUUAUUUCACACAGGAAAGGGGAAUGACUAUAGGGAAGGCAGAUUAGGCUGCUGGGAAACCUGACCACAGCACUGGAUUGAUGGUGAGUAUUUUACUUCAUUUUACUUUUUAUAAAACAAAAAGAUUUUUUUGAUUGAAAUAAACUUUUUAUUGAGACCACCUCUCUCUCUCUCUCUCUCUCUCUCUAUAUAUAUAUAUAUAUAUAUAUAUAUAUAUAUAUAUAUAUGUAUAUAUAAUGUUCAAAAACUGUUGAACGCUGCACCUGACUUCCUCCACUUUAAAAUUAUGCUGCGCUCCUACACUCUGGCUCUUUCCUCGGCAAAAGUAAAUUACUUCGAUACCCUCAUAACUACACUCCCCCGUGAACCCAAACGACUAUUUCACACUUUUAAUGUUUUCCUUCGCCCUGUUGCUCCCCCUCCUCAUAUCACCCUGUCCGCCUCAAACUUUGCAACUCACUUCACUGAGAAGUUUUCUACAAUCAGGGAAGAGAUCUCUAACAUGUCUCCCUCCCCUUCCAAUACAUCACCCAACCCCACUCCCUCUGCUAUUCUAUGCUCAUUCGCACCUACUACAAUGGAAGAGGUUUAUGCUCUGCUCCGGUCCUCCCGCCCCACCACCUGUUCCCUCGAUCCUAUUCCCUCAUAUCCUUUUUUUUAAUAUUUUAUAUACAAAUACAAAAAAACAAGUCCUGCGCUCACUCCCAUCACUCCUUGGCGGCAGCAAUGACCACAGUACACAUCAGUCCCAAUACAUACAGUAAAAACCAAAGAAAAAGUUACCUGCGCUCUCUCCUAAAUCCCUAUGUAUAUUUAAACAAAUUGAGGUCAUUUAGUUACUCCAAUGGCCAUUGGAGAGAAUGCCUGCCUGCCAACGUCAAGGCAGACUCUCUCAGGUGUGUCCUACACUGACCUUUCACCUUGCUUCCUUGAGCUUCUGGCAAAGAUAUCUCUGAAGGGACAAAGAGGGGUAUUUUUUAUAUACACCCCUAUAUACUUAUUAACCCUUAAUAGGGAACAAAUGGGAUGGGCAGAACACAUGAGAUGUAUCACACUUCUAUGUUACAAUGCUACCGCCCAUCCCAUGUGUUCUCUAUUAAGGGUUAAAAAGUAUUUAUUUAGUUAUUUAUUUAUUUAGUUUAUUUAGAGAGCUUAUCCACUUUUCUUCUUCUAUAUGUACUUGCAGUUCUUUUUCCGAUUUAUUAAUCAGUUCUAUCGGUUUAUCGUGUCUCCAUCUGUAUAUAACUUUAGCGCAUUUUUCCAUUAGGUUUCUUUAAUUCGAGUAGAUGUUUGAGGAUUGUAAUUUUCUCCCCCUCAUUUUGAUGGAGAUAUUCUGCUAAAAAGCUCUUAAUUCGCAGAUAGUUAAAAGUGUCUUUGGGAAUGUUGAAUUUCUCCAUAAUUUGAUUGAAGGUUUUAAUUGUAAGUUUCGCUAGUAUAUUUUAAAAUUCCUUUAUCCCCCCAGUCUUCCAAGUGUCUAUUUUUAUGUUGUCUAACAUAUCUGAAAUAAAAGGGAGCACAUCUAUUAUUCUAUUUCUGAGUCCUAUGUUGUUUGUGAAUUUGUCCCACCAACUCGUUAACUCUUUGAGUAUCUGGGAUUUAGUUCGUGCUUCUUUGAUUCAUUUUUUAUUCACGUCAAGUACCCAAUAUAGUGAAGUUAAAUUUCCUACCCUGGUUUUAGCUUUUUCCAUUUUAUACCAUGUUUCUUGGAUUGCAGCAAUAUUGUGUGAAAGAAAUAUGUGAAAAUGUCUGCUAGCCUGAUAACAUUGUAAAAUUUCCGGGCACCCCAAACCUCCAUCCUGCCUUGAUCUAGCCAAAACUUGAAUUUUAACUCUUUCUUUCUUGCCGCCCCAUACAAAUUUAAAAAAGGAUGAGUGUAUUAAAGAUAGCCAGUUUCUGGGAAAUGAAGUGGGAUCAUUCUCCAUAGAUACAGUCUGUAACGGACCGUUUCAGCACACAAGGGGUUAAAAAACGUUUAGGCGAUCGUCCCCUUUCAGAGAUGCAGGCACAGCUACUGUAGAACACCAAACUCCCGAACCGCAAAUAAGGGAAUGCUCCAAACUCCCGAACAGCAUACAAUGUAACACUCCAAACUCCCGAACUGGACCCAUACGAAUCGCUGCUAGCAGACGAAUAGGAAAAGCAACCAUGCGGCUUACACUCCUAGCAAUCAGUCUCUAUCAGCAUUCAGUAAAUCCCCCCAAAGACGAGACAAGGCUCCGUGUUUAGGGUCAAGCAGUGGUCAGACAGAGCUGUGGGUUUAUUGUGCUUAUGUACACAUUCUUACACAUUAGUACCACCCACAGGGUUUUGGAACACAACCAAUAAACACAUCCAAUACACUCAGACACUCCCACACAAAAUCCUCCCCUCUGCCUGUGUUACAAUUACCUUACACAAUGGGUAAUGUAAUUAUAACAAGCAGAUAAAUACAAUUUUUCCACAUUAUUCAUAACUUGAAAAGUAUGCAUCACAUUCACAUGAAGUGGGAUCAUUCUCCAUAGAUACAGCCUGUAACGGACCAUUUCAGCACACAAGGGGUUAAAAACCGUUUAGGCGAUCGUCCCCUUUCAGAGAUGCAGGCACAGCUACUGUAGAACACCAAACUCCCGAACCGCAAAUAAGGCAAUGCUCCAAACUCCCGAACAGCAUACAAUGUAACACUCCAAACUCACGAACUGGAACCAUACGAAUCGCUGCUAGCAGACGAAUAGGAAAAGCAUUCAAGCAGCUUACACUCCUAGCAAUCAGUCUCUAUCAGCAUUCAGUAAAUCCCCCCAAAGACGAGACAAGGCUCCGUGUUGAGGGUCAAGCAGUGGUCAGACAGAGCUGUGGGUUUAUUGUGCUUAUGUACACAUUCUUACACAUUAGUACCAUCCACAGGGUUUUGGAACACAACCAAUAAACACAUCCAAUACACUCACAAUGGGUAAUGUAAUUAUAACAAGCAGAUAAAUACAAUUUUUCCACAUUAUUCAUAACUUGAAAAGUAUGCAUCACAUUCACAUAAAACUUAUAUUUACAUCAAAACUUACAUCAGACUUACAUCAGAAUCAGCAUACUCCAAAUACAAACAUAUGUCAAAAUCAUCCAAAUUGGUCCAGUGGUUCAAAAGAUAGAUCGUAGUCCUUUGUGACCAAAGGAAGCAUGGCUUUUCUGCCAAAAACCAGUUCCACAGAGUCUUCUAUCCUGGAGAUAUUUGGGAAGUAAUCCAAUUAUCUCCAAAGACAGAGGCAAAACUCCAUUGAACACAUGGCAGCAAAAGACAAUAAAACACAUAAAAACAUAUAACUGUGCAGCCAUUGCACAAAACAGGUACAUUCAACAUAUCCCCAGAUAGCUCAGAUCUGAGCGCACAUUAUUACUGAAUGGCGCUCAGAGCACACACAUACAGUUUAAUUGCCAUGGAGCCAAAGUCUUUCCCAUAGUCUUUCAUUAUACGAAUGGGCUCCAUGGCAUAGCUAUCUGGGGUAUCACCGCUCAAACAGGGCAAGCACCAAAUGACCCGGCUUUCAUGUCUUUGCAGGGGAAAAUCAAACCUUUUAACAUGAGGCCAUAGUACAAAGGCAACAGGCGAGCAACCAGGCUUCUCCAAUGCAAUGUGGCGAGAUUGGUCUCGUCACACAGCCAUUUUGGUAAAAUGUAUGCUUUUAGGAUAUUGAUCCUACCCGACCAGGAAAAUCCCAUACCUUUCGAUUCCCUUAAGUUUUUACUAGUUUGUGUUAGUGAAGGUAAAAAGUUGGUGUAACGGAACUCCCCGUACUCCGACUGAGUACCUUCUGUUGAUGGACGCUUCUUAGCUUGCGCCGAGGACCACAAGCACUGCACUGGAGACCACAACCAUCGCAAACUCCACAACCGCCAUAGCUUAACUGGAGUCUCGCCGUCUUCCUUCCACCCUGGAUCAGCUUCUGUCCUCCAGGACCAUGUGGGGAAGACCUCUCCUUCAGGAAAGCGUAUCAGGAACAAGCUCUUAAAAGAGCUAAGUGAUUAAAGCUCAGGGGAGUAUGCAAAGCAUAGCAAUCCCCAGUGUGAGUAUAGCUGUCCCCUCCAAUCACGAGACAAGACUACGUGUUGAGGGUCAAGAAGAAUUGUUUUAAUGGUAGCAAAGGGCUUUCUUUUAUGCAAGUUGUUACACACAGUUCCCACCCACAUGGUCUUGUGGAACAGCCAGUCAAGCACAAUACAAUACAGUUAGACACUCCCAGUCAUUACAGCAAAAUACUCCCCUCUGCCUGUGAUAUAAUUACUGAACACAAUGGGCUAACGUAAUUAUCACAGGCAGGAAAAUACACAGUUUUACACAAUAUUCAUAACUUUAGAAGUAUACAUCACAUUCACAUAAAUACAUAUUCAGAAUCAGCAUACUCCAAAUACUAACAUAUGUCAAAAUCAUACAAAUUGGUCCAGUGGUUCAAAAGAUAGAUUUAAAAUGUCUUAUUUGACCGACUGCAAGCAUGACUUGGGUGUGGUAAGCCAAUUAUCUCCAGCAUACAGAAAAUAUCUUUAUUCACAACAACAGCAACAAUACACAAAAAUACAUCAUUCCUAAGAACAGAACCCCCACAUUCAACCUAUCCUCAGAUAGCUUGGAUCUGAGCACUCUAUAUAUCAGAACAGUGCUCAGAUCCCACGAACACAGUCAAAUCGCCAUGGGGUUUAAGUUUAGCAAGGGCUGAUGAGAGAUUGAGGAGGGAUAAAGCAGCCAGUUUAAACUGGUCUGGCAGUGUCCCUGGGACAACGCCCUGCUGGAGAACAAUGGGACAGGAAAAGGCACAUUCUCCCAUGCAAUCAAAGGGGCAGAAAAAGUGUUUCAAAAUCCCAUAAGCCCAAAUAAUAUUUUUAGAGGACACAAUCUCCCAGGGGCCAUAGUCACAGGGCAGGAGGCUGGCAAUCAGGCUCCUCCAAAAGCCAGAGGCAAAGGGCAGUUUGUUAUAUAAAAACCCAGUGACAAAAGGCAGUUUGUCACAGUUGGCUUCUACUAGAUCUUUUAAAUUUGAAGUUAAUGUUAUGCCUAAAUAUUUUAGCCUGUCCUUGUUUUCUGGGAGCCCAAGGUUUUGUACAACAAAAUUAAUUAACCUUUUGUUAAAAUGUUUAGCUAUAAAUAUUGAUUUCUCUAUAUUCAUUUUGUAUCCUGACACUUUAGAGUAUUUAUUUAUCUUCUUCAGAAGCUUUGGGGCUGAGGUUUUUGGUUCUUCUAAAGUUAAUAAGAUGUCAUCUGCAUAAAUAUUACAUUUACUUUGUCCUAGGGAGUUUGUAAAUCCUCUGAUUUUUUUUAUUUUGUCUUAUUAGAAUUGCAAGGAGUUCUAACACCAUUAUGUACAGUAAAGGGGAAAGAGGGCGCCAUUGUCUAGUCCCAUUUUUAACACUGAAGUUUUGUGAUGUGAAUCUUGACUCUGUUACUUUAGCUGAUGUAGAGUUGUACAGAGCAGAUAUAGCUUGUAAUAUUGAUCCAGUGAUUCCAAAUUGUUUUAGAGUGGCAAAAAUGAAACCCAAUCCAACCCUGUCAAACGCUUUAUCUGCGUCUGUUGACAGUAACAUUAGAGGGGUUCCAAUAAUUUAUGUUUCUUCUAAUAUGUUUAUUAUUUUUCUAAAAUUGUUGAUUUAAGACCUCCCUGGUAUGAAUCCUACUUGGUCAUUAUUAAUUAAUUGUGGUAUGACUAUUUUUAAUCUAUCAACAAGGAUAGAAGAUAAUAUUUUAAUUUGUAAUAUCUGUGUUGAUUAGUGAUAUAGUUAAGACCAUAUUUCAAGGUCUUUAGAUUGAAAAUCCAUUUUGGGCAUAGGACCAUAUUCAUGGUUGGUCAAAAUUAUGAACUCUAGGGAAAUCCGAACCCCUGAAUGAUUUUUGGAUAUGAAAAGGAGAGUAAUCAAUAGAGUCUCAAAUGGAAUGGGACUCAAAACUGGUUUUAAACAAAGUUAAGGAAUAAAUAAUAAUAGUACAUACGUGGUCUAGUGGGGCAUUUUGAGAGGUUUUAUCCGAUACCUAAUUAGGGACAGCAUAGAAGACCCUCCAAGGUGUUUGGCUUAAGAGCAAUAGGAUAAAUAGCUCUGUAUAUGAUUAGUUUGGAUCUAUCUGUUUAAUUUAGUAUUAUCUGGUCACUGCAGAGGCUUCUUCCGAUACCUUAUUAGGGAUAGCAUAGAACAUCCUCAAAGGUGUUUAACUUAGGAGCAAUAGGGCAAACUAGCUCUGUAUAUGUCCAGUUCGGAGCUUUCUGUUAUAUUCAGUACUAUCUGCUUACUGCAGAGGCUUGAAGCAUCUCUUUAUUUAUUUAGCGCUUGCUCUCUUUACCUCCUCUAGCUUCUUAUGCUCCCCUGGUAUUCCAGAUCCUAUGCCCUAUAGCCACCACUUCUGUCCCAGUAUCGCUGUCACUCUUUCACUGAUUUUUUCAUAACCUCUCCUACUGACUUUGGUACGUGUACUACCACUACUUAGCGGUUUUCCACUUAUCAGCCUAUAUUUAACUAUCGGCUUGGGUUUAUCUUUAAUUAAACUGCCUUAUGUGCCUUUCCUCUAGACACAGACACAACCAAAGUUCUAUCUCUGCCUUACAGCAUUUGUUCCAUACACAGUGCCUUUUUAUCCAUUACGCAUACAUAAAGCAUUUAUUAUUUUCUUGGCACUCUGUGGAACCAUUAUGUGAUUAAUUAUUUUGGCAAUCCCCACGACCAGUACUCCGCGCUGAUUUCCCAAUCAGUCACAGUAUGUACUAUUUUUUUUUCUUCCUUAACUUUGUUUAAAACCAGUUUUGAGUCCCAUUCCAUUUGAGACUCUAUUGAUUACUCUCUUUUUCUAAACUAUAUUUCGGGUCCAAGCCCCCUCUGGUGGAUCUGGAACCACCAAACUGACCUCUGUGUGUCUGAUUUCUACUUUUUGAAGCUCCCUGGUGGACAGCACAGCAGAGAACCUGACUGGGAUGGUGGAGCUGUGAGUUCAAACCCAGCCAGGUUUCUGAAAGGGGCGGCCACACCUUGCUGUCUUCAGGGCUCGAGCUGUGCCGUGACAUACAGGUUAACAGUAAAAGGAGUUUAAGCAUGCAUGGGAUAGGCAUAAGGCUAUCCUAACUAUAAAAUAAGGCCAGGGAUUAAUGAAAGUAUUUAGAAAAUUGGGCAGAUUAUAUGGGCUGAAUGGUUCUUAUCUGCGGUCACAUUCUAUGUUUUUGUGAGAUUUGAACACGUAUUGAUUUUUGGAUAUGUUAGUCACCCAGAUUGGGGAUGUAACUUUGUGGGGGUUUUAUGUAUUUUAAAGGUAUUUUUAGGGUGUGUAAUAUUGUAUGUUUUUCUGUGCCUGGAGAUAAUUGAGUUAGUUCAGUUCCUGACUCGAUUAUCUCUCAAGGCACAGAGGAGGAGUUUGCAACUCCUCCACUCUCAGGUCCAGGAGAGGAAUUAUCCUAUUUAUGUCGGAGUGUGAGGGGCGUGCUUAACUGUGUCUGAAAUUGUAUAAAAGCAGGCCAUCUGGCCAGAUUAAAACAUUCCAACUUGUACUCUAUAUCAUCUGGUUACUGGGAGGGGAAAGGGCUAAUCACUAAUCACUGUUCCAGUGUGGUGGAUUCCACAGGGAAAAUCCUUGUAAGGACUAGAGCUCCCAGGACUGAGUGUCGUCCAGUGCCAGGGGGUGGAUAGAGUGAGUUCCCCAUUCGGCUUCAGGAGGGAUUGGUUCCAGGACCGCAGUCAAGCCACGGCGACUGUGGGCAGAAGUUCUGUGGUUUGUCCCCUGUUCCAGCUAGGAAGCAGUCCUUGGCGAAGGUACCCAACCAGGGAUACAGGGAGCUCCGUUACAAUCUCCCUACUGGCCCAUGUAUAUGCAAAGUGCUCCAUCGGAGCUGCUGCUCCAGGUGAACUCCUGAUUUGUUUAAUGGUAACUCUGUCCCCAAAUUUUCAAUGCCAUGUAUGUACAGUCAGGUCCAUAAAUAUUGGGACAUCGACACAAUUCUAAUCUUUUUGGCUCUAUACACCAACACAAUGGGUUUGAAAUGAAACAAACAAGAUGUGCUUUAAUUGCAGACUUUCAGCUAUAAUUUGAGGGUAUUUACAAAUGUGCCUCCCACUUUUUAAGGGACCAAAAGUAACAGUCAUAAAUUAAACUUUCACUUUUUAAUACAUGGUUGCAAAUCCUUUGCAGUCAAUUACAGCCUGAAAUCUGGAAUGCAUAGACAUCACCAGAUGCUGGGUUUCAUCCCUGGUGAUGCUCUGCCAGGCCUCUACUGCAACUGUCUUCAGUUCCCGCUUGUUCUUGGGGAAUUUUCCAUUCAGUUUUGUCUUCAUCAAGUGAAAUGCAUGCUCAAUCGGAUUCAGGUCAGGUGAUUGACUUGGCCAUUGCAUAUCAUUCCACUUCUUUCCUUUAAAAAACUCUUUGGUUGCUUUUGCAGUAUGCUUCUGGUCAUUGUCCAUCUGCACUGUGAAGCGCCGUCCAAUGAGUUCUGAAGCAUUUGGCUGAAUAUGAGCAGAUAAAAUUGCCCGAAACACUUCAGAAUUCAUCCUGCUGCUUUUGUCAGCAGUCACAUCAUCAAUAAAUACAAGAGAACCAGUUCCAUUGGCAGCCAUACAUGCCCACGCCAUGACACUACCACCACCAUGCUUCACUGAUCAGGUGGUAUGCUUUGGAUCAUGAGUAGUUAUUUUCCUUCCCCAUACUCUUCUCUUCCCAUUACUCUGGUACAAGUUGAUCUUGGUCUCAUCUGUCCAUAUGAUGUUGUUCCAGAACUGUGAAGGCUUUUUUAGAUGUUUUUUGGCAAACUCUAAUCUGGCCUUCCUGUUUACAUCUUGUGGUGAACCCUCUGUAUUCACUCUGGUGAAGUCUUCUCUUGAUUGUUGACUUUGACACACAUACACCUACCUCCUGGAGAGUGUUCUUGAUCUGGCCAACUGUUGUGAAGGGUGUUUUCUUCACCAGGGAAAAAAAUUCUUCGGUCAUCCACCACAGUUGUUUUCCGUGGUCUUCUGGGUCUUUUGGUGUUGCUGAGCUCACCGGUGCGUUCUUUCUUUUUAAGGAUGUUCCAAACAGUUGAUUUGGCCACACCUAAUGUUUUUACUAUCUCUCUGAUGGGUUUGUUUUGUUUUUUCAGCCUAAUGAUGGCUUGCUUCACUGAUAGUGACAGCUCUUUGGAUCUCAUUUUGAGAGUUGACAGCAACAGAUUACAAAUGCAAAUAGCACACUUGAAAUGAACUCUGGACCUUUUAUCUGCUCCUUGUAAAUGGGAUAAUGAGGGAAUAACACACACUUAGCCAUUGAACAGCUGAGCAGCCAAUUGUCCCAUUACUUUUGGUCCCUUAAAAAGUGGGAGGCACAUAUACAAACUGUUGUAAUUCCUACACCGUUCACCUGAUUUGGAUGUAAAUAGCCUCAAAUUAAAGCUGAAAGUCUGCAGUUAAAGCACAUCUUGUUCAUUUCAUUUCAAAUCCAUUGUGGUGGUGUAUAGAGCCAAAAAGAUUAGAAUUGUGUCGAUGUCCCAAUAUUUAUGGACCUGACUGUAAUUUACUCGAAAUAUAAAAAAGGUUACGAAGAGCAUUAAGCUCAAAUCUUAUCGAAUUACAAGUUAUUUCAUAAGUAUCAGAAAUAUCUAUGUUGCAUAACAUCCAUAAAUGUUUAUUUUACUUAUGCAUCAAUGUACACAGGGCUCAUGAAAAUAUUCCCAUUUUGUUAAUUUAUUUAUUUACAUCCCUUGGGUAUUUUUCUAGCCUUUUGCUUUGUGAAAUAGACUGCAUUCUGUAGUGUGUUCACUUUUCAAGGCAUUCUCUGCAGUGGUCUCAUUUUUACAGUAGCCCAAUAAACAUUUUGCAGCUUAUUCUACCGGUAGUAAAUCGUUAUUUUUAUAGCUAGUAACACUAAAGUUCAUUUGGUCCUGGGAUCUAUUACUCAGGCAGGAUAAAUCAUUUCCAAUUAUAUACAGUUUAUGAAAUGAUAAUUACAGUUUAAGCUCUUGUGUCAAACUGUAUAUGAAGGGGUCUUUGUUUAAAGCUGACACCAUUGGUAAUCUGCAGUUAUUAAGAUACAUCAUACAUUUAAUUGUUCUGUAAGUGGCCUGUUGGACUGAUGUCAUCCUGCACAAAAUUAAGUUUUCCUAGAAAAAUAAUCAAAUCAGUAGGCUUUGCAAAUUGUUAUCUUAUAUCUGUGAAAUUUAAAAAAUAUGUUCUUCUUGUUUAUACUUUAUAUUUUAGUGUAGAUUGGGUAAAAGCUAUAACUUACCAUGUAAAAAAAGAGUAUCACAUAACUAUCUAGGAGAAUUAAAGGCUCAUUCAGAUUUUAUGCAGGGUUCUUGGUGCCUUAGGCAAUCUACAACUCUUUUUUUAUUUAUUUUUUCCCUAAGGAAACCGUAGAAAAAAACAAAAGGGAUAUUAUUCUGUAGUGCUUUCAUUUUUCAUUUUUUUGGCGCUAGAAAACAAAAAUCAGCUAUCAAAUUCAUGCAUAGUUAUUUAUUGUAUUUACCUUUAAACUUUAUGUUUCAAUGUCUCGAUGUCCCAGAACUACAAAGGUGGCCAGCCAUCACAAUGAAUGCCACGUGCAUCGUGUCUGACAGGCAAACUUGUUAUGAAGCAGAACAUGUGUAAUUUUACCUGUAUGUUUAUUCCCUUUAUUGGUGACUAGACUGGGAGUCUGAAUCCUUUUCAGCAGAAUCACAAUUCAGCCGAAUUUGGACUGAUUGGCGAUUCUGCUAAUGACUAGAAAUCUGAACCAGUGCAUGUCCUAAUCCAGAAGCAGCAGAAGCAGCCAAUGCCCAGAUGCUUUGGAAUUCACUCUUAGGUAAUUGUCAGUGGGCAGCGCUUUUACCCUCAUAUUAGUACAAGGGAGGUUUUAUACUUCCCCCAUGCCCCCACUUACUGUUGGCUGCUCACUGUAACAAAAAACAAGCAAGUAGCAAGGUUGACCCUCUGCCCUCACCAGUGGACAACAGGUGGAAGCUUAAGUUUAAACAAUGAGGCAUGGACAAAUUACUGACAACCUUUCGUAUCCAUGGUGGGAUUAAGUGGGAUUAUUAGUUGUAUAUAAAGUAGAUGAACAUGAUGUCUCCCAUGUGACCAUGGUGGGACUAUGCUUAGGAUCCACAGGGGGGUAGAGGGGGCAGAGGGGGGUUUAGUGUUCCCCACAAUCCCAAUUACGGUUUGCAGGUUAGGGAUCUAAUUAAUAAACUGGGGGGAGACAUAAUGUCCACCCCAGUUGCAACCCACGGGCAACAGGUGGGGCCUAAUAUCCCCCACCCUUGGACAGAGACUAGGGGUUCAAAUAUGGAAAAAUAGAGGAACCUAAUAGCCUCCCCAGUCCAACUCAUUGGUUGUAGGUGGGGAGCUCUAAAUGAAAAUAGAAGAGAGGGCAUGCCAUUGUAAAACCUCCCCCCAAAAUUAUGUCCACCCCUCUCCCCUCAGGUUGCUAGGGUCACUUAGUCACCACUGGCCAAAAUAAAAUAAAAAAAACUGCCUCCUCCUCUUACCCUAAUAAUAGUAAGGGGGAGGCAAUAAACUAAUACUUACCAUUAGAUGUCUUCUUUGUUCUUUCAUCUUUAUUCUUCUAAUUAGCUGAUGCCACAGCAACAUAUAGCUCAAUUUAGAGGAUUCUUAGUGACCUUAAACCCUCAAUAAGAACAUAUUAUAAUAAAAUGGCUGUGCAGGUAAAAGCAGCUUUAUUGGUGCCUACACCAAGCACAUGGAAGAAAAAGAAGAAGCAUUGAAUUGAACCCACACUUCACGCAAAGGUGCUUAUAAUGCCUUAGAGAUGAAAAUACAGCAGCAAGAAAAUUAGCAUGCGGUCUACCAAGAUAGAGACUGCCACAAUAAAAUUCGCCUCAACGGCUUGUGAGAUGAUAUAAAGCAAGAAGACCUACAGGCUUAUGUUCAAGACAUUUUGCUAAUUCUGCUGCCUAAGCCUAGCUUUCAGAACUGUCACCAAGUGCCUACGUAAAGCCUACAUACAAUACAAAUGGAGACACCCCACCAAGCUUACGCUAUGCAGAAAAAUAGUGGAGAAAAUUUUCCCAGUGAUUUAACUUCUUACCUCCCACAACUCCAGGCUUAUCUCCUUUACAGUAAUACAUAUAUUACUCUUCAAGGAUCCUGUUACAUCUUUAGCCACAUGUAUAAAGGACACCCCUAACCUACUACAAUAUCUGAAUGGAGUAGGAGCCUUCAAUGGUAUCUUGAUCACCAUGGACAUUGGGAGUUUGUAUACCAUCAUCCCACAUGAUGAUGGGAUACAAGCUAUGCGAAACCCACACACAACACUAUCAUUGCCCUUCUAUCAAAUAUGUUCUGGAAUUGUUGGCCAUCGCUCUACAGAACAACUACUUUCAGUUCGAGACACUCUGGUACUUGCAAACAGCAGGCAAAUCAAUGGGGGCAGCGAUGGCCCCGAUGUACGGGAAUGCCUUCAUGUACGAAUAUGAGACAAAGUACAUCCUAGAGCAAUAUGACCAACAAAUUUCCAGAUAUUUUAGGUUCAUUGAUGACAUCUUAAUCUAAUGGAAUGGCACUAAUGAGGAAGCACAGCAGUUUGUACAAGACCUCAAUGCUCUACCUACACCGGUUAGAAUGACCUCCAACAUUGAUGAAUAUAGGGUCCAAUUCUUGGAUGUGGAGAUCAUGAUUAUCAACCAUAAACUGGAGCACAAACUCUUUACUAAACCCACGGACUGCAAUACAAUCUUGCACUUUAAGAGCUCCCAUCCCAGACAUUUGAAGGAGUCAUUACCCUAUUCACAGUUUUUGAGGGUACUACGCAACAAUUCCUUGAGUCAACAUUGUGAUCAACAACUAAUCACUAUGUAUAGAAAAUUUCAAUCAAGAGGAUAUCCCCGUACCAUUCUUGAUGAGGCCGUUAACAAAGCAAGAUCGGCCUUUAUCUCUCCAGACUGCCAGGGUGAGAAAGUAACCAACACUCGACCCAUCUUCCCUAUGUAUUUCAACACCACGAGCUCGGAACUGACAUGGUCAAUUCACAAUAAUUGGAACAUACUGGAACUAGACCCCUCUCUCCCGGAAAAUCUCCGCCAGAAGCCUAUGUUCUGUUUUCAACGUAACAGGAACUUGAGAGAUAUAUUGGUCAAAACAGAUCCACAGCAUUGUUAUGGACCCACUAAAAAAGAGAACAGAAAUGUGUUUGGGAUGUGUAACAUGCGGACAUAUCAUCAUCCCCUCAAAAACCUUUAGCCAUCCCUACACAGGCAAAGUGUAUAGAAUCCAACAUCGCAUUAAUUGUUGGACUGACUUUGUCAUCUAUAAGCUGACAUGCCCUUGCGGCCUUAACUACAUAGGCAAAACAGAGACAGCGCUCUGUGAGAGAAUUAGGGGCCACAGAUCAAGUAUCCGACUUGCGUACCGAGAUGGCAAGUCAGGCAAACCUGUGGCCCGACAUUUUCUAGAUUUCCAACACCAACUAGCAUGUCCCUGUCCCAGCUCGUGGUGGAGAUAGGGGCAAACUCUUACUACAAAGAGAAACCUAUUGGAUAAUUCAGCUCAAUACCUUGUCACCUAAGGGUCUGAAUGAAAAGUGUUCCUUUACAGUUAUUCUUUGACAGCCCAAAAUAUUUUCAAAUGUCUCUCAUAGUAGGAAGGGGCGAUCAAACAACUGGUCGAGUGAAGAUCUCUUAUGUAUGGCUUUGGGAACUUUGUUACAUUAUCGCACAUAUAUUGAUAGUACUAUUGUUCUUUUAAAUUAUUAUUUAUAUUGUAAUUUUUUACAACAAUGUAUAUAAAACAUUUUUUUUUGAUCUAGUGUAAAUGCAUUAUAAUGAGACCCUAGGAGAGAUAUAAAUGUAUGGAAUUACAAUUAGGAAGAUGUACAUAAUGUUAUGUUCUUGUAGUAUUCCAUUUAUACUUAAAAUGAUGUAUUAUACAUUGAUCAGCGCAUAUUGGUACUCCAAGUCGUUUUUACACUCAUAUUUAAAACUCAUUAGUAACACAUAGUUUGUGGUACACAUAUUACACAUUAAUUACUAAAAUGUCUUGACACAAAAAGAAAAUUGUCUUUCUCAUGAUAUAUUAUUAAUGUCUCUGUUUUGGAGCUUAAAUGUAUUCUCACUAUUUAUUUUUCAGCAAGUGCAAUUGUGUUUGCAUGAAUCCUUGUAUUAAUAUAUGGAGGUUGCUCCUCCUUUAAAUAUUGGAAGUUCACACACUGUAAAUUUCACUGAUUUUGUUUUUUUAUUUAAUCAUUAUAAUGCCUCUAUUAUAAAUAUAUUCUGUUCCUUUAUCUCUCCUUCCAUGUCUCCAGGUGCCCCCUUCCUGUUGUUCCAUCCGACCGCGUUCCGGUUGCCAUCACAACGCUUCAACAAAGAAGGAGGUGUAGUGAAUUAGUGAAAUUUGCCCCUCCAUGGCGCCAGUACACGCGGGAAUAACCAAUGAGAAUUAAGCUUCUCUGGUUGCCCUGGAAACGUGAUGCGCCUGGCCAAUCCACUCACUCUCUCCUCUACCACGUGGGCCGACACCCGGAAGUAACUAAAUUAGCGUGGAUGCGACUAGGGCGCGCUCGGCGACGGCAGUGAAUGAGUGUCACCUGGAUACGUCAGUAUUUACCUGAUUAUUAUGUCCUAUAUAAGCUUGUGUUUUUUGGUAUUUUAUUUUUAUCCUGAUGAAAGCUCUAUGAAGGAGCUGAAACGUUGAUGACUAUUUUGGAAUAAAAGAAGAAAUCCAUUUGAAAAUCCUUGAAGUGCCG